rnacentral:lncRNA from 1 species
GACGAGUUCGGAUGGGGACGCGGCGCCGCCGAGGCGGUGAAUGGCAGUGGGGACGCCAAGGUCGACGGCGCACCGGAGCGCCAUAGGCGUGAGGUAGCAGAGGGUGUGGCGCCACAGGUCCGACUGCGCCUGGAGCAGCUCCGUGUCGGUGGGGACAAACACCUUCUCUGCCUGGCCUGCCAUUGCCGUUGAUCUCUAUCUCUCAGUGCUGUACGUGUUGUGCACUUCGAUCUGGUAGAUAUAUAGGGGACGGAGGACACUCUCAUAUAAUAUAGCAAUGUUUGCUGUCAUUUCUCGUGGAACACGAGGGUGAUGACCACGACACUAUAUCGCUAUCGACGGGCCAGGGUAGCGUAUCGAUACAGCGCAGAAAGAAGACUCAAGACUGCUCGCUGUGGCUGGAAAUGGAAAGGAGGCACGUGCGGCUUUGAGAUAGACAGACCGACUGUACACACAUUACUUUCGUGGAUUCGAAUCGAAUCGAUAAACCUAAAUACUUCAUGGUGCACGCACACGAUUUUGCUGAACCGAGCGGCCGUGCUUGGACCGCUCAUUGCGAACGCAUCGUUUGGCCCACGACCGGUUAGCUUAUGCGCUAUCCGGCCGUGUUUCCUGGUCGGGGCGAGACGUGGUUAGCUUAUGCGCUAUCCGACAAAGCCGGUGUGACACCCUUACUUUCUCUCCUGAAAAAACAAAAGCUUAUCCUUAUCAUCUUUUCAUCGUCUUUAACGUAUCCGGCCAAUAAGCAGUGUGCCCCGGCUGGAGGCCAAGCCAAGGCGGCCAACCGGAGAAACCUGGAGAGCAGGUCAGCCAAGGAGCCGGAAAAGCAGUGCCGCAACCUCCUCCCGGCGAGGCAUGAAACCAGACAAAAUUCUCCCAAACGGGUCGGACCGCAGCGGCGCGGUCGUGUUUGCCUUGGACGCCCCCCCAUGGUGUUGCUGCCGCUGCUGGUGGAGCUGUGCAAGUCCAUUGGUGUGCACACGCUGCUGCUCAUGGAGUCAUGGUGCCCGGCAUCAUUGGAGCUCAGCUCUUGUACCUACUGCCCGCCGAAUCGCCAGGCAACGUCGUCCUAUUCAGAGCUUACCGACAUGGUGCUCACCUAAGUGCUAAUAAAAAAUUCUAGUUCCUGCAUGGCUGCACAACCUUUAGUCUUGGUUGAUUAUCACGAGUGCUUUUUUGCAUGAGUAGAUUAUUCGAUAGUUAUAGUUGCACAUAUAAUAGUCUGUAGUAGUAUAUAUAAUUUAGAAAGUUGCACAACACGAUGAUACUAAGUUGGCUAGAUGAUGUUUUUGCUUAAAUUGAUCUAUUCUUGUCCGUCGUAUUUUUAGUUGGCAUCCAUGACACGAUAAUAUAAUAUAGCAAUGUGUUUGCUGUCAUUUCUCGUGGAACGCGAGGGUGACGACCUUGACACUAUAUCGCUAUCGACGGGCCGGGGUAGCGUAUCGAUAGAGCGCAUAAAGAAGACUCAAGACUGCUCGCUGUGGCUGCAAACGGAAAGGAGGCACGCGCGUCUUCGAGACAGACUGACCGACUGUACACACGUUCCAUUCGUGGAUCCGAAUCAAAUCGAUAAACCUAAAUACUUUAUGGUGCACGCGCACGAUUUUGCUUAACCGAGCGGCCGCGCUUGGACCGCUCAUUGCGAGCGCAUCGUGGGGCCCACGACGGCCAGGUGUUUCCUGGUCGGGGCGAGACGUGGUUGGCUCGAGCGCUAUCCGACAAACCCGGUAUGACACCCUUACUUUCUCUCCUGAAAAAACAAAGGCUUAUCCGUAUCAUCUUUUCAUCGUCUCCCUCGAAUCUGGCGAGGAAGCAGUGUGCCCCAGUCGAAGGCCAUGCCGAGGCGGCCAACCAGAGAAACCUGGAGAGCAGGUUAGCCAAGGAGCCAGACCAGCAGUGCUGCCACCUCCUCCGCCCUCUUUUUAUGAGUUGGAGCCGGAGCCGCCAUGGAACUCACGCGAGAGGGCCACCCUACGCCCCGCUACUCCUUCCUCCCAUGGUGUUGCUGCCGCUGCUGGUGGAGCUGUGCAAGUCCAUUGGUGUGCACGCGCUGCUGCUCAUGGUGUCAUGGUGCCCGGCAUCAUUGGCGCUCAGCUCUUGUACCUACUGCCCGCCGAAUUGCCAUGCAAUGUCGUCCUGUUCAGAGCUUACGGACAUGGUGCUCACCUGAAUACUAAUAAAAAAAUUUAGUUCCUGCACGGCUGCACAACCUUCAGUCUUGCUUGAUUAUCACGAGUGCUUUUUUGCCUGAGUAGAUUAUCCAAUAGUUGUAGUUGCACAUAUAAUAGUUUGUAGUUGUAUAUAUGAUUUAGAAAGUUGCACAACAUGAUGAUACUAAGUUGGCUAGAUGAUGUUUUUGCAUAAAUUGAUCUAUUUUUGUCGGUCAUAUUUUUAGUUGGCAUCCAUGACAUUACAAUAUAAUAUAGCAACGUGUUUGCUGUCAUUUCUCGUGGAACGCGAGGGUAACGACCAUUACACUAUAUCGCUAUCGACGGGCCGGGGUAGCUUAUCGAUAGAGCGCAUAAAGAAGACUCAAGACUGCUCGAUGUUGCUGGAAACAGAAAGGAGGCACGUGCGGCUUCAAGAUAGACCGACCGACUGUACACGGAUUCCAUUCGUGGAUCCGAAUCGAAUCGAUAAACAUAAAUACUUCUUGAUGCACGCGCAUGAUUUUGCUGAACCGAUCGGCCACGCUUGGACCACUCAUUUCGAGCGCAUCGUGCGGCCCACGGCCACCAUGUGUUUCCUGGUCGGGGCGAGACGUGGUUGGCUCAUGCGCUAUCCGACAAAGCCGAUGUGAACCAAUCGCUCCCUUACUUCCUCUCCUAAAAAACAAAGGCUUAUCCUUAUCAUCUUUUCAUCGCCUCCAUCGAAUCCGUGCGAGGAAGCAGUGUGUCUCUGCCGGAGGCCAAGCCGAGGCGGCCAACCGGAGAAACCUGGAGAACAGGUCAGGCAAGGAGCCGGACCAGCAGUGCCGCCACCUCCUCCGCCCUCCUUCUAUGAGCUGGAGCCGGAGCCGCCAUGGAACUCACGCCUGAGGGCCACCCUACGCCCCGCUACUCGUCCCGGCGAGGCAUGAAGCCAGACAAAAUUCUCGUAAACCGGUCGGACCGCUGCGGCGCGGUCGUGUUUGCCUUGGAUGCACCCCAUGGUGUUCCUGCCGCUGCUGGUGGAGUUGUGCAAGUUCAUUGGUGUGCACACGCUGCUGCUCAUGGAAUCAUGGUACCCGGCAACAUUGGUGCUCAACUCUUGUACCUACUGCACGUCAAAUCGCCAGGCAACAUCGUCUUGUUCAGAGCUGACGGACAAGGUGCUCACCUGAAUGCUAAUAAAUUUUUUAGUUCCUGCACAGCUGCAAAACCUUCAAUCUUGGUUGAUUAUCACGAGUGCUUAUUUGCCUGAGUAGAUUAUCCAAUAGUUGUAGUUGCACAUAUAAUAGUCUGUUGUUGUAUAUAUGAUUUAGAAAGUUGCACAACACGAUGAUACUAAGUUGGCUAGAUGAUGUUUUUGCUUAAAUUGAUCUAUUCUUGUUAGUCGUAUUUUCAGUUGGCAUCCAUGACACGAUAAUAUAAUAUAGCAAUGUGUUUGCUGUCAUUUCUCGUGGAACGCGAGGGUGACGACCUUGACACUAUAUCGCUAUCGACGGGCCGGGGUAGCGUAUCGAUAGAGCGCAUAAAGAAGACUCAAGACUGCUCGCUGUGGCUGCAAACGGAAAGGAGGCACGCGCGUCUUCGAGACAGACUGACCGACUGUACACACGUUCCAUUCGUGGAUCCGAAUCAAAUCGAUAAACCUAAAUACUUCAUGGUGCACGCGNNNNNNNNNNNNNNNNNNNNNNNNNNNNNNNNNNNNNNNNNNNNNNNNNNNNNNNNNNNNNNNNNNNNNNNNNNNNNNNNNNNNNNNNNNNNNNNNNNNNNNNNNNNNNNNNNNNNNNNNNNNNNNNNNNNNNNNNNNNNNNNNNNNNNNNNNNNNNNNNNNNNNNNNNNNNNNNNNNNNNNNNNNNNNNNNNNNNNNNNNNNNNNNNNNNNNNNNNNNNNNNNNNNNNNNNNNNNNNNNNNNNNNNNNNNNNNNNNNNNNNNNNNNNNNNNNNNNNNNNNNNNNNNNNNNNNNNNNNNNNNNNNNNNNNNNNNNNNNNNNNNNNNNNNNNNNNNNNNNNNNNNNNNNNNNNNNNNNNNNNNNNNNNNNNNNNNNNNNNNNNNNNNNNNNNNNNNNNNNNNNNNNNNNNNNNNNNNNNNNNNNNNNNNNNNNNNNNNNNNNNNNNNNNNNNNNNNNNNNNNNNNNNNNNNNNNNNNNNNNNNNNNNNNNNNNNNNNNNNNNNNNNNNNNNNNNNNNNNNNNNNNNNNNNNNNNNNNNNNNNNNNNNNNNNNNNNNNNNNNNNNNNNNNNNNNNNNNNNNNNNNNNNNNNNNNNNNNNNNNNNNNNNNNNNNNNNNNNNNNNNNNNNNNNNNNNNNNNNNNNNNNNNNNNNNNNNNNNNNNNNNNNNNNNNNNNNNNNNNNNNNNNNNNNNNNNNNNNNNNNNNNNNNNNNNNNNNNNNNNNNNNNNNNNNNNNNNNNNNNNNNNNNNNNNNNNNNNNNNNNNNNNNNNNNNNNNNNNNNNNNNNNNNNNNNNNNNNNNNNNNNNNNNNNNNNNNNNNNNNUGGAGCCGGAGCCGCCAUGGAACUCACGCGAGAGGGCCACCCUACGCCCCGCUACUCCUUCCUCCCAUGGUGUUGCUGCCGCUGCUGGUGGAGCUGUGCAAGUCCAUUGGUGUGCACGCGCUGCUGCUCAUGGUGUCAUGGUGCCCGGCAUCAUUGGCGCUCAGCUCUUGUACCUACUGCCCGCCGAAUCGCCAUGCAAUGUCGUCCUGUUCAGAGCUUACGGACAUGGUGCUCACCUGAAUACUAAUAAAAAAAUUUAGUUCCUGCACGGCUGCACAACCUUCAGUCUUGGUUGAUUAUCACGAGUGCUUUUUUGCCUGAGUAGAUUAUCCAAUAGUUGUAGUUGCACAUAUAAUAGUUUGUAGUUGUAUAUAUGAUUUAGAAAGUUGCACAACAUGAUGAUACUAAGUUGGCUAGAUGAUGUUUUUGCAUAAAUUGAUCUAUUUUUGUCGGUCAUAUUUUUAGUUGGCAUCCAUGACAUUACAAUAUAAUAUAGCAAUGUGUUUGCUGUCAUUUCUCGUGGAACGCGAGGGUAACGACCAUUACACUAUAUCGCUAUCGACGGGCCGGGGUAGCUUAUCGAUAGAGCGCAUAAAGAAGACUCAAGACUGCUCGAUGUUGCUGGAAACAGAAAGGAGGCACGUGCGGCUUCAAGAUAGACCGACCGACUGUACACGGAUUCCAUUCGUGGAUCCGAAUCGAAUCGAUAAACAUAAAUACUUCUUGAUGCACGCGCAUGAUUUUGCUGAACCGAUCGGCCACGCUUGGACCACUCAUUUCGAGCGCAUCGUGCGGCCCACGGCCACCAUGUGUUUCCUGGUCGGGGCGAGACGUGGUUGGCUCAUGCGCUAUCCGACAAAGCCGAUGUGAACCAAUCGCUCCCUUACUUCCUCUCCUAAAAAACAAAGGCUUAUCCUUAUCAUCUUUUCAUCGCCUCCAUCGAAUCCGUGCGAGGAAGCAGUGUGUCUCUGCCGGAGGCCAAGCCGAGGCGGCCAACCGGAGAAACCUGGAGAACAGGUCAGGCAAGGAGCCGGACCAGCAGUGCCGCCACCUCCUCCGCCCUCCUUCUAUGAGCUGGAGCCGGAGCCGCCAUGGAACUCACGCCUGAGGGCCACCCUACGCCCCGCUACUCGUCCCGGCGAGGCAUGAAGCCAGACAAAAUUCUCGUAAACCGGUCGGACCGCUGCGGCGCGGUCGUGUUUGCCUUGGAUGCACCCCAUGGUGUUCCUGCCGCUGCUGGUGGAGUUGUGCAAGUUCAUUGGUGUGCACACGCUGCUGCUCAUGGAAUCAUGGUACCCGGCAACAUUGGUGCUCAACUCUUGUACCUACUGCACGUCAAAUCGCCAGGCAACAUCGUCUUGUUCAGAGCUGACGGACAAGGUGCUCACCUGAAUGCUAAUAAAUUUUUUAGUUCCUGCACAGCUGCAAAACCUUCAAUCUUGGUUGAUUAUCACGAGUGCUUAUUUGCCUGAGUAGAUUAUCCAAUAGUUGUAGUUGCACAUAUAAUAGUCUGUUGUUGUAUAUAUGAUUUAGAAAGUUGCACAACACGAUGAUACUAAGUUGGCUAGAUGAUGUUUUUGCUUAAAUUGAUCUAUUCUUGUUAGUCGUAUUUUCAGUUGGCAUCCAUGACACGAUAAUAUAAUAUAGCAAUGUGUUUGCUGUCAUUUCUCGUGGAACGCGAGGGUGACGACCUUGACACUAUAUCGCUAUCGACGGGCCGGGGUAGCGUAUCGAUAGAGCGCAUAAAGAAGACUCAAGACUGCUCGCUGUGGCUGCAAACGGAAAGGAGGCACGCGCGUCUUCGAGACAGACUGACCGACUGUACACACGUUCCAUUCGUGGAUCCGAAUCAAAUCGAUAAACCUAAAUACUUCAUGGUGCACGCGAACGAUUUUGCUUAACCGAGCGGCCGCGCUUGGACCGCUCAUUGCGAGCGCAUCGUGGGGCCCACGACGGCCAGGUGUUUCCUGGUCGGGGCGAGACGUGGUUGGCUCGAGCGCUAUCCGACAAACCCGGUAUGACACCCUUACUUUCUCUCCUGAAAAAAACAAAGGCUUAUCUGUAUCAUCUUUUCAUCGUCUCCCUCGAAUCUGGCGAGGAAGCAGUGUGCCCCAGUCGAAGGCCAUGCCGAGGCGGCUAACCAGAGAAACCUGGAGAGCAGGUUAGCCAAGGAGCCAGACCAGCAGUGCUGCCACCUCCUCCGCCCUCUUUUUAUGAGCUGGAGCCGGAGCCACCAUGGAACUCACGCGAGAGGGCCACCCUACGCCCCGCUACUCCUUCCUCCCAUGGUGUUGCUGCCGCUGCUGGUGGAGCUGUGCAAGUCCAUUGGUGUGCACGCACUGCUGCUCAUGGUGUCAUGGUGCCCGGCAUCAUUGGCGCUCAGCUAUUGUACCUACUGCCCGCCGAAUCGCCAUGCAAUGUCGUCCUGUUCAGAGCUUACGGACAUGGUGCUCACCUGAAUACUAAUAAAAAAAUUUAGUUCCUGCACGGCUGCACAACCUUCAGACUUGGUUGAUUAUCACGAGUGCUUUUUUGCCUGAGUAGAUUAUCCAAUAGUUGUAGUUGCACAUAUAAUAGUCUGUAGUUGUAUAUAUGAUUUAGAAAGUUGCACAACAUGAUGAUACUAAGUUGGCUAGAUGAUGUUUUUGCAUAAAUUGAUCUAUUUUUGUCGGUCAUAUUUUUAGUUGGCAUCCAUGACAUUAUAAUAUAAUAUAACAUUGUGUUUGCUUUCAUUUCUCGUGGAACGCGAGGGUAACGACCAUUACACUAUAUCGCUAUCGACGGGCCGGGGUAGCUUAUCGAUAGAGCGCAUAAAGAAGACUCAAGACUGCUCGAUGUUGCUGGAAACAGAAAGGAGGCACGUGCAGCUUCAAGAUAGACCGACCGACUGUACACGGAUUCCAUUCGUGGAUCCGAAUCGAAUCGAUAAACCUAAAUACUUCUUGAUGCACGCGCAUGAUUUUGCUGAACCAAUCGGCCACGCUUGGACCACUCAUUUCGAGCGCAUCGUGCGGCCCACGGCCACCAGGUGUUUCCUGGUCGGGGCGAGACAUGGUUGGCUCAUGCGCUAUCCGACAAAGCCGAUGUGAACCAAUCGCUCCCUUACUUCCUCUCCUAAAAAACAAAGGCUUAUCCUUAUCAUCUUUUCAUCGCCUCCAUCGAAUCCGUGCGAGGAAGCAGUGUGUCUCUGCCGGAGGCCAAGCCGAGGCGGCCAACCGGAGAAACCUGGAGAACAGGUCAGGCAAGGAGCCGGACCAGCAGUGCCGCCACCUCCUCCGCCGUCCUUCUAUGAGCUUGAGCCGGAGCCGCCAUGGAACUCACGCCUGAGGGCCACCCUACGCCCCGCUACUCGUCCCGGCGAGGCAUGAAGCCAGACAAAAUUCUCGUAAACCAGUCGGACCGCAGCGGCGCGGUCGUGUUUGCCUUGGAUGCACCCCAUGGUGUUCCUGCCGUUGCUGGUGGAGUUGUGCAAGGUCAUUGGUGUGCACACGCUGCUGCUCAUGGAAUCAUGGUACCCGGCAACAUUGGUGCUCAACUCUUGUACCUACUGCACGUCGAAUCGCCAGGCAACAUCGUCUUGUUCAGAGCUGACGGACAAGGUGCUCACCUGAAUGCUAAUAAAUUUUUUAGUUCCUGCACAGCUGCAAAACCUUCAAUCUUGGUUGAUUAUCACGAGUGCUUAUUUGCCUGAGUAGAUUAUCCAAUAGUUGUAGUUGCACAUAUAAUAGUCUGUUGUUGUAUAUAUGAUUUAGAAAGUUGCACAACACGAUGAUACUAAGUUGGCUAGAUGAUGUUUUUGCUUAAAUUGAUCUAUUCUUGUUAGUCGUAUUUUCAGUUGGCAUCCAUGACACGAUAAUAUAAUAUAGCAAUGUGUUUGCUGUCAUUUCUCGUGGAACGCGAGGGUGACGACCUUGACACUAUAUCGCUAUCGACGGGCCGGGGUAGCGUAUCGAUAGAGCGCAUAAAGAAGACUCAAGACUGCUCGCUGUGGCUGCAAACGGAAAGGAGGCACGCGCGUCUUCGAGACAGACUGACCGACUGUACACACGUUCCAUUCGUGGAUCCGAAUCAAAUCGAUAAACCUAAAUACUUCAUGGUGCACGCGCACGAUUUUGCUUAACCGAGCGGCCGCGCUUGGACCGCUCAUUGCGAGCGCAUCGUGGGGCCCACGACGGCCAGGUGUUUCCUGGUCGGGGUGAGACGUGGUUGGCUCGAGCGCUAUCCGACAAACCCGGUAUGACACCCUUACUUUCUCUCCUGAAAAAACAAAGGCUUAUCCGUAUCAUCUUUUCAUCGUCUCCCUCGAAUUUGGCGAGGAAGCAGUGUGCCCCAGGCGAAGUCCAUGCCGAGGCGGCCAACCAGAGAAACCUGGAGAGCAGGUUAGCCAAUGAGCCAGACCAGCAGUGCUGCCACCUCCUCCGCCCUCUUUUUAUGAGCUGGAGCCGGAGCCGCCAUGGAACUCACGCGAGAGGGCCACCCUACGCCCCGCUACUCCUUCCUCCCAUGGUGUUGCUGCCGCUGCUGGUGGAGCUGUGCAAGUCCAUUGGUGUGCACGCGCUGCUGCUCAUGGUGUCAUGGUGCCCGGCAUCAUUGGCGCUCAGCUCUUGUACCUACUGCCCGCCGAAUCGCCAUGCAAUGUCGUCCUGUUCAGAGCUUACGGACAUGGUGCUCACCUGAAUACUAAUAAAAAAAUUUAGUUCCUGCACGGCUGCACAACCUUCAGUCUUGGUUGAUUAUCACGAGUGCUUUUUUGCCUGAGUAGAUUAUCCGAUAGUUGUAGUUGCACAUAUAAUAGUCUGUAGUUGUAUAUAUGAUUUAGAAAGUUGCACAACAUGAUGAUACUAAGUUGGCUAGAUGAUGUUUUUGCAUAAAUUGAUCUAUUUUUGUCGGUCAUAUUUUUAGUUGGCAUCCAUGACAUUGUAAUAUAAUAUAGCAAUGUGUUUGCUGUCAUUUCUCGUGGAACGCGAGGGUAACGACCAUUACACUAUAUUGCUAUCGACGGACCGGGGUAGCUUAUCGAUUGAGCGCAUAAAGAAGACUCAAGACUGCUCGAUGUUGCUGGAAACAGAAAGGAGGCAUGUGCGGCUUCAAGAUAGACCGACCGACUGUACACGGAUUCCAUUCGUGGAUCCGAAUCGAAUCGAUAAACCUAAAUACUUCUUGAUGCACGCGCAUGAUUUUGCUGAACCGAUCGGCCACGCUUGGACCACUCAUUUCGAGCGCAUCGUGCGGCCCACGGUCACCAGGUGUUUCCUGGUCGGGGCGAGACAUGGUUGGCUCAUGCGCUAUCCGACAAAGCCGAUGUGAACCAAUCGCUCCCUUACUUCCUCUCCUAAAAAACAAAGGCUUAUACAUAUCAUCUUUUCAUCGCCUCCAUCGAAUCCGUGCGAGGAAGCAGUGUGUCUCUGCCGGAGGCCAAGCCGAGGCGGCCAACGGGAGAAACCUGGAGAACAGGUCAGGCAAGGAGCCGGACCAGCAGUGCCGCCACCUCCUCCGCCCUCCUUCUAUGAGCUGGAGCCGGAGCCGCCAUGGAACUCACGCCUGAGGUCCACCCUACGCCCCGCUACUCGUCCCGGCGAGGCAUGAAGCCAGACAAAAUUCUCGUAAACCGGUCGGACCGCAGCGGCGCGGUCGUGUUUGCCUUGGAUGCACCCCAUGGUGUUCCUGCCGUUGCUGGUGGAGUUGUGCAAGGUCAUUGGUGUGCACACGCUGCUGCUCAUGGAAUCAUGGUACCCGGCAACAUUGGUGCUCAACUCUUGUACCUACUGCACGUCGAAUCGCCAGGCAACAUCGUCUUGUUCAGAGCUGACGGACAAGGUGCUCACCUGAAUGCUAAUAAGUUUUUUAGUUCCUGCACAGCUGCAAAACCUUCAAUCUUGGUUGAUUAUCACGAGUGCUUAUUUGCCUGAGUAGAUUAUCCAAUAGUUGUAGUUGCACAUAUAAUAGUCUGUUGUUGUAUAUAUGAUUUAGAAAGUUGCACAACACGAUGAUACUAAGUUGGCUAGAUGAUGUUUUUGCUUAAAUUGAUCUAUUCUUGUCAGUCGUAUUUUUAGUUGGCAUCCAUGACACGAUAAUAUAAUAUAGCAAUCUGUUUGCUGUCAUUUCUCGUGGAACGCGAGGGUGACGACCUUGACACUAUAUCGCUAUCGACGGGCCGGGGUAGCGUAUCGAUAGAGCGCAUAAAGAAGACUCAAGACUGCUCGCUGUGGCUGCAAACGGAAAGGAGGCACGCGCGUCUUCGAGACAGACUGACCGACUGUACACACGUUCCAUUGUGGAUCCGAAUCAAAUCGAUAAACCUAAAUACUUCAUGGUGCACGCGCACGAUUUUGCUUAACCGAGCGGCCGCGCUUGGACCGCUCAUUGCGAGCGCAUCGUGGGGCCCACGACGGCCAGGUGUUUCCUGGUCGGGGCGAGACGUGGUUGGCUCGAGCGCUAUCCGACAAACCCGGUAUGACACCCUUACUUUCUCUCCUGAAAAAACAAAGGCUUAUCCGUAUCAUCUUUUCAUCGUCUCCCUCGAAUCUGGCGAGGAAGCAGUGUGCCCCAGUCGAAGUCCAUGCCGAGGCGGCCAACCAGAGAAACCUGGAGAGCAGGUUAGCCAAGGAGCCAGACCAGCAAUGCUGCCACCUCCUCCGCCCUCUUUUUAUGAGCUGGAGCCGGAGCCGCCAUGGAACUCACGCGAGAGGGCCACCCUACGCCCCGCUACUCCUUCCUCCCAUGGUGUUGCUGCCGCUGCUGGUGGAGCUGUGCAAGUCCAUUGGUGUGCACGCGCUGCUGCUCAUGGUGUCAUGGUGCCCGGCAUCAUUGGCGCUCAGCUAUUGUACCUACUGCCCGCCGAAUCGCCAUGCAAUGUCGUCCUGUUCAGAGCUUACGGACAUGGUGCUCACCUGAAUACUAAUAAAAAAAUUUAGUUCCUGCACGGCUGCACAACCUUCAGUCUUGGUUGAUUAUCACGAGUGCUUUUUUGCCUGAGUAGAUUAUCCAAUAGUUGUAGUUGCACAUAUAAUAGUCUGUAGUUGUAUAUAUGAUUUAGAAAGUUGCGUAACACGAUGAUACUAAGUUGGCUAGAUGAUGUUUUUGCAUAAAUUGAUCUAUUUUUGUCGGUCAUAUUUUUAGUUGGCAUCCAUGACAUUAUAAUAUAAUAUUGCAAUGUGUUUGCUGUCAUUUCUCGUGGAACGCGAGGGUAACGACCAUUACACUAUAUCGCUAUCGACGGGCCGGGGUAGCUUAUCGAUAGAGCGCAUAAAGAAGACUCAAGACUGCUCGAUGUUGCUGGAAACAGAAAGGAGGCAUGUGCGGCUUCAAGAUAGACCGACCGACUGACUGUACACGGAUUCCAUUCGUGGAUCCGAAUCGAAUCGAUAAACCUAAAUACUUCUUGAUGCACGCGCAUGAUUUUGCUGAACCGAUCGGCCACGUUUGGACCACUCAUUUCGAGCGCAUCGUGCGGCCCACGGCCACCAGGUGUUUCCUGGUCGGGGCGAGACGUGGUUGGCUCAUGCGCUAUCCGAACGGUGUGAACCAAUCGCUCCCUUAAUUUCUGACCUGAAAAAACAAAGGCUUGUCCUUAUCAUCUUUUCAUCGUCUCCAUCGAAUCCGGCGAGGAAGCAUGUUAGGAAUAAGCCACGCAUGAGUAUGUGCUCGUGUGUGUGAUCUAUGUGCAUGGGUGUGACCGUGUACAUGCAAGAUUCUGUUAGUGCAUGCCCUGAUUAGUUAGCUUGUUUGUUGGCUUGGCCAGGUCGCCGGACGAGCGUGUAUGUGAGCGUACGUUUCGGUGAAAGAGUUACCUAGCUAGGUAGGCGAUCCGUUGGGUUCGGCCGUGGCGUGCGUGUCGUGGGAGCGCACGGCCGGGCAUGCACAUCCUGCGGGCGAGGUGGGCUGUGCGUCGUGCGCCAGCCCGGGUAUAAAUUCUAUAGACGCGGGAUAGUUGUAAUGCACUGAGUUGAGCACCAUGUAGACAUUGCAAAAGGAAGAAAGAUUCGCGCGUUCGUGCACCGGUCCGAGAAACUUGUGUCCACUGCGUUCAUCUCCUUCCUUCUUUCUUGUUCAAGCGAGUGAGUUGAGAGGGAGAGGUAGUUCGGGGUUUGUCCCAACAUUUGAUAUCAUGAGCUGGUUCAUCUUGGGCGUCGUUCUUCUUGCCAGAGGUGUGCCGGCGGUGGCGGAGUUCGCCGCGGUUGCGUGAUGCUCCAGGCCGUGGGUCGGCCUAUGGAGGAGUGCGGCGCGGCGAGGAGGCCACGGUGACUGCGGCGGCAUGGUGAGGAGGCCGCGGAGGACCUGCGUGGUGGCGGCUUCAACGACAACGACGGCGCGGCGAGUGCGUUGCGGCGGCUCGGCGCGACAACGGUGGAGGCGCGUGGCACGGAGCCGCAGCGCUCGUGUCGGAGGCGUCAGGCGCGUGUAUGGGCGCGCGCCGGGCGUGUCAGGCGCGGCGGGACCGUGGUGUAGGGUGGCCGUUGGCGAGCGGGGGUGUGCGCAUCACGGGCUCGCCGCGACUAGAUGUGUGCGUGCAUGUCGGAGGGGGCGCGGGCAGAGCGGACGGAACGGGCGCUCGACGUAGGCUGGGACGUGGGUGCGUGCCCGGCGCGUCCCUGCAUAUAAAACCCCACCCGUGUACAUUGUAAUAGCAGCGCCCGGAGUCGAGUUCGAGCUCGAGGGAAUCAAGGUCGUUGGUGUACCAGGAAGAGAAGCUGUGGCGUGUGUCACCGGAGAUGAAGAAGGCGUUCUCUAUGGCAGUCGACGAGAGGCCGGAGUCCUGUCAGGAUGGGCGGCGAGGUCGUGGCUUAGAUGGGAGAAUGUUAGGAAUAAGUCAGGCAUGAGUAUGUGCUCGCGUGUGUGAUCUAUGUGCAUGGGUGUGACCGUGUGCAUGCAAGAUUCUGUUAGCGCAUGCUCUGAUUAGUUAGCUAGUUUGUUGGCUUGGACGGGUCGCCGGAGGAGCGUGUAUGGGAGCGUACGUUUCGGUGAAAGAGUUAGCUAGCUAGGUAGGCGAUCCGUUGGGAUCGGCCGGGGCGUGCGGGUCGUGGGAGCGCACGGCCGGGCAUGCGGAUCCUGCGGGCGUGACGUGAAGUUUGUGCUCGGCAUAUUUCCUCGGAAUACCCGGCAUGUUUUUGGGGGUCCGUGCGAAGAUAUCCCGAUUCUGACGGAGGAAGUCGACGAGCUCGCCUUCCUAUUUGCUGUCGAGGCGGGCGCCUACCAGUGGCGGUGCCAGGAUCGAAACCUUGUGUUGUCAAGCUUUAUACAAAUGAAACAUUUUGUAGGUAAAUUAAACAAGAACACAAGAAGACCAUACUUCAUUUGAUACAUAUUUGUUGUACAAGCUUUUUCUAUUAUAUAUAUUUCAUCUUAAACAUGUCUUUUGAUAUAAAGAUCUUAAACAUUUUUAUGGUAACAACGCUUUGACAAAUGUAUCCAUGUACCAUUGCCAAACUUAAGACCUAACAAAUGACAAAACAAGGUUUUGCUAAAAGAAACAAUAUCUGAAUUUCAUGUGAGAAUAUAAAAUUUCAAGAGAAAGAAGACAGAAACUUAAAAACAGAAAAGGAAGGGCCUCGUCCUAUACACUCGCCGAGUCGCUGAAGGUGCAGUACUACGGAGAUCGGAGAUCUACUAGAGCAGCGGAGGAGGCCGUGCUCAUUGUGGUGAUUCCAGGCAACGGCGACCUCGGCGGUCGGUGAGCAGCAUGGGUAUCCAUGCAUGAUGUGCUUCACUGCUCCUCCCCACGGCGUAGUGCAUGAUUGGCCAUUAGAGAUUAUACACAGGAAGGUGAAAAAGGAGAGAGUUCGAAGGAAUAUCACGGGAUUUCAGGAGACGGUCACGAAGUUGUUUUGGAGGACGAUUAGGGAAGUUAAUAAUGACGUCGGGAGCUUCCUUUUUCUAUAUGGGCCAGCCAAAUCUCACGAAAAACUGAUACCAACUGGGCAUGUUUUAGUUAGAGGACCUCUUUUAGUUAAUUUCCAGAACCUGUUUAUUUGGAAGUGGGGUACGAUGUCACGGACUCACGGUAGUGUUUGAGUACCAAAUUCCUGUGUAGUCGCUUGACAACAUAGUCAUAGUGUGGCUUCGCCACUGGCGCCUACGACAACGUACUUGCUGCAGCUGGGGUCUUCCGGGUUGAGCUUCACUCUCUUGGUCUCCUUGGAGGGCUUGAAGGCUGCCUCGUCGACCGGGUCCAGGGUCGGGAUCGACGCAGCGGAGGCCUCACCGGCCAGGGCGACGAUCCAGUCGAGUUGGCGCCGCUCCUCGGCAAUGACCAGCGACUCAGCCAACUUGGCGCUGUCUCGGGCGCACUCCAAGGACUUGCGGUAAUCGCCGGUGAUGGUGAUGAGACCCUUGGGACCCGGCAUUCUUCAUCUUCAGAUAUGCGUAGUGGGUAACCGCCAUGAACUUGGCGAGCGCGGGCCGGCCCAGCAACGCGUGAUACGCGCUGGACAGGUCCACCAACUCGAACCAGACCGGUUCGCGUCGGAAGUGGCUAUUGUCGCCGAACAGGACAUUGAGCCAGAACCGGCCAAUGGGCGAGCAGGAGAGGCCGGGUACGAUGCCGUGGAAGAUCGCCCGGCUCGGUUCCAGGUCCUCGGCCUUGAGGCAGAGCUUGGUCAUCGUGUCGCGGUAGAGGAUGUUGAUGCUGCUGCCGCCGUCGAUGAGGACUCGGGAGAACUUGCAUGUACGCCGUGCGACGAUGGUGGGGUUGAGGACGAGGGCGUAGCCACACAGGCUUGGCAUGACUACCGGGUGAUCCUCCCGGGUCCAGGUGAUCGGGCGAUCCGACCAAUGCAUAAACUCCAGCUUGGCUGGGACGACGGUGUUCACCUCCUGCCGAAGGAGGCGCUCGCUGCGCUUGUCAUUGCCGAGGCUGGUGAAGACGACAUAGGCCGCGUUCUGGUCCGGGUAGGCGUCUUCCGCAUCGCGCGGCCAGCGGGAGGCGGUGGUGGAGGCGGAGGCGGCUGUCCCGCGCCUGGAGCCGCAAGCGGAGGAGGCGGGACGUCGCCCCUCAUGAUGCGCUUGGUGAUGGUGCACUGUCGAAGCGUGUGCGUGGAAGGUCUUGCGCCGCUGUGGUGCUUGCAGGGGGCGUCGAGCAUCUCUUCGAAACUCAUGGCGGGUUGCCAUGCCAUCUUGCCGCUUUGCCGGCGCUUCGCCGCCGGGUCCGCCGCGGGCUCGGCCGCCGCGACGAGCAGGUUAUCGUGACGCUGCGCCGGCUGGUCGGCCAUGCGCUUGUUGUUCUGGUGAUGCUGCUGCCGGCUGCUUUCACCGGCCGGCUUCGGAGGGAGAACCGGCUUCGCCUUGCCGGCCUCAUCUAGCGCCACCUGGAUCUUCAUGGCGGAGUCUGAUGACCCACAAGUGUACGGGAUCUAUCGUAGUCCUUUCGAUAAGUAAGAGCGUCGAGCCCAACGAGGAGCAGAAGGAAAUGAUAAGCGGUUUUUAGUAAGGUUUUCUGCAAGCACUGAAAUUGUAGGUGAUAAAUAGUUUUGUGAUAAGAUAAAUAGUAACGAGUAAGAAGUAAACAAAGUAAAUAAAGUGUAGCAAGGUGGCCCAAUCCUUUGGCAAAGGAUAAGCCUGGACAAUUUCUAAUAAUGAGAAAGGAGCUCCCGAGGGCACAUGGGAAUUAUCGUCAAGCUAGUUUUCAUCAAGCUCAUAUGAUUCGCGUUCGGUACUUUGAUAAUUUGAUAUGUGGGUGGACCGGUGCUUGGGUACUGCCCUUACUUGGACAAGCAUCGCACUUAUGAUUAACCCCUAUUGCAAGCAUCCGCAAGUACAACAAAAGUAUUAAGGUAAACCUAACCAUAGCAUGAAACAUAUGGAUCCAAAUCAGCCCCUAACAAAGCAACGCAUAAACUAGGGUUUAAGCUUCUGUCACUCUAGCAACCCAUCAUCUACUUAUUACUUCCCUAUGCCCUCCUCUAGGCGCAAUAAUGGUGAAGUGUCAUGUAGUCGACGUUCACAUGACACCACUAGAGGAGAAGAGAACAUACAUCUCAUCAAAAUAUCGAUCGAAUACCAAAUUCACAUGACUACUAAUAGCAAGACUUCACCCAUGUCCUCAGGAACAAACGUAACUACUCACAAAGCAUAUUCAUGUUCAUGAUCAGAGAUGUAGUAAUAUGCAUUAAGGAUAUGAACAUAUGAUCUUUCACCAAGUAAACCAAUAAGUAUCAACUAGAAGGAGUAAUCAACACUGCUAGCAACCCACAGGUACCAAUUUGUGGUUUUGGAUACAAGAUUGGAUACAAGAGAUGAACUAGGGUUUGAGAGGAGAUGGUGCUGGUGAAGAUGUUGAUGGAGAUUGACCCCCUCCCGAUGAGAGCAUCGUUGGUGAUGACGUUGGUGAUGAUUUCCCCCUCCCAGAGGGAAGUGUCCCCGGAAAAACAGCUCUGCCAGAGCCCUAGAUUGGUUCCGCCAAGGUUCCGCCUCGUGGCGGCGGAGUUUCGUCCCGUAAGCUUGCCCACGAUUUUUUCCAGGGUAAAAGCGAUGAUAUAGCAGAAGAUGGACACCGGAGGUCCACCAGGGGGCCCAGGAAAUAGGGGGCGCACCCUAUAGGGGGGGCGCCCUAUAGGGGGGUGCCCCCUGUCUCCUGGACAGGGUGUGGGCCCCCUGGUUUAUUUCUUUCGCUCAAAAAUUCUUAUUAAUUCCGAAAGUUGUUUCGUGGAGUUUCAGGACUCUUGGAGUUGUGCAGAAUAGGUUUCCAACGUUUGUUCCUUUUUCUAGCCAGAAUUCCAGUUGCCGGCAUUCCCCCUCUUCAUGGUAAACCUUGUAAAAUAAGAGAGAAUAGCCAUAAGUACUGAGAUAUAUUGUGUAAUAACAGCCCAUAAUGCAAUAAAUAUUGAUAUAAAAGCAUGAUGCAAAAUGGACGUAUCGGAGUCGGCGUUGGCGUACUUGUCCGCCGUCACCAUGAGCGCGGCCAUGGUGGCCGGCUCGGAGCGUAGGAGCUUGUGUUUGAGGAGGGUUCCAUCUCGGCACCCGCUGACGAAGUACUGUAUCGCCUGGACUUCAAGGACGCCUCGCAGCUAUUCCGGAGCUCGGUCCAGCGUGCGAGGUACUCACGGCCGGUCUCCUCGGCCCCUCCACGCACAUGGCGAGCUGGCUGGGGCGAACGGGUCGCUUGUAGGUCCCCGUAAAGUUGUGGACAAAGGCUUCCACGAAGUCGACCCACGCGUUGAUGCUUCCCAUCGGCAGGCUGUUCAACCAUGUGCGGGCCGACCCCUGGACCAUGAGCGGUGCGUAGCACACGGCGAGACAAUGAUUGGCACCGGUGAUGCCAAUGGCCGUGGUGUAGUCGGUGAGCCAGUCUUCUGGCUUCACCGUCCCGUUGUACUUGGGGGUGUCGCGGGGGAGCAUGAACCAUUUGGGAAUGGGCUCCUCCCGGAUGGGUGGUCCGAAGCACGCCGGCCCGAUAGCGCCGCUCUCCCCCAAAUCCAGGGAGCGAGCGAGCUGAUCGAGGCGGUGGCACGCGUCGGCGUCGUUGAUGGCGCGCGGGCCGAGUCGACUGGUGGUCAGGCCCCGAGGGGCCGGGUCGGUUGGAGCCGGACGUCGGCCAUGCUGGCCGGGUCCGUGCUGGGUCUCCCAGGCGGGCUCAUUGCCCGGGACGUCGGCGGCCAUGGUGGCCGGGUUGCGCCAAGUCCGGGUUCGGUCGGAGUGCACUUCGCCGGGUGGCGAGGAAGUCGUGUGCAGGAGUUCGCCGGGUCCGCCAAGGCGGGCGGAGCCGGACCCCGCCGGCUUGGCAAGCUGGUUGAGGCGAUCCUGCUAGGUGUUGGCGGCGUGGAGGAGCUCGCGCAUCCGCCCGAUGCGCUCUUUGAGCUCCUCGCCCGCGAGUUGGUCGAGGCCGACCGCGGCAGCCUCCGCAGCGUGCAUGUUCUUCACUGGGGUCUCGUAGAAGGCCUGGACGGCGCCGAAGGCCCGGCCGAUCGCUCCUCCCCAGGUGCGAGCAUCGGCGACCCGGCUUGGCUCGGCCGCGGCGGGUGUGAAUCCGUGGGCGGCGUCAGGCUCCAACUGAGCGGCCUCCAGGCGACGCCUGGUGGCGGUUCUCGGACAGGUCCAGCAUCUGAUUGCGUCUAUCCUCGAGCUGGGUUCGGGCUUUGACAACGUUGGUGGCGUCGACGUUGGUGCCGAUGGGGAUGCGGAGGCUUUGCAUCGCGGCGCGCAGCGGGUCGGACGGCACGGUCCGUGCCGCAGCGGCCCCGGCUUCUGCGACCCUCCUCGCCUUGCUCGACGAGGAAGAGGCGCGAUCGCCGGUGACGAAAACCUCCACAUGGACGUCCAUCGCCCCGGCGGCGAUACCGCUGCCAAGGGAGAGUGGAGAGUCGGAGUGCUGAGCACCUCGCUGGGGUACUCGUCGACCGCGAACACAUCGGAGAUGCACAGCGCGGUGAACGAUGCGGCGAGCGCACCGGUGACGUCGUCUGCCAGAGCGACGGACUCGUCGGAGUAGGAGAAGGGCCCCGUCUGAAGCAUGCUCGCGGCUAGCUCCUCGAGCUACCCCAUGGUGAGCGCCAACUGUCGUGGUGGGCGCACGGCAGAUGCCAAGGGAUGGCUAAAGAGAGGAGGAGGCUCGAGGGCGCUGGUGGGCUCCAGAGGCGAGGUUGGCAUGCGCGAGCGCGGGACGCUGGACAUACCCAGGUUCGGGGCUCUCCGGAGAGAUAACACCCCUAGUCCUGCCGAGUUUAGUUGGAUGGUCGAUUGCAACAAUGUUGCUCCUGGAACUGUAUGGAGGAGGAAGGAAGCUGGCCAAGGCUUGGGCCGCUCCUUCUCUACGGCGCUGCCGUUGGGUGGCUAGUCCUAUGGCUACUUGUGUUUCUCUUGUGUCUCGUACAUAUGACUCUCUCUAUAGGCGCGGGUUCCUGGGGGAUUUUAUAGAUCAACCCACCUAGGGUUACAAUGGUAAUACGCCGAGUCGGUGGGUCCGUAUUGUCGGUGUCUGGGAUACCGGGCUGGGUCCCCGCUUGAGGGCUUGUGGUUCGCCGGGUUACCCUAGGUGCGGGCCCCGCGUGCCUAGGGGAACUGUUUGUCGUCUUGUCAAUCGUCAGGGCGUGGCCGAGUCGAGUCGUGUACAGUGCUCUACAUUAGGUUGCAGCUUGUUGCCGUCAUCGGUGAGGGCAAGAGCACUGUUCCCACGCCAGCCUCGGUUAGCGGGUAGGUCAAGGGCAUUGUUGCCACGCUCCGGCUGACCAUAGGCAUGGGCGGAAGCAUUGUAGUCUUGGUCAUCGGUGAUUAAAGUCUCGUCCCAUCGUACGGCCUGGAUGGGACGGGAGCUACGUGGCUGGGUUGCCGUGCACGCCACGGGUGGGGUCGGCUUGUUGGGGAAGCCUUGGUGGCGCCGGGUUGGGUUGUCUUGCGCCAGUUGCUGUGGCCGGGUCGACGUACCUUGCCGAGUCGAAGAGCUUGGCCGGGUUGCGGGCCUUGCCGGGUCGAGCGACCUGGCCAGGCGCGUGCCCGUUCGUGGGACGAUGCGGGCCCUGCCAUUCUUGAAAAGGAUCCGGGUUCCGUUGCCUGCCCGGGGUUCAUCCCCCCGAUAGGGGUGGCGCCCAGGCCACUUAGGGGCUGGUUCCCUUCGACAUACAUCCCAUAGGGCCCUCCUGGGCAGGUGGACCCUCCCGGUGGACCCCCGGAACCCCUCCGGUGGUCCCGGUACAAUACCGGUAAACCCUCGAAUACUUCCGGUGACCGUAUAAUGACUUCCCAUAUAUAAAUCUUCACCUCUGGACCAUUCCGAAACUCCUCGUGGUGACCGGGAUCUCAUUCGGGACUCCGAACAACAUUCGGUAAUCACGUACAAAUCUUCCCUUUAACCCUAGCAUCAUCGAACCUUAAGUGUGUAGACCCUACGGGUUCGGGAAUCAUGCAGACAUGACCGAGACAGCUCUCCGGCCAAUAACCAACAGUGGGAUCUGGACACCCAUGUUGGCUCCCACAUGUUCCACGAUGAUCUCAUCAGAUGAACCACAAUGUCGAGGAUUCAAGCAAUCUCGUAUGCAAUUCCCUUUGUCAAUCAGUACGUUACUUGCCCGAGAUUCUAUCAUCGGUAUCCCAAUACCUCGUUCAAUCUCGUUACUGGCAAGUCACUUUACUCGUUGCGUAAUGCAUGAUACUGUGACUAACUACUUAGUCACAUUGAGCUAAUUAUGAUGAUGCAUUACCAAGUGGGCCCAGAGAUACCUCUCCGUCAUACGGAGUGACAAAUCCCAUUCUCCAUUAGUGCCAACCCAACAAACACUUUCGGAGAUACCUAUAGUGCACCUUUAUAGUCACCUAGUUACGUUGUGACGUUUGGUACACCCAAAGCACUCCUACAGUAUCCGGGAGUUACACAAUCUCAUGGUCUAAGGAAAUGACACUUGACAUUAGAAAAGCUUUAGCAAACGAACUACACGAUCUUGUGCUAUGCUUAGGAUUGGGUCUUGUCCAUCACAUCAUUCUCCUAAUGAUGUGAUCCCGUUAUCAAUGACAUCCAAUGUCCAUAGUCAGGAAACCAUGACCAUCUGUUGAUCAACGAGCUAGUCAACUAGAGACUCACUAGGGACAUGUUGUGGUCUAUGUAUUCACACAUGUAUUACGGUUUCCAGUUAAAACAAUUAUAGCACGAACAAUAGACAAUUAUCAUGAACAAGGAAAUAUAAUAAUAACCAUUUUAUUAUUGCCUCUAGGGCAUAUUUCCAAUAGUCUCCCACUUGCACUAGAGUCAAUAAUCUAGUUCCAUUGUGAUGAAUCGAACACCCAUAGAGUUCUGGUAUUGAUCAUGUUUUGCUCGUGGAAGAGGUUUAGUCAACGGAUCUGCGACAUUCAGAUCCGUAUGUACUUUACAAAUCUCUAUGUCUCCAUCUUGAACAUUUUCACGAAUGGAGUUGAAGUGACGCUUGAUAUGCCUAGUCUUCUUGUGAAACCUAGGCUCCUUGCUAAGGGCAAUAGCUCCAGUGUUGUCACAGAAGAGAGUCAUCGGGCCCGACUUAUUGGGAAUAACUCCUAGGUCGGUAAUGAACUCAUUCAUUCAGAUUGCUUCAUGCGCUGCCUCCGAGGGUGCCAUGUACUCCGCUUCACAUGUAGAACCCUCCACGACGCUUUGCUUGCAACUGCACCAGCUUACUGCCCCACCAUUCAAAAUAUACACGUAUCCGGUUUGUGACUUGGAGUCAUCCACAUCUGUGUCGAAGCUAGCAUCGACGUAACCCUUUACGAUGAGCUCUUCGUCACCUCCAUAAAUGAGAAACAUAUCCUUAGUCCUUUUCAGGUACUUCAGGAUAUUCUUGACCGCUGUCCAGUGUUCCAUGCCGGGAUUACUUUGGUACCUCCCUACCAAACUUACGGCAAGGUUUACCUCAGGUCUGGUACACAACAUGGCAUACAUAAUAGACCCUAUGGACGAGGCAUAGGGGAUGACACUCAUCUUUUCUCUAUCUUCUGCCGAGGUCGGGCAUUGAGCUGUGCUCAAUUUCUCACCUUGCAAAACAGGCAAGAACCCUUUCUUGGACUGAUCCAUAUUGUACUUCUUCAAUAUCUUAUCAAGGUAUGUGCUUUGUGAAAGACCGAUGAGGCGUCUCGAUCUAUCUCUAUAGAUCUUGGUAUGUGCCUUUAUGCUAUCCAAAAGGUCUACAUCAUUUCCCAUCAAUAGUAUGCCAUCCACAUAUAAUACGAGAAAUGCUACAGAGCUCCCACUCACAAUCUUGUAAAUGCAGGCUUCUUCAUAAGUCUGCACAAACCCAAACGCUUUGAUUAUUUCAUGAAAGCGAAUGUUCCAACUCCGAGAUGUUGCACCAGCCCAUAGACGGAGCGCUGGAGCUUGCACACCUUGUUAGCAUUUUUAGGAUCGACAAAACCUUCCGGCUGCAUCAUAUACAAUUCUUCCUUGAGGAAACCGUUAAGGAAUGCCAUUUUGACGUCCAUUUGCCAUAUCUCAUAAUCAUAGAAUGCGGCAAUUGCUAACAAGAUUCGGACGGACUUCAGCUUCGCUAAGGGUGAGAAGGUCUCAUCGUAGUCAACCCCUUGAACUUGUCAGUAACCCUUAGCGACAAGUCGAGCUUUAUAGAUGGUAACAUUACCAUUCGCGUCGGUCUUCUUCUUAAAGAUCCAUUUAUUUUCUAUCGCUCGCCGAUCAUCGGGCAAGUCUAUCAAAGUCCAUACUUUGUUUUCAUACAUGGAUCCUAUCUUGGAUUGCAUGGCUUCAAGUGAUUUGUUGGAACCUGGGCCCGCCAUCGCUUCUUCAUAGUUCGAAGGUUCACCGUUGUCUAACAACAUGAUUUCCAGGACAGGGUUGCCAUACCAUUCUGGUGUGGAACGUGUCCUUGUGGACCUACGAAGUUCAGUAGCAACUUGAUCCGAAGUACCUUGAUCAUCAUCAUUAACUUCCUCUCUAGUCGGCGCAGCCACCACAGAAACAUCUUCCUGAGCUGCGCUACUUUCCGGUUCAAGAGGCAGUACUUCAUCAAGUUCUACUUUCCUCCCACUUACUUCUUUCGAGAGAAACUCUUUCUCCAGAAAGGACCCAUUCUUGGCAACAAAGAUCUUGCCUUUGGAUCUGGGGUAUAAGGUAUACCCAAUGGUUUCCUUAGGGUAUCCUAUGAAGACGCAUUUUUUCUGACUUGGGUUCGAUCUUUUCAGGUUGAAGUUUCUUGACAUAAGCAUCGCAUCCCCAAACCAUUAGAAACGAUAGCUUAGGUUUCUUCCCAAACCAUAAUUCAUACGGUGUCGUCUCAAAGGAUUUAGACGGUGCCCUAUUUAAAGUGAAUGUAGCUGUCUCUAAAGCGUAUCUCCAAAAUGAUUGCGGUAAAUCGGUAAGAGACAUCAUAGAUCACACCAUAUCCAAUAGAGUGCGAUUAUGAUGUUCGGACACACUGUUACGCUGAGGUGUUCCAGGCGGCGUGAGUUGUGAAACAAUUCCACAUUUCCUUAAUUGCGUACCAAACUCGUGACUCAAAUAUUCUCCCCUAUGAUCUGAUCGUAAGAACUUUAUUUUUCUGUCACGUUGAGUCUCUACCUCACUCUGAAAUUCCUUGAUCUUUUCAAAGGUCAGACUUGUGUUUCAUUAAUUAGACAUACCCAUACCUACUUAAGUCAUCAGUGAGGGUGAGAACAUAGCAUAGCCACCGCGAGCCUCAACGCUCAUUGAACCGCACACAUCAGUAUGUAUGGUUUCCAAUAAGUUGGUUCCUCGCUCCAUUGUUGCAGAGAAUGGAAUCUUGGUCAUUUUGCCCAUGAGGCAUGGUUCGCACGUGUCAAAUGAUUCGUAAUCAAGAGACUCCAAAAGUCUAUCUGCAUGGAGCUUCUUCAUGCGUUUGACACCAAUGUGACCAAGGCGGCAGUGCCACAAGUAUGUGGGACUAUCAUUAUCAACCUUACAUCUUUUGGUAUUCACACUAUGAAUAUGUGUAACAUCACGUUCGAGAUUAAUUAAGAAUAAACCAUUGACCAGCGGGGCAUGACCAUAAAACAUAUCUCUCAUAUAAAUAGAACAACCAUUAUUCUCGGAUUUAAAUGAGUAGCCAUCUCGCAUUAAACGAGAUCCAAAUACAAUGUUCAUACUCAAAGCUGGCACUAAAUAACAAUUAUUGAGGUUUAAAACUAAUCCCGUAGGUAAAUGUAGAGGUAGUGUGCCAACGGCGAUCACAUCGACCUUGGAACCAUUCCCGACGCGCAUCAUCACCUCGUCCUUCGCCAGUCUCCACUUAUUUCGCAGCUCCUGUUUUUAGUUACAAAUACGAGCAACCACACCGGUACCAAAAACCCAGGAGCUACUACGAGUACUGGUAAGGUACACAUCAAUAACAUGUAUAUCACAUAUACCUUUGGUGUUGCCGGCCUUCUUGUCCGCUAAGUACUUGGGGCAGUUCUGCUUCCAAUGACUGUUUCCCUUGCAAUAAAAGCACUCAGUCUUAGAUUUGGGUCCAUGCUUUGGCUUCUUCCGGGCAACUGGCUUACCGGGCACGGAAGCUCCCUUGCCGUCCUUCUUGAAGUUCUUAUUUCCCAUGCCUUUCUUGAAACUUGUGGUUUUAGUGACCAUCAACACUUGAUGUUCCUUUUUGAUCUCCACCUCCACUGGUUUCAGCAUUGAAAAAACCCCAGGAAUGGUUUUCACCAUCCCCUGCAUAUUGUAAUUCAUCACAAAGCUCUUGUAGCUAGGUGGGAGCGACUGAAGGAUUCUGUCAAUGACCAAGUCAUCCGGGAGAUUAACUCCCAGCUGAGACAAACGGUUAUGCAACCCAGACAUUUUGAGCAUGUGCUCGCUAACAGAACCAUUCUCCUCCAUUUUACAACUGUAGAACUUGUCGAAGACUUCAUAUGUCUCGACCCGGGCAUGAGCUUGGAAAACCAUUUUCAGCUCUUGAAACAUCUCAUAAGCUCCGUGCUGCUCAAAACGCUUUUGGAGCCCCGGUUCUAAGCUGUAAAGCAUGCCGCACUGAACCAGGGAGUAAUCAUCACUACGCGACUGUCAGUCAUUCAUAACGUCUUGAGUGGCUGGGAAAACGGGUGCUUCACCUAGCGGCGCAUCUAGGACAUAUGCUUUCUUGCCAGCUAUGAGGAUGAUCCUCAAGUUCCAGACCCAGUCCGUGUAGUCGCUACCAUCGUCUUUCAGCUUGGUUUUCUCUAGGAACGUGUUGAAGUUGAGGGUAACAUUAGCGUGGGCCAUUUGAUCUACAAGACAUAUUGCAUAGAUUUUUAGACUAAGUUCAUGAUAAUUAAGUUCAUCUAAUCAAAUUAUUUAAUGAACUCCCACUCACAUAGAAAUCCCUCUAGUCAUCUAAGUGAUACAUGAUCCGAGUCAACUAGGCCGUGUCCGAUCAUCACGUGAUACAGACUAGUCAUCAUCGGUGAACAUCUUCAUGUUGAUCGUAUCUACUAUACGACUCAUGUUCGACCUUUCGGUCUUUUGUGUUCCGAGGCCAUGUCUGUACAUGCUAGGCUCGUCAAGUCAACCUAAGUGUUUUUGCAUGUGUAAAUCUGGCUUACAUCCGUUGUAUGCGAAUGUUAGAAUCUAUCACACCCGAUCAUCACGUGGUGCUUCGAAACAACGAACUUUCACAACGGUGCACAGUUAGGGGGGACACUUUCUUGAAAUUUUAUGAGGGAUCAUCUUAUUUAUGCUACCGCCGUUCUAAGCAAAUAAGAUGCAAAAACAUGAUAAACAUCACAUGCAAUCAAAUAGUGACAUGAUAUGGCCAAUAUCAUUUUGCUCCUUUUGAUCUCCAUCUUCGGGGCGCCACGAUCAUCAUCGUCACCUGCAUGACACCAUGAUCUCCAUCAUCGUGUCUUCAUGAAGAUGUAUCGCCAACUAUUACUUCUACUAUUAUGGCUAAUGGCUUAGCAAUAAAGUAAAGUAAUUACAUGGCGUUAUUCAAUGACACGCGGGUCAUACAAUAAAUUAAGACAACUCCUAUGGCUCCUGCCGGUUGUCAUACUCAUCGACAUGCAAGUCGUGAUUCCUAUUACAAGAACAUGAUCAAUCUCAUACAUCACAUAUAUUUCAUUCAUCACAUCCUUUUGGCCAUAUCACAUCACACGGCAUAUGCUGCAAGAACAAGUUAGACGUCUUCUAAUUGUUGUUGCAAGUUUUUACAUGGCUGCUAUAGGUUUCUAACAAGAACAUUUCUUACCGAUGCCAAAACCACAACGUGAUAUGCCAAUUGCUAUUUACCCUUCAUGAGGACCCUUUUCAUCAAAUCCGAUCCGACUAAAGUGGGAGAGACAGACACCCGCUAGCCACCUUAUGCAACUAGUGCAUGUCAGUCGGUGGAACCUAUCUCACGUAAGUGUACGUGUAAGGUCGGUCCGGGCCGCUUCGUCCCACGAUGCCGCCGAAUCAAGAUAAGACUAGUAGUGGCAAGUAAAUUGACAAAAUCGACGCCCACAACAACUUGUGUUCUACUCGUGCAUAGAAACUACGCAUAGACCUAUCUCAUGAUGCCACUAUUGGGGAUCGUUGCAGAAAUAAAAAAAUUCUACGCAUCACCAAGAUCAAUCUAUGGAGAAACUAGCAACGAGAGAGAGUGGAGUUCAUCUUCAUACCCUUGAAGAUCAUGAAACGGAAGCAUUGCAAGAACGCGGAUGAAGGAGUCGUACUCGUAGCAAUUCAGAUCGCGGUGGAUUCUGAUCUAAGCGCCGAACAACGGCACCUCCGCGUUCAACACACGUGCAGCCCGGUGACGUCUCUCGCGCCUUGAUCCAGCAAGGAGGAGGGAGAGGUUGAGGAAGACAGCUCCAGCAGCAGCACGACGGCGUGGUGGUGGUGGAGCAACAGUUCUCCGGCAGGGCUUCGCCAAGCUCAAACGGAGGAGGAGAGGUGUUGGAGAGGUGGAGGGAUGCGCCUUGGAUGUCGUGCGGCUGCCCUCCCUCCUCCCCUCUAUUUAUAGGGUGAAGGGGGAAGGGGGCCGGCCCCUCUAGAUGAGAUCUAGAGGGCGGGCAGCGGCCAAGGGGAGGGGGCUUGCCCCCAAGCCAAGGGGGCGCCCCCUUUAGGGUCCCCCCCAACCCUAUGCUCAUGGGUCCUUGGGAGUGGCGCUCAGCCCACUUAGGGUCUGGUUCCCUUCUACAUACAUCCCAUAGGGCCCUCCGGGGCAGGUAGACCCUCCCGGUGGACUCCCGGAACCCCUCCGGUGGUCCCGGUACAAUAUGGGUAAACCUCCGAAUACUCCGGUGACCGUAUGAUGACUUCCCAUAUAUAAAUCUUCACCUCUGAACCAUUCCGGAACUCCUCAUGACGUCCUGGAUCUCAUCCGGGACUUCGAACAACAUUCGGUAAUCACGUACAAAUCUUCCCUAUAAACCUAGCAUCAUCGAACCUUAAGUGUGUAGACCAUACGGGUUCGGGAAUCAUGCAGACAUGACCGAGACAGCUCUCCGGCCAAUAACCAAGAGCGGGAGCUGGAUACCCAUCUUGGCCCCCACAUGUUCCAUGAUGAUCUCAUCGGAUGAGCCACGAUGUCGAGGAUUUAAGCAAUCCCAUAUGCAAUUCCCUUUGUCAAUCGGUACGUUACUUACCCGAGAUUCGAUCGUCGGUAUCCCAAUACCUCGUUCAAUCUUGUUACCGGCAAGUCACUUUACUCGUUGCGUAAUGCAUGAUCCCGUGACUAACUACUUAGUAACAUUGAGCUCAUUAUGAUGAUGCAUUACCGAGUGGGCCCAAAGAUACCUCUCCGUCAUACGGAGUGACAAAUCCCAGUCUCGAUUCGUGCCAACCCAAGAAACACUUUCGGAGAUACCUGUAGUGCACCUUUAUAGUCCCAGUUACGUUGCGACGUUUGGUACACCCAAAGCACUCCUACGGUAUCCGAGAGUUACACAAUCUCAUGGUCUAAGGAAAUGAUACUUGACAUUAGAAAUGAUACUUGUGCUAUGCUUAGGAUUCGGUCUUGUCCAUCACUUCAUUCUCCUAAUGAUGUGAUCCCGUUAUCAAUGACAUCCAAUGUCCAUAGUCAGGAAACCAUGACCAUAUGUUGAUCAACGAGCUAGUCAACUAGAGGCUCACUAGGGACAUGUUGUGGUCUAUGUAUUCACACAUGUAUUACGGUUUCCGGUUAAUACAAUUAUUGCACGAAUAGCAGACAAUUAUCAUGAACAAGGAAAUAUAAUAAUAACCAUUUUAUUAUUGCCUCUAGGGCAUAUUUCCAACAAGCACCAGGUUCGGGCCUCUAUAUGGAGGUAAUGCCCUACUUCCUGCUUGAUUGAUCUUGAUGAAUAUGAGUAUUACAAGAGUUGAUCUACCACAAGAUCGUAAUGGCUAAACCCUAGAAGUCUAGCUUGUAUGAUUGUCAUGAUCCUUUAUCGACUAGCCUGACCUUGGCCUAUAUAAUACACCAGAGGCCUAGGGUAACAAGAGUCCUAGCCGAAUAAGUUGGUCGAGAGGAGUCCUUGUCUUGAUCACCAAGUCUUGUGGAAUACUCCUUGUAUGCGGCAUGGGCUGCCCAAAGUGGCCCAUGUGUGAACUGCCAUGGGGGUCCUCGGCCCGAUCCACCUAGUCGGGAGAUGAUGUGGUGAGUACCCCCUAGUCCAGGACACCAUCAGUAGCCCCCUAAACCGGUCUUCAAGUUGGGGACGCUCCUUGAUCCUUCCGAACUGUUCUUCAUCUUCGGUCGUCGGUCUUGAAAACUGGUUCAACAAAUCUUCUCGUCUUCGAUCUUGAGGAUCGCCGAAAUGAAUCCGAAGGGUUUACACAUCGGGUAUCCAAGGAGCCCCUUUAAGUUCUCGACCUUUAUCAAUGCCUUAGAAUUAUUUUUUACGCCACACCUCGGGUUUGAAGUUGUUCCUGUGCGGCGGUGUCCUCUUGCAUCCGAGCUCCAACGCCGGACUGCAUUCGAGAUAUCUUUUGCAGCCGAGCACCAACACCGGACUAUAUCCGAGCUCCAACGCCGGACUAUAUCCGAGGUGUCAUAGAUCACAUUGGCUUGAAAAGUUUGAAGGAGGUUAUCCAAGUUUAACGCUGAAAAGUUCUCUAUGGAACGAGCCAUUUGAAUCCGGGCUUUAUGCCGGACCACUUCCGAGCUCCAACGAUGGUCAGCGCCCGAGGUGUCGUAAACUACCUCGGUCUUUUAAAAGAUGCCGAGCUAAAUGUCAGAAAUGCCCUCUAUGGAGCCAGCCCCUGGCGCCCAAACAUUAUGUCGGACUGCUUCCGAGGUGGUGCACCACCCCGACCGCGGGCUGAUUUUUGUGAAUAUUUUUUAUUGGUGCAAUUUACUCUCUGCCGAGAUAUAUAGCUAGUAUAUGUAUAUCCAGUAGCCCUCAAGGUGUGUGUCAGUCUAAACCCGAGGUGCGCCUGAAGGAAAACAUAAAACUGCUGAUCCUGGUAGGCCCUAACACUCAGGUCGAUUUGCAAAAUCGGCCUGAGGAUCAAAUCCUAGCUCGGCAGGAGACGUAGAAAUAGAAACACAGUGUAAUAUAUUAGAGAUAAUAGUGAUCAACGAACGGGCCCUUGACAGAGGGUCUUGAGAAGUUGCCGCAAUAUAUUAGCUUGACGCCAUAUAGGUCCAGAUGGUACCUAUUGUUGUCUGAAGACGCGUUUGCCCAUAGUUCGGUCAAGCCGAACACUAAGCACUUUGAAGUUUCUGCAUUGAAUAGGCAACGAAGUAACCCCCGAGACACUGGUCAGGUGGCAACACCAGAUCAGGAAAACGAUGUGCCCCUUUAAUAUUUAUAAAUAAUGAGCGUGAAGCCCAGUAGCCCCAGAGCCUUAAUGUGGGCACGGGAGGCCGAAUUAAGGAUCGAUAUCCGUGUGACAGAAAAUUUUGUUCUGUUUAACACAAACUUCUCGAAAAGUGAAUAAAGAUCUCUUAAAGGAGCUAAAGCCAGCAUGCUCGCCAAGGUUGGUCCCAAGGUCCUUUGCAUUGAACACAUAAACAUUGUUAAGAUCUUUGGGUUUUAUAUUUCUGUUGUGAUCGAACAAAGAUUAAACUUUUCCAGGAGAAUCAUGGGAGCCUUCCGCAAAUCAAACUGUUGAGUUGGUCACGUGGAAUAUCAUAUUGACAUUUAAUAAUCAAACACCAGGAUGUUUAUAUUUUUGGUUUGGCCUAUCGAUCCAAACCCGUGAUACAUAUGUACGAGCAAUCAAAAUGAUCAAAAUUAAGCUAGCAUAUUGAGAGUAUAUAGAAAUGUCCACAGGCAGUUUUGUACCCUACUGUGACAUGUGAAGAUUACACGAGGCAUCAAGAUCCAAAUACACCAUAAUAGUAUAUGUUAUUUCUUCAACUACUACUUUGCUAUAAUUGUAUUUUUCAAAUUAGUGUAAAAAGGGACAUGACAUGUCACAAUGUGACAUGCUGAUUGCCAUAAAUAGUUAGAUCACUAUUUUGCGUGAUACAAAGCUAUGGUUGUAUGCACGAAAUGACAUUAUUUGUUUCGGCCGACACAAUGAACAUAAACGAGGAUUAUAUAUUUGCGCCAAUAAUAAUUGUGUUUUCGCAUAAUUUGGUGACAAAAAUAUUAGUAGUGAAUCAGAACUCCCUGUGAAUGCCUUUAGCCCUCCUGUAGUUUCCAUCAAUUCAUUACUCUCCUGUUCUUGUUACUAUUAUUUUAGCACACCUUAAUUCUUGUUCACAAACUCUUGCAAUAUUUUCACUUUCACACCUCUUUGAUCAGGAGUUAAAAUAUUUGCAUGCACUUUCUGAUAAACCUCUAGUAGAGGCAAAAGACUAUUUCUUAAUUUUUCUUUCGGGUCAAGACUAUUACUUCAAAAUGGCUACAACUAUAUUGUGUGCACUUGCAUGAGAUCAGAAAAAACAUAUUGAUUGGAAUGCACUAAUUUAAGAAUAAAUUUUUGGAGCAUGUUUACCAAAAGCUUGGUUAUCAUCUUGAUGGAGCAAUUCAGAAAGGAAAUAGGUCUGAAAUCAUUAUCCUAAAUUGCGGAGCCAUUUUUGGAAUUAGAGUAAUUAAAGAAGAGUCAAUGCUCUAAAUAUUGAUUGAACCAUGGUAAAACUCCUUAAACAAUGCACAGAAAUCAGGGGCAAUAGUCUCCCAACAAACUUUAACAAAAUCUGAAUUAAGACCAUCUAGGCCUGCGGAUUCGUGAGAGGGCAAAUUCCUGACUGCUUUAACAAUUUCCUCUUUAGUGAAAGAUUUCUCUGAAAAAAGUAGACCAUCAUUUCUCGUAAGCAAAGAAUCCAAAUUCAUAAGGUUGAAAGUUGGGACAGUAUAGCCAUGUCUUUGCUUGAAAGAUCUACCAAAGAAAGCAGCCUUGGCAUGAUGUUCGGAGUGCCCAUGCCUCUGCUUAUCUCUUAAUAUAGCAAUGUGAUUAUUUCUCAAUAAUUGAUGCCUUUGCAUGAUUUUGUUUUACUUUGCUUCCCCCAAAGGUACCCAUAUAAUAGUGUCUCUUUGUUUCGAGUAGAUUUGCUGGUGUGGGAGAAGCUGAAGGAGAUGAUUUUCGAGGAUUUGUCUGAUUGUUCCACUUAUGAAUUGCAAGAUUUCUAAAUUCUUCAAUAGUGUCAUAGAAUUAAUCACUGAGUUUGGUAGCUUUGAUAGUGGUAGAGAGAUUAGAAAUUAUUUUGGAACACAGUUUUAAACCUUUUCUUGGUCUUUUGAAAUUUGCAUUUACUCUUUUGGAACUAUCAUGUUUGUGAAUUUGUUGGUCCCAAAUUGUAUUAAAAGUAUCUUUAAAGUCUGGGUGUUGCAACCAGUAAAUUUCAAACCUGAAAAUAGAGGACUCCAGAAUAGAUGUACCAAUCCAAAUGAAACAAGGGAUGUGGUAAAAAAAAAUAGGUCUGCCCUGAGGAAUAGCCAUAGUGUUUGGAUAAUUAAUAGUCUAGGAUUUAGAGGAGAAUACCCAAUCAAGCUUUUCCAAGAGAGGAGCACUCUGCAUAUUGCUCAAAGUAAACAUUCUGCCUCCAAGGGGAAUUUCAAUAAGAGCAAGGGAAUUGAUGGCUUCAUUUAAAGAAAACAUGGCAUGUGCACUACCGUCUUCUCUAUUUUUUGUUCUUAGGGCAGAUGACAUAAUUGAAAUCUCCAACCACCAACUAAGCCUGAUAAACUGGCAUGCACAUUUUGGAAUCAGUCAAUGAAAGUAGUUAAGUUUUUGACUUGAUAGGGUCCAUAUGUAUUGGUUAGAAUCCAAGACUCACCUAAGUGUAUUGAGGUGAACCUGUUGGAUAUAGGAAAUUCAUUAUGAACGCAACUUCAUUCUGACCUACAAAGAAACCACUAGAGGCCCUAGAGAGGGCAUAAUUAAAAUUUGCUAAAUAUUUUUGGACCAUAUAGAAGACAAGGUUUCGAUAACAAAUACACGACUUGAUCUUAUGGUAUAUGAUAUUGUACACAAAGCAUAUAUGAUAAGCACUCUGUCUGCAUACUAUUUCUUUCAAAAGAAAGUUCCACAGGUGUCAUAAGGUAACAAGACAUAACCGCCUUGCUAUUCUAUGAUCUACCUAGGACUUCUCUUUGGAAAAUGACAAGGCGCUCCUUUAUUUUUGCAUCCUUAGAGCGAGCACACAACAAUCCAUAACAUAUGUAAACAUCUUACUUUGGGAGCACAACCUUAUGGAUAGACCUCAAUGACAGCUCGAGCUCCCAGCUUCUUCACAAUCUUAUAGCCACUGAACCCCGCCUUGACGAAGAUCUCACUCCAGUCCUUCUCAUCGCGCUGUCGGCCUCUUGUCACCACUAGCAUGACCAUAUCCAUGAGGUGUUGGGUUUCCAGCAUUGGCCCUGAAACAGAUCCAAGCACAAUGUCUAUGACGAUGACUUUUCCUCCUGCAUCCCGGGGAGGAACAGCCUUCUUGCAUUGUGCCAGGAUCUUGACGCAAUCCUCGUCGCUCCAGAAGUGCAGUACAAGCUACAUUACCAUGCAUGGAUAAACUUGUAGUUUAAGGUUAAUCAAGCCUGACUAGGAUGAAAUAUGAAGGGAUUUUAUUAUUUUAAGCUGUUAUUAUUUCAGAAAUGAAAACUAAUUAAGCAUUGCUUGAAUAUUUCAAUUUUGCUAAGUCUUAGUGGACUAAGACUUUGUUAUGUAUCGAUCGAUGUUAUAUUCAUUUGAUCUUGCAUGGAGAUUCAUAUAAAAAAAAUAUUUUCAGUUUUUUUUACUUUUAUAUACUCCAUCCGUCCGGAAAUACUUGUCAUCGAAAUGAAUAAAAGGAGAUGUAUCUAGACGUAUGUGUAAAUACAUUCCUUUUAUGUAUUUCCGGACGGAGGGAGUACUAUAUUACUUGACUGAUACUUUAAGUCUCAAUCGACUAAGACCUAACCACACCCUUAAUACUUCACUUGGAAUAAAAAUUAUGGAAUGUGCAACAUUCAUAUCAUAUAUACCUUGAGCAACACGGCUUGAGCAGGUGGGACAACGUGGAACAGGUCACCGGAAACAUACUUAACUGCUCCUUCUUCAGCGGGAAGAACUUUGUCCAUGACCUUUGGAAGGUCCAACACAGUGCACGUGAUGUGAGGGUAGGCCUCGACGAUGGACCUCGCGGUAGUCCCAUCGCCACCGCCGCAGUCAGUGAGAGACUCAAGCCCAUCGAACAGCUCACGGCACUGCCGGAGCACGGGGCCGAUCCCCAUGUGGUCGUGGGCAGCGAGGGCGUCGUGGAGCAGCUGAUCCAUCUCCGGGUCGAGGAGCACCAUGCUCUCCUCGAAGAUGGCCGCGCCAUGCACGUCCUCGAACGGCGAGGGAACGGCUCCAUCGAAGUCCUUCCUGAACCAGUCCGCCAGCCCCAUGGCCGCCUCCACGUAGUAGCGCGAGGCCGCGGCGCGCACGAGGGCCGUCUGGCUAGCGUCGCCGUCGAUGCGGACGCCGUCUACCAGAAGGUACGAGAGCGGGUUGAGGCGGUACGUUCCGGCGUCGGUUGCACUGAAGACGCCCGCCGUGGCGAGUUGGCGCAGCAGGCGGGCGAGGAAGGGCAGCUUGGACGUGGGGAGGGAUAGGGCGGCGACGAGUUCGGAUGGGGACGCGGCGCCGCCGAGGCGGUGAAUGGCAGUGGGGACGCCAAGGUCGACGGCGCACCGGAGCGCCAUAGGCGUGAGGUAGCAGAGGGUGUGGCGCCACAGGUCCGACUGCGCCUGGAGCAGCUCCGUGUCGGUGGGGACAAACACCUUCUCUGCCUGGCCUGCCAUUGCCGAUGAUCUCUAUCUCUCAGUGCUGUACGUGUUGUGCACUUCGAUCUGGUAGAUAUAUAGGGGACGGAGGACACUCUCAUAUAAUAUAGCAAUGUUUGCUGUCAUUUCUCGUGGAACACGAGGGUGAUGACCACGACACUAUAUCGCUAUCGACGGGCCAGGAUAGCGUAUCGAUACAGCGCAGAAAGAAGACUCAAGACUGCUCGCUGUGGCUGGAAAUGGAAAGGAGGCACGUGCGGCUUUGAGAUAGACAGACCGACUGUACACACAUUACUUUCGUGGAUUCGAAUCGAAUCGAUAAACCUAAAUACUUCAUGGUGCACGCACACGAUUUUGCUGAACCGAGCGGCCGUGCUUGGACCGCUCAUUGCGAACGCAUCGUUUGGCCCACGACCGCCUGGUGUUUCCUGGUCGGGGCGAGACGUGGUUAGCUUAUGCGCUAUCCGACAAAGCCGGUGUGACACCCUUACUUUCUCUCCUGAUAAAACAAAGGCUUAUCCUUAUCAUCUUUUCAUCGUCUUUAACGUAUCCGGCCAAUAAGCAGUGUGCCCCGGCCGGAGGCCAAGCCAAGGCGGCCAACCGGAGAAACCUGGAGAGCAGGUCAGCCAAGGAGCCGGAAAAGCAGUGCCGCAACCUCCUCCCGGCGAGGCAUGAAACCAAACAAAAUUCUCCCAAACGGGUCGGACCGCAGCGGCGCGGUCGUGUUUGCCUUGGACGCACCCCCAUGGUGUUGCUGCCGCUGCUGGUGGAGCUGUGCAAGUCCAUUGGUGUGCACACGCUGCUGCUCAUGGAGUUAUGGUGCCCGGCAUCAUUGGAGCUCAGCUCUUGUACCUACUGCCCGCCGAAUCGCCAGGCAACGUCGUCCUAUUCAGAGCUUACCGACAUGGUGCUCACCUAAAUGCUAAUAAAAAAUUCUAGUUCCUGCAUGGCUGCACAACCUUUAGUCUUGGUUGAUUAUCACGAGUGCUUUUUUGCCUGAGUAGAUUAUUCAAUAGUUAUAGUUGCACAUAUAAUAGUCUGUGGUAGUAUAUAUGAUUUAGAAAGUUGCACAACACGAUGAUACUAAGUUGGCUAGAUGAUGUUUUUGCUUAAAUUGAUCUAUUCUUGUCCGUCGUAUUUUUAGUUGGCAUCCAUGACACGAUAAUAUAAUAUAGCAAUGUGUUUGCUGUCAUUUCUCGUGGAACGCGAGGGUGACGACCUUGACACUAUAUCGCUAUCGACGGGCCGGGGUAGCGUAUCGAUAGAGCGCAUAAAGAAGACUCAAGACUGCUCGCUGUGGCUGCAAACGGAAAGGAGGCACGCGCGUCUUCGAGACAGACUGACCGACUGUACACACGUUCCAUUCGUGGAUCCGAAUCAAAUCGAUAAACCUAAAUACUUCAUGGUGCACGCGCACGAUUUUGCUUAACCGAGCGGCCGCGCUUGGACCGCUCAUUGCGAGCGCAUCGUGGGGCCCACGACGGCCAGGUGUUUCCUGGUCGGGGCGAGACGUGGUUGGCUCGAGCGCUAUCCGACAAACCCGGUAUGACACCCUUACUUUCUCUCCUGAAAAAACAAAGGCUUAUCCGUAUCAUCUUUUCAUCGUCUCCUCGAAUCUGGCGAGGAAGCAGUGUGCCCCAGUCGAAGGCCAUGCCGAGGCGGCCAACCAGAGAAACCUGGAGAGCAGGUUAGCCAAGGAGCCAGACCAGCAGUGCUGCCACCUCCUCCGCCCUCUUUUUAUGAGCUGGAGCCGGAGCCGCCAUGGAACUCACGCGAGAGGGCCACCCUACGCCUCGCUACUCCUUCCUCCCAUGGUGUUGCUGCCGCUGCUGGUGGAGCUGUGCAAGUCCAUUGGUGUGCACGCGCUGCUGCUCAUGGUGUCAUGGUGCCCGGCAUCAUUGGCGCUCAGCUCUUGUACCUACUGCCCGCCGAAUCGCCAUGCAAUGUCGUCCUGUUCAGAGCUUACGGACAUGGUGCUCACCUGAAUACUAAUAAAAAAAUUUAGUUCCUGCAUGGCUGCACAACCUUCAGUCUUGGUUGACUAUCACGAGUGCAUUUUUGCCUGAGUAGAUUAUCCAAUAGUUGUAGUUGCACAUAUAAUAGUCUGUAGUUGUAUAUAUGAUUUAAAAAGUUGCACAACAUGAUGAUACUAAGUUGGCUAGAUGAUGUUUUUGCAUAAAUUGAUCUAUUUUUGUCGGUCAUAUUUUUAGUUGGCAUCCAUGACAUUAUAAUAUAAUAUAGCAAUGUGUUUGCUGUCAUUUCUCGUGGAACGCGAGGGUAACGACCAUUACACUAUAUCGCUAUCGACGGGCCGGGGUAGCUUAUCGAUAGAGCGCAUAAAGAAGACUCAAGACUGCUCGAUGUUGCUGGAAACAGAAAGGAGGCACGUGCGGCUUCAAGAUAGACCGACCGACUGUACACGGAUUCCAUUCGUGGAUCCGAAUCGAAUCGAUAAACCUAAAUACUUCUUGAUGCACGUGCAUGAUUUUGCUGAACCAAUCGGCCACGCUUGGACCACUCAUUUCGAGCGCAUCGUGCGGCCCACGGCCACCAGGUGUUUCCUGGUCGGGGCGAGACGUGGUUGGCUCAUGCGCUAUCCGAACGGUGUGAACCAAUCGCUCCCUUAAUUUCUCACCUGAAAAAACAAAGGCUUGUCUUUAUCAUCUUUUCAUCGUCUCCAUCGAAUCCGGCGAGGAAGCAUGUUAGGAAUAAGCCACGCAUGAGUAUGUGCUCGUGUGUGUGAUCUAUGUGCAUGGGUGUGACCGUGUACAUGCAAGAUUCUGUUAGUGCAUGCCCUGAUUAGUUAGCUAGUUUGUUGGCUUGGCCAGGUCGCCGGACGAGCGUGUAUGUGAGCGUACGUUUCGGUGAAAGAGUUACCUAGCUAGGUAGGCGAUCCGUUGGGUUCGGCCGUGGCGUGCGUGUCGUGGGAGCGCACGGCCGGGCAUGCACAUCCUGCGGGCGAGGUGGGCUGUGCGUCGUGCGCCAGCCCGGGUAUAAAUUCUAUAGACGCGGGAUAGUUGUAAUGCACUGAGUUGAGCACCAUGUAGACAUUGCAAAAGGAAGAAAGAUUCGCGCGUUCGUGCACCGGUCCGAGAAACUUGUGUCCACUGCGUUCAUCUCCUUCCUUCUUUCUUGUUCAAGCGAGUGAGUUGAGAGGGAGAGGUAGUUCGGGGUUUGUCCCAACAUUUGGUAUCAUGAGCUGGUUCAUCUUGGGCGUCGUUCUUCUUGCCAGAGGUGUGCCGGCGGUGGCGGAGUUCGCCGCGGUUGCGUGAUGCUCCAGGCCGUGGGUCGGCCUAUGGAGGAGUGCGGCGCGGCGAGGAGGCCACGGUGACUGCGGCGGCAUGGUGAGGAGGCCGCGGAGGACCUGCGUGGUGGCGGCUUCAAUGACGACGACGGCGCGGCGAGUGCGUUGCGGCGGCUCGGCGCGACAACGGUGGAGGCGCGUGGCACGGAGCCGCAGCGCUCGUGUCGGAUGCGUCAGGCGCGUGUAUGGGCGCGCGCCGGGCGUGUCAGGCGCGGCGGGACCGUGGUGUAGGGUGGCCGUUGGCGAGCGGGGGUGUGCGCAUCGUGGGCUCGCCGCGUCUAGAUGUGUGCGUGCAUGUCGGAGGGGGCGCGGGCAGAGCGGACGGGACGGGCGCUCGACGUAGGCUGGGACGUGGGUGCGUGCCCGGCGCGUCCCUGCAUAUAAAACCCCACCCGUGUACAUUGUAAUAGCAGUGCCCGGAGUCGAGUUCGAGCUCGAGGGAAUCAAGGUCGUUGGUGUACCAGGAAGAGAAGCUGUGGCGUGUGUCGCCGGAGAUGAAGAAGGCGUUCUCGAUGGCAGUCGACGAGAGGCCGGAGUCCUGUCAGGAUGGGCGGCGAGGUCGUGGCUUAGAUGGGAGAAUGUUAGGAAUAAGUCAGUCAUGAGUAUGUGCUCGUGUGUGUGAUCUAUGUGCAUGGGUGUGACCGUGUGCAUGCAAGAUUCUGUUAGCGCAUGCCCUGAUUAGUUAGCUAGUUUGUUGGCUUGGACGGGUCGCCGUAGGAGCGUGUAUGGGAGCGUACGUUUCGGUGAAAGAGUUAGCUAGCUAGGUAGGCGAUCCAUUGGGAUCGGCCGUGGCGUGCGUGUCGUGGGAGCGCACGGCCGGGCAUGCGGAUCCUGCGGGCGAGGUGGGCUGUGCGUCGUGCGCCAGCCCGGGUAUAAAUUAUGUAAAUGCGGGAUGGUUGUAAUGCAUUGAGUUAUGCACCAUGUAGACAUUGCAAAGAGAAGAAAGAUUCGGGCGUUCGUGCGCCGGUCUGAGAAACUUGUGUCCACUGUGUUCAUUCCCUUCCUUCUUUUUUAUUCGAGCGAGUGAGUUGAGAGGGAGAGGUAGUUUAGGGUUUGUCCCAACAAAGCGGUGUGCCCCGGCCGGAGGCCAAGCCGAGGCGGCCAACCGGAGAAACCUGGAGAGCAGGUCAGCCAAGCAGCCGGACCAGCAAUGCCGCCACCUCCUCCGCCCUCUUUCUAUGAGCUGGAGCCGGAGCCGCCUGAGGGCCACCCUACGCCCCGCUACUCCUCCCGGCGAGGCAUGAAGCCAGACAAAAUUCUCCCAAACCGGUCGGACCGUAGCGGCGCGGUUGUGUUUGCCUUGGACGCACCCCCAUGGUGUUGCUGCCGCUGCUGGUGGAGCUGUGCAAGUCCAUUGAUGUGCACACGCUGCUGCUCAUGGAGUGCUGGUGCCCGGCAUCUUUGGCAUUCAGCUCUUGUACCUACUGCCCGCCGAAUCGCCAGGCAACAUCAUCCUGUUCAGAAAAAAAUUUAGUUCCUGCACGGCUGCAUAACCUCCUGUCUGGGUUGAUUAUCACAAGUGCGUUUUUGCCUGAGUAGAUUAUUCAAUAGUUGUAGUUGCACAUAUUAUAGUCUGUAGUUGUAUAUAUGAUCUAGAAAGUUGCACAACACGAUGAUAUUAAGUUGGCUAGAUGAUGUUUUUGCUUAAAUUGAUCUAUUUUUGUUAGUCAUAUUUUUAUUUGGCAUCCAUGACACUAUAAUAUAAUAUAGCAAUGUGUUUAACGUUUCAUUCAUGUAUUCGAAUUGAAUUGACCGACCGUACACGUGUUCCAUUCGUGGAUUCAAAUUGAAUUGAUAAAAGACCGAGUUUAACGUUUUCACGUACGCUACGCUACGCCGUCCUUGAUUGGAAGGAAAGGAAAGGUCUUCCUUCCUUUCACGUUGCUCCACGUGAACGUUCUCCGCGUCACGUUUUUCAUCAUCAAACAAACCAACCAAAACGUGUUUUAACGUUUUCCUUGGUUUGGUCAUCAAACAAUGAAAUCGGUGCACGCCAGCCCCUCACCAGCGGGAGGGCCUCGAGUCCCCACGGCCGCUGGUGACGGCAAGGCUUCUCCCUGCCACACCCUCAGACAGCAGCAAGGAAGGAGGAAGAGGAGAAGGGGAGGCUAGGCGACGGGAUCUGGGAGCCUCCCGGCUACCACACGAGGGCGACUCGGGAGGGCGCUGUGGCUAGGCGACGGGAUCUCCUUUCUUCUGGAUAGUUUUGAAGAUGAUAUAGAAGAUUAUGUGUGUCGGGAGUGUCGUGUCAUGUCGUGCCAAACAUUCAGAGCUGCAUGGCGCUCCAACGUCGUCGACGAGGCUCUGUAUGCCUGCCAUCCACGGACGAGCUCCUCACGGCUCUCGCCUCAUCUUCGUCUUCGUCUUCAUCUGAUCGACAAAACCUUUGAAAGGCCACACCUUUUGUAUUUUCUCCAAGUCGUUCCCAGAUCUUCUCUUCCCGACGACCCGGCCCAGGCAUGAACGACAAGCUUGCCGUACGGCCGGGCCAGUGUGCUCUCUCGUCUCUAGUCUGUUGUUCUGUGCCGGGACACCAGUGCUGAGGAAGCAUGCAACUAAUCAAGGCGAUCUCUUUGGACCACACCCGCAACUGAUCACGAGGUCCAAGAGUGGCCAUCAUCCCUGCCGACUAGGGCCGGUCCUAAGAUUUUGGGGGCCUUUGGCGAAACUAUAACCAAGGGCCUCUUAAUAUAAAUAUCAAAAUAAUAAUUAAUAUAUGUCUAUAUCAAAUGUUGGGCGCCUUCUCCACUAUUAUUUCCCUUUCUUUGUUAAUUAUUAAGAUAUCCCCAUUUUUGGAUCAUAGAUAUCCAUAAAAAAUUCUUUUGUGUCCAAACUAGCAUAUUCUAUACAAGAUGAAUUAAAUAUGUGCUCAUAAUCACUUACAUUGUUUUCAUCUGUUGGCUGCCGUUCUGCCUUGUCUUCUGGAUUAAGGCUAGUAGCCCGGUCAAAACAAAUGUCAUGGCUGGAUUUCUUCAACUCCUCAUAUUACUCUUAGAAAAAACAAAUAAUAAGUGUCACGUGUGUGGCACUUAUAAGGGUCCACAAAAAAUUAUCAGUGUAUCCUCGCUGUAACUAUAUUAGUUCAUUGUCUCAUUCUUUUUUUUUCUUUCCCCACCAGAUGCAUAUGCUUUAGACGGCAUGCCGUGCUAAAAUUUACAGAAUCAGAAAAAAAAAAUAGAAACUAACUCAUAGUUACAAAGGUGUUAAAUCAAUUCAAUCAAAUCUUACCUAACAUCAGUUUAUCAAAGCGAACUCACAAGUUCCAAAUCCCAAUACCAUCUCUUUCUGAAGUGAGUAUGUUGGGGUUGGGUUGUAGUCUAGAUCCUUCACGUACGUGUAUCACAUGAUCUUUAGNNNNNNNNNNNNNNNNNNNNNNNNNNNNNNNNNNNNNNNNNNNNNNNNNNNNNNNNNNNNNNNNNNNNNNNNNNNNNNNNNNNNNNNNNNNNNNNNNNNNNNNNNNNNNNNNNNNNNNNNNNNNNNNNNNNNNNNNNNNNNNNNNNNNNNNNNNNNNNNNNNNNNNNNNNNNNNNNNNNNNNNNNNNNNNNNNNNNNNNNNNNNNNNNNNNNNNNNNNNNNNNNNNNNNNNNNNNNNNNNNNNNNNNNNNNNNNNNNNNNNNNNNNNNNNNNNNNNNNNNNNNNNNNNNNNNNNNNNNNNNNNNNNNNNNNNNNNNNNNNNNNNNNNNNNNNNNNNNNNNNNNNNNNNNNNNNNNNNNNNNNNNNNNNNNNNNNNNNNNNNNNNNNNNNNNNNNNNNNNNNNNNNNNNNNNNNNNNNNNNNNNNNNNNNNNNNNNNNNNNNNNNNNNNNNNNNNNNNNNNNNNNNNNNNNNNNNNNNNNNNNNNNNNNNNNNNNNNNNNNNNNNNNGUGCCGCGGUCCAACGCUUACUCGCCGUGUCACACCUAAGCAAAGCGCCCAAGCAAGAGCUAUACUGGAUUCAUCCUCCAUCGGGAUGGGCUAAGCUCAACAUAGAUGGUAUUCAUGCCCCUUCGACCGGAGAGGCUGCAGGGGCAUGGUUCUACGCGAUGAGAGAGGCGACAUCAUCUAUAUUGGUUGUAGAAAAAUUCUUACAUGCGAUAAUGACCUUGGGGCAGAGCUAGCUGCAUGCAGAGAGGGCUUGAAGCUAGCUCUACACCGGUCGAGCCUGCCCAUUAUGAUCGAGCUUGACUAUGCCGAAGGAGUGUCUAUGUUGCUAGCACAAACUGAAGCUAGAACACAUCACCGGUUACUCGUAUGGACCCUGCACUGCAGUGUGGGUGUGCUCGGGGCAAGACUUUGUUGUAAACCUUUCUAAGGCUGACAAGCCUCCUUGAGUAAUGAAAUCUCUCUUUACACCGCAAAAACAAAAACAAAAACUUCAAGAAAGGAAAAGGUGUGUACGUGCAUGUUUUGAUGUGUAGGCAUAUUAAACUAUGUACUAGUCCUCAUCAGCGCAAGAUUGAUGGAUCCGGUCGUCAGAUCUGUGGGAACGAGUGGGAUCAACCACUUCGCUGCAACCAAGACGAGUCCUAUUAACUUACCCUAAAUUGCAAGAUAAUAAGUGAUUGAACCACUCAUUAAUGCCCCGGUCUUUGGUCUCCUGCAUGCAGUACCAUAUCCAGCCAAUCCCUGGCCUUUUGGAGUAAAGGGGUGUUUGUUUACAUGGACUUAUUAGUGUAGGGACUUAAAAAAAUCCCUUUUAGUCCCAUCUGAAACAAACAAGAGGGACUUAUAGAGACUUAAAGUGGACAUUUAGGACUUAUGAAACAAGAUCAUGAGGGAGAGUCUUUUUGGGACUUUUAGUUGUAAUAUGGUCUUUUAGUCAAUGUUUAGUCCCAGAAACCAAAUAUGUAAGGACUUUUUAGGGACUAACGACUUUUUAGUUGGGACUAAAACAAGUUCUAUUACUUAUGAACAAAACAGGGCCUAAAGUCUGUUGAUCCAUGCAGCAUGCAGUAUUGCCUGAGUAAAAUGCUCCGGUAAUCUGCCUAAUUUAAUGCAUGCCGAUUAAUUUUACGGGAAUAUCUGAGAUUCAUGACCCACUCGGAGGGAGUGGUAUAGUCCAGUCAUUAAGGCUAAAACAAUACAUCUUGACCAGCCGUCGGAUCGGCGCAGACGGCUGGGAUCAGUCGGAGAUGGGGAUCAAUCCCUGGUAGGCGGUGACGGGCCAAUCGCAAGCAAGCAGCAAAAUUUCUUUUCUAUUCCUUAGAUUUAGACUAGUAAGUGUGCACGUGCAAAUGCACGUCUCGACUAAUAUGACAAACAUAUGUAGGAAUUAACAUACACAUAAAGAUAUUUUGAUUGCACUCAAAAGACUACUACAAAUCAAGAAACACUUUAGGCCAAGUUUGGCAACAUAGUUUUCUCAAAACAAUAGUAAUCGAAAACCUCAGUAUUCAAUUGCCUAGGCAAUGAAUUCUUCAGUUUUUAAAAAUCACAGUUUUUUCAGUUUAUAAAAAAGUGGUCAAGACCUCUUUCUUAAAUACUACCAAAAAAACCAUGGUACUGGAGAUACUACGGUUUAUAAAGCUAUGAUAUUUGUUGAAGCCAAACACCUCAAAGUUUUGAAAACUUUGGUUUAUGAGAAAGCGGUGGUAUUCUCCAAAUACUUCAAAAAAACUGAGCAGCCAAAUGCAGCCUUAAUGUAUGACCAACUGGUCAUAUGCAUUGAGCCAAAAAAUUAUCCCAGUAUUUCCUAAUAAGGCUAGUGAAUUCUCGUAAACAUGCGGAAUGUUAUUUGCGGCUUCAUUGUUGAUGUAGUUGAGUAGCUGCACCAAAAAUUGCUUCUUUAUCUGGUCACCAUCCUGAAUGAAAAUAGUAAGUCAAUAUUGAUCCUGCAAAUUGGUUGAUUUAGUUCUUUCGCAUCCCAUGAGUGCAAUAAAUUAAAAGCAAAAUAACCAGAGAAGUUCCUGUAGAUAAAUGCAUUACCAUUGUCUUGAGUGUUAGAAAAACUAAAUAAGAUGCUUUAGUGGGUUUCAUAGGUAGUCACCUGUCUGUGCUUUCUGGAACACAAGCUAGUAAUCGACCAUGGAAAAAUAAACAUCAUUCCAUUUGGGAUUUGCUACUUGGAGUGCUUGGUUUAGGUAAAAUGAGAUGCACAUCCUUCAAAGAUGGAACUCGGCGGGCAUCAACUCUCUUGCGCAUCAUAGUAAACAAAAGCAAGAAACUUAAGGACGAGAGAAGAAAAGAAAGUAAAAUUCAGACAAGUUGAAUUAAUUUGGAAAGGCUAAUGCAUUAGAUUAAUACUAUAAAUACCAUAUACCAAGCAUCAUGCUGAAACCAUAGUGAGUACUUACAACAGUUCUUGUAAUAAUUGAGUACUUACAACAUCUUAACAUUAGAACAUUGUACGCAAUAUCUCAUUAAUGUUCGAAUCAGUAUAAGGGAAUAGAAAUCACAUCCAAUCCCAUAAAAUAUUACAUUUGCUAAGUGCAAUGUCUGAACUGACCGCAACAUAUGAUUAUUCAAGAGGGACAUCACUUUACUAAACGAAAAUUGUAAAUGAUACAGAAAAAUAAGUAUCACAAAUAUGAAUGGAACUCAACAACAAAACCAAUGAAGCAAAAGCAAAGACUGCUUAUGAGCUAGUUUAUUUAGAUUGAAACUGAUGAGCUAGUUCAUUUAUUAGCUAGUUCCUUGCAUGAGAUGUAUUCUCUUGAGAAACAUGACACCUUAAAAAAACACAGGACACCUUAUAUUGAACUCAACAACAACAGCUUGUGUUCUACUAAGUGCAUGUAGAGUUGUCCAUUAACCUGAACAUCAUCAACCUAACUUGGAAAAAUAAAAAUGUUAAUGUCAGAGUUCAUACUUCCAUUUCAUCUUGUGCCUCCUUUCUAUUUCUCUACCAUUGGGUACUCGAGCUUGAAGCUGAUUCUACCUCCAACCUUUACUAGGACAAAACAUAAGACCAUCUCAUUGUCGGAAUUACAACAGUGCUCAAUUCAACAACUAAUUUCUCAGAUUCAUUACUCUAGUAAUUGUUAGUUUGCUCCUAAACUGAUAGUACUCCCAGUUUACAUGUUUUGUGUAUAUGUGUUUUGGCUUUUUCAAACUUGAUUGGUGCUCAUGGUGUUACCAAAUUACCAAUAAGCACCAGCUGCAAUCAAGAAUAGUACACCACCUCUCCACUUAAUCCACAACACAGUCCUACAGAAUCAAGUUAAUUUUUUUCCUCUACUAAUGUAUACAGGAAGCAAAAAAUUCAGGUUCAGUCAUAUGAAUGUAGUACAAGCUUUUUUCAGGUUCAAACAACAUUGUAGUGGAAGCUUUUUUCAGGUUCAGACAAAUUCGUAAAAUAAUAAUAGGGAAGAAGAAAGUACAAAAACUGGUUGUAAUCAUUUGUAACACCGCUUCCAAUGGAGGUUUAACACGUGGUUCACCGACCUUUGGACCGCACAAAAUGAACAGUGUGCCUACAACACUACAGAGCUAGUAACGACUAAAAGAUUUCCUGCAUUGAACAAAGCAAAGUAUCCUCUACAAAAAGGGAUUUGUAAACCAUUGCUACAACAUAUGAUAUUCUUUCCUUUGAAAAUUGUUGUUCGUCGUAAUAUCAAAUUACCAAAAAGGUUAUAGGUGCAACCAAUAGUGCGUACAUUACAAUUCCACAACCUCCAUUUCACCUACUCGAGCAAACAAUAUUUUCACAAUGACCAGUGUAAACUUUUAGCUCUGUCACAAUAACCAUAAAUGUUUACUAUCCCUGAAGGAAUUUUCGCACAAGAUCGACCCAUUGAAUUUUUGGAGGGUGUGUGUGUGUGUGUGUGUGUGUGUGUGUGUGUGUGUGUGUGUGUGAGAGGGGAGGAUGGGGGCAGGGGGAGUUUGUAGUAAUGCAACCUGUAGCAUUCUGAACAGGAGUCGACACGACAUGCGAAUCCUGGAUGUCCAGGCUGCCUAGCCCAGCCGCUUCCGCCUUGUUGCGAGGUAGGUAAGCCAGUAACCUGCCGGCUGCUCUGCUUCCACUGCUGCUGCCGGCGCCAGUUUUAGGUGGUGAGGUGGAAGACCGAAUGAGGAGGGCAGUGAAGGAACUACAGUGAGAUUUUAACAUCAUAAAAUUCUUUAGGAGAUUUAUGUACUCCAAAUAUUCUGAAAUUUGUACACCAGCGAGUAUGCACUCACUAGCUAGCAACUGAAUUGAUAUAGCAGAUAAUAUUCCCCAUAGUGCACAAAACAAUUGAAGCAGAUGAACAAGCAGAAAUGAAUAUUCAGAUAGGACCAUGCUUACAUAAUGGCUACCUUCCAGAUGGAGAAGUUGAGGAGGAGGAUAGGCAGCAUCAUAUCGGCCGCUGCCACCGUCGAAUGUCCCCAUAUCCUCCUCUUCCUACUUUCACUGUUCAUUUGCUCGUCCAGCGCUUGCGUGCAGCUUCUGGCAGCAAGAAGCACCAAAGAACUGAAAAUACCUUACCAUAUUUUUAUAAAUGGCAUCCCUAAAAUCAAAAGGUUGGAACUUCAAAGGAAAAGAUCACAGCAACAAACUAUGGAUUAUGUUGUUGCAAACUUGCAACUGCAGGAAAAUUUACCUUUUUCUGUACAUAAAUACCUUAUAACCUUUUCUAUUAACAGAUGCUGUAGAGAUGCUGUUACUUAAACAAAAAUGCAGGAAAAUAUCAUAUGAAAUCAUCGAUCUGGAUCCUUUUUUAAAUACAACAACGGAUCCAUGUAAGAAGAAUUAAACCUAAAAACCAGAGUACUGCAUACAAACUAUGAGCUAGCUUACUUUUUGCAUGGCUAACAACUUGAAAAUCUUGCAACAGAUGUAACAAUAAAAAAAUCUAUUAGACAUGAUUUUGAAAAAUCUUGUAACUGGCAUGUCAAACGUAUAGGGUAAUAUCAGAAGUCCAGGUGCUAGUCACAUGAACCUGCACCAUGUAGGUAAUUAUCCAGAACAAAAAUAACCUAUUGUUGAACUUGUCACAAACCAUGGAAGAAAUCACAUCAAGUCAGUAUAACGAUUAUCCCUCGUCAGAUAAAAAGUUGCUGGAAUAUUUUUUUAUCGACAAUAAUAGUACAGUUCAUAACAAAUAAAUCAAGAUCGAGCUCGAGCCUAUAUUCAGAAUCAGACCAGAAAACUUAGAUAAUUUAAUUUAGGAUCUGAAAGAGGGGGGAGAGCUUAAUGGGUGGUUGUGCUCCCGAUCUAGCGGAAGAGUAUGAAGUAGGCGCUACAGAUCACUAGCAUACGGGAGCCAUCAAUCAACUGUCUCGAGGUCGAGCAGUGGCAGGGAGCAGACGUCCAUGUAGUGAAGCCUGCGGAUGGUAUACCGCAUCAGCGCGUGCUUGAGCAAAGGGAAGAAGGGGCGGAUGGUAGAGUGUACCAACGGGGAGGAGGCCCUAUGGAAGGAGACAGAGACAGGAAGACCCGCUUCACGCCGCCGCCUCCUUCGAUCCGUGUUGGUCGUCGAAGCUUGGUUGGUUGUUGCCCGGGGGCCGUGGGCUAUGGCGGCUCGAUGAAGAUGAAAGAACGGUGUACGACGGUGCAAGUGGGAGGGAAGAGGAUGGGCGCGAGGUGGUAAAUGACUGGCGGUCGGAAGGGGAAGAGGGGGCAGCGAGAUCUCCGUCAUGGUCGUGGGCGACGGGCGUUGGCUUGGUUUCUUCCAAGGGAGGCGCCGGAGAGGGAGGCCGCGGGGCAUGCUCCGGCAGUUGGGCGGUGGAGGCAAUUGGGUGGGCUCAGAGAAAAUAGUGGGGGAUGGGCGCGGGGGCGGUGGAGGCACGGGCGGGGUUAGUGCGAUUUCUUUUUUCUUUUCUUUGAAGUGUUUGUGCGGGUUAGUGCGGUUGCUAAAACAUGUGUUUGAUCUAAAACGCGUUUGAUGAGCGAUCUGGAACCUACAAAAAUCAAUAGACGGAUGAGAUGUUGUUUUGUUCGGUGGAGGAGAGGAACGAUUCAUUCCUUCCCUCGCCGCCCCGUCUCCCUCGCACGCCGCCGGCCAUGGCCUCCGCCCUCUCCCUCUCACCCUCACUCGCCGCUGGCCACCGCCCUCUCCUACUCUCAUCCUCUCCCCUCUUCACAAGAUAAGAUAAGAGAACCAAUUAGUCCAGUCGGCUUGCCGCUAGCCGACUGGAAGCCAAUCGGCCUGUGGUGGGCUGAUUAGGGGCAUGUGGCCAUUUUUCUUUUUCUGUUUUUGGUUUUAGUUGUUGUUUUCUAUUUAUUCUACCUAUCAAAUGAAUCUAGUUUGUGUUGAAACUUUUUGCAUAAAUUACUAGCAAUAUUAACAAGCCACAUAUAAAUUUUCAUAUUUUUUGGAAAACCAAAUUUUUACAAUUGUAUUUGAUAGCUCCUGGUGAAUAUAGAUCGGGUUUAAAUUUAUCUAUCCAAAUUGAUUUUUUUAUUUUUAAAGAUGUCAAAAUAUCAAGGAGAAUAAUUUAAUUUUUUUGUGAAACAAUUUGAGAAUACAUUUUUAGCUGAUGAAACAAUUUGAAACAAUAUGAAACAUUUUUUGUGAAAUAAUUUGAGGAAAAUUCUUUUUUGGCUUAUGAAACAAUUUGAGAAUACUUUUUUGGCUUAUGAAACAAUUUGUGAAUUUUCCUCAAAUUGUUUCAGAAAAAUUGUUUCAUAUUGUUUCAAAUUGUUUCAUAAGCCAAAAAAAAAUUCCUCAAAUUGUUUCACAAAAAUGUUUAAACCAUUCUCCUCAAUAUUUUAACAUUUAUAAAAAUCAAAAAAAUUAAUUUGGAUAAUUUAAUUUAAAUCCUAUCGGUUUCACCAGGAGCUAUCAAAUGUAAAUAUGUGGUUUUCCAAAAAUUAUGAAAAUUUAUAUGUGGCUUGUUAAUAUUGCCAGUAAUUUAUGCAAAAAGUUUCAACACAAACCAGAUUCAUUUGAUUGCUAGAAUAAAUAGAAAACGACAACUAAAACCAAAAACAGAAAAAGAAAAAUGGUCAUAUGCACCUAGUCGGCCCACAGCAGGCCGAUUGGCCUUUAGUCGGCCCGCAGCAAGCCGACUGGGACUAAUUGGCUUGCUGCGAACCAAUUAGUCCCAGUUGGCUUGCUGCGGGCCGACUGGAGGCCAAUCGGCCAACCGUGGGCCGACUAGGCUCAGUUUGCCUGCAGCGGGCCGAUGGUGUAUUAUUUUUGAAAAUAAAAAUAUCGGCAUAAUAUUUAUGCAAAUUAAAUGAGUAAAUGUAUUAUAUUAUUUUAAAAAAACUAGCGCGAGGAUGCGGCCGUCUGCUCGUCCGUGCGGUUCCGCUUUUGCCUGCUCUGUGCCCACGCCAUGGAGAUAGAGCUUCCUCUGUUUGCUCCCCUCUCGAGCCCACCUUGGAUCUGCUCUUAUCUCCUCCCGUUCCAUCAUUUGGUUCCCUGCUCACGCAGGCACGCGUCCGACACCACCAGCAUUGAACCCUAGCCGGCAUUGUUUGGCUGGGAGAAGCAGCUCCCCUCCUCGUCGGCUACCCCUGCCUGCCCCUCCGCUCUGCUCUCUCGUGUGCCCACGAUGGCCUUCUUGUUCCUAAUUUUGAUUUGGACACCGUAUACACAUGAUGAGGAUUAGGCAUGUGUAAUGGGGAUUGGGAUGCAGAUUCCAUAUCUGCAAGUGUAAUGACUAGAAACUGAUCAAGUUCCUCCUGAGUUCAGAUCCCAAUUUGCUUGCUGCAUUACAUUAAAUGGCUGUGUGAAAACUGAAACUUUGAUCACAUAUAUAAUUUUGUCUGGUCAAUGGUUAGUGCACCCCCUCCUCCAAUUUGUCUAGAUCAGGCUUAUGUGUUAUCUUCAUUACAUCCUCUACUAGCAAAACGAUCCAAGUGAAAAAUUAACAAUUUCCUGCGAGAUUGUCAAGCGUGGGCAUCCUUUUGUAUUUAUAGUCUCCAAAAGUUAUAGAUAGGAGGCACAUGGUGUUUCGAAAUAUUACAUGCAUUGCCUACUGCUUGGUGCCUAUAUUUACAGCUUCUUCCUGCGUCUGUUGUUGUUCUUCCAGGGAGACCGUUACUGUGAUUUCCCUGUGCUCGUUUGGAGGAGGCGUUCAUUCCUUUUAAGCCCCCACUACUAGAAAAAAUCUUAUACACAGAAACUUACCAGUAGCGCGGGCUAAAAAAAAGCGCUACUAUAAUUUACCACUACCGCGUGUGAAAUAAUCGUGCUGCAGCUAAGUUUGUAGCAGUAGCGUGUCUCGCUAAAGAAGCGCUACUACUACAAUUCCCCUACUGUUCUCGACAGGCUACCAUUAGUAGUAGCAUGCUUAGAAAAAGUGCGCUGCUGCUAAGACUAUUGUAGCAGCGUGUUUUACGCACAAAGCGCUACUGCUAAGGAAAGAAAAAUAAAAUGAAAAACAUAUAGAAAAGUAAAUGAAAAUGAAAGAAAUAGAAAAAUGGGAAGGAGAAAAAGAAAAUGUGAAUGAAAAUAAAUGAAAAAUAAAAAUAAGGGAGAAAGACGUAGCAGCAGCGGGCUUUUUGGACACGCGCUAUAGCUAUCUUAGCAGUAGCGCUUGUUGCCAUCCAGCCCUAUAGCUAACGUAGCAAUAGCGCUUUUCCUGGAACGCGCUACUGCUACUUUUGAAUUAACCACGCGUGGUUCUUCUUCCCCGCGGCCAUUUCACCCAAAUCGAACUCGCGCGUCUGUUGUCGCCGCUGUCGUCGCCCGGCCGCCGCGCGCGGUCUCCCUUCGCCCUCCGCAUGCCGUCGACGCCGCCCCCGACCCCGACCUCGACACCCCCCUACAUCGCCGCCCUCCGGCGUGCGCCCGCCGCCCCGACCCCGACCCGUCCCCGACCUCGACGCCGCGUGCCCCUCUCCCUAACUCCGCCGGCGCCCGAGGUGAGCACGCCCUCUUUUGGUGUCAAAACCGGCGGAUCUCGGGUAGGGUGUCCCGAAUUGUGCGUCUAAGAUCGAUGGUAACAGGAGACAGGGGACACGAUGUUUACCCAAGUGAUACGUCUCCAAUGUAUCUAUAAUUUUUUAUUGUUCCAUGCUAUUAUAUUACUUGUUUUGGAUGUUUAUGGGCUUUACUCUACACUUUUAUAUCAUUUUUAGGACUAACCUACUAAUCGGAGGCCCAGCCCGAAUUGCUGUUUUUUGCCUAUUUCAGUGUUUCGAAGGAAAGGAGUAUCAAACGGAGUCCAAACGGAAUGAAACCUUCGGGAGCGAUCGUUUUGGAACAAACGCAAUCCAUGAGACUCGGAGUGGACAUCAAGAAGCGAAUGAGGCGGCCACGAGGGUGCCCGGCGUGCCCUGUAAGGGUGGGCGCGCCCCCGCCCUCGUGGGCCCCUUGAGCGUCCACCGACCUACUUCUUCCUCCUAUAUAUGUCCACGGACCCCGAAAACAUCCGGGAGCACCACGAAAAACUAUUUCCACCGCCACAACCUUCUGUAUCCGCGAGAUCCCAUCUUGGAGCCUACGUCGGCGCUCCGCCGGACGGGGAAUCGACCAUGGAGGGCCUCUCCAUCAUCCCCAAGGUCUCUCCGAUGAGUUGUGAGUAGUUUACCACAGACCUUCGGGUCCAUAGUUAUUAGCUAGAUGGAAUUCUUCUUUCUUUUUGAUUCUCAAUACAAAGUUCUCCUUCCUCUUCUUGUAGAUCUAUUCGAUGUAACUCUUUUUAUGGUGUAUUUGUCGAGAUCUGAUGAAUUGUGGGUUUUUGAUCAAGUUUAUCUAUGAGAAAUAUUUGAAUCUCCUCUGAAUUCUUUUAUGUAUGAUUGGUUAUCUUUGCAAGUGUCUACGAAUUAUCAGUUUGGUUUGGCCUACUAGAUUGAUCUUUCUUGCCAUGAGAGAAGUGCUUAGCUUUGGGUUCAAUCUUGCAGUGUCCUUUCCCAGCGACAGCAGGGGCAGCAAGGGACGUAUUGUAUUGUUGCCAUCGAGGAUAAAAAGAUGGGGUUUAUAUCAUAUUGCAUGAGUUUAUCCCUCUACAUCAUGUCAUCUUGCUUAAUGCGUUACUUUGUUCUUAUGAACUUAAUACUCUAGAUGCAGGUAGGAGUCGGUCGAUGUGUGGAGUAAUAGUAGUAGAUGCAAAAUCGUUCGGUCUACUUGUUGCGGAUGUGAUGCCUAUAUACAUGAUCAUGCCUAGAUGAUCUCAUAAUAUGCACUUUUCUAUCAAUUGCUCGACAAUAGUUUGUUCGCCCGCAGUAAUAAUUAUACUAUCUUGAGAGAAGCCCCUAGUGAAAUCUUUGGCCCCCGGGUCUAUCUUUUAUCAUAUAAGUUUUCCAUCUACUUUUAGUUGCAUCUUUUAUUUUCCAAUCUAUAUCAUAAAAAUACCAAAAAUAUUUAUCUUAUCAUAUUAUCUCAAUCAGAUCUCACUUUCGCAAGUUACCGUGAAGGGAUUGACAACCCCUUUAUCGCGUUGGUUGCGAGGUUCUUGUUUGUUUGUGUAGGCGCAUGGGACUUGGAAAGGGCCUCCUACUGGAUUGAUACCUUGGUUCUCAAAAACUAGGGAAAUACUUACGCUACUUUGCUGCAUCGCACUUUCCUUUUCAAGGGAAAAACCAAUGCAUGCUCAAGAGGUAGCAAGAAGGAUUUCUAGCGCCGUUGCCGGGGAUGUCUUCGCUCCAGUCAAGACAUACCAAGUGCCCAUCACAAACUCAUCUCCCUCACAUUACAUUAUUGACCAUUUGCCUCUUGUUUUCCUCUCCCCCACUUCACCCUUGCCAUUUUAUUCGCCCUCUCUUUUCCGUUCGCCUUCCAUUUUCCAUGGCCGAGUCAAAAAGAACUAAGGGUUCUCUCUGAGUUAUAGUACUUUGGAUAGUCCCUCUGUCCUCUCUAAGCUCCUAAAUAAUGAUGUUGUGGAAAGGCCUGCCGGGGUUACCAAUGAGAAUUUAAAUAAUUUUGAUGAAGAGGACUCUGGAAUUUUUCGUUAUUUACUUGAUGAGUCUUUAAAAGAUGCUUGGGAUAGGCUAUUAAGGAUUAGAGCUAGCUAUGUGCCACAAUAUCUAAUUGAGAUUUAUCUAAGAAGCUUUUAUGUUGGGUUACCACCUUCGUUUAAACAGGUUUUAGAUUCUAUUUUUGAAGAAGGUUUUCUUGAAGGAGACGCUAUAGACACUUACGAAAAAAUGAAAACUAUAUUUGGGCACCCCAUGAAUGAUAAGGUUGAAUCCACCACUCUCUUAUGCUUUUAUCAAAACGAAAUUAUUAGAGAUGAAAGCUAGCCUAGAUGCAAAUUUCCGUAACGUGCUUAAUCUUUCUUCCUCCAUUAAUGGCCACGUGAUUUCCUAAAAUAGAAGGAAAAUGCUAUAGAUAAGAAAUUUUCUCUUUUCUUUCCGAAUACCAAAGAUGGCAAUACUUAGAUCCAUUCUGGCUUUUAAUGCCUAGCUAGGGGCGUUAAACGAUAGCGCUUGUUGGGAGGCAACCCAAUUUUAUUUUUGUUCCAUGCUUUUUUUUCCUGUUUAGUAAUAAAGAAUUAACCUAGCCUCUGGUUAGAUGUGGUUUUAUGUUUUAAUUAGUGUUUGUGCCAAGUAGAACCUAUAGGAUAACUUACGGUGAUAGUUAAUUUGAUUCUGCUGAAAAACAGAAAGUUUGCGCUCUCGAGAAAAAAAUCAAUAAAUCACAGAAACAUGCUUUUGCAUUGAUUCUUUCCGCUGGUGAUCAAUAGACAAAUUUCCUAGGACGUCCUAUUUUGGUAGGAUUUUUGGAGUUCCAGAAGUAUUCGAAAGUUACAGAUUGCUACAGGCUGUUCUCUUUUUGAUAGUUCUGUUUUUCAUGUGUUCUUUGCUUAUUUUGAUGAAUCUAUGGCUGGUAUCGGGGGGUAAGAACCGUAGAGAAGUUGUAAUACAGUAGGUUUAACACCAAUAUAAAUAAAGAAUGAGUUCAUUACAGUACCUUAUGUGGUGGUUUUUCUUUCUUGCACUAACGGAGCUUAUGAUAUUUCCUAUUGAGUUUUGUGUUGUGAAGUUUUCAAGUUUUGGGUAAAAAUUUGAUGGACUAUGGAAUAAGGAGUGGCAAAAGCCUAAGCUUGGGGAUGCCCAUGGAACCCCAAGAUAUUCAAGGACAACCAAAAGCCUAAGCUUGGGGAUGCCCCGGAAGGCAUCCCCUCUUUCGUCUUCGUCUAUCGGUAACUUUACUUGGAGCUAUAUUUUUAUUUACCACAUGAUAUGUGUUUUGCUUGGAGCACCUUGUAUGAUAUGAGUCUUUGAUUUUUAGUUUACCACAAUCAUCCUUGUUGUACACACCUUUUGGGAGAGACCCACAUGAUUUAGAAUUUAUUAGAAUACUCUAUGUGCUUCACUUAUAUCUUUUGAGCUAGAUAGUUUUGCUCUAUGUGCUUCACUUAUAUUUUCUAGAGCACCGUGGUGGCUUUAUUUUGAAGAAAUUGUUGAUUAAUACGUCCAUUUUGCAUCAUGCUUUUAUAUCAAUAUUUAUUGCGUUAUGGGCUGUUAUUACACAUUAUAUAUCAAUACUUAUGGCUAUUCUCUCUUAUUUUAUAAGGUUUACCAUGAAGAGGGGGAAUGCCGGCAGCUGGAAUUCUGUCUGGAAAAGGAGCAAACAUUAGAAACCUAUUCUGCACUGCUCCAAAAGACCUGAAACUCCACAAAACUUAUUUUUCGAAUUAAUAAGAAUUAUUGAGCGGAAGAAACACCUCAGGGGGCCCACACCCUGGCCAGGAGGGUGGGGGUGUGCCCACCCCUACUGGGCGCGCCCCCUGUCUCCUGCGCCCCCUGGUGGCCCUCCUGUGUCCAUCUUCUUCUAUAUGAAGGCUUUUACCCUGGAAAAAAAAUCAUGGGCAAGCUUACGGGACGAAACUCCACCGCCACGAGGCGGAACCAAUCUAGAGCUCCGGCAGAGCUGUUCUGCCGGGGACACUUCCCUCCGGGAGGGGGAAAUCAUCACCAUCGUCAUCACCAACGAUCCUCCCAUCGGGAGAGGGUCAAUCUCCAUCAACAUCUUCACCAGCACCAUGUCCUCUCAAACGCUAGUUCAUCUCUUGUAUCCAAUCUCGUAUCCAAAACCACAAAUUGCUACUUGUGGGUUGGUAGUAGUGUUGAUUACUCCUUGUAGUUGAUGCUUAUUGGUUUACUUGGUGGAAGAUCAUAUGUUCAGAUCCUUAAUGCAUAUUAUUACUCCUCUGAUUAUGAACAUGAAUAUGCUUUGUGAGUAGUUACGUUUGUUCCUGAGGACAUGGGUGAAGUCUUGCUAUUAGUAGUCAUGUGAAUUUGGUAUUCGUUCGAUAUUUUGAUGAGAUGUAUGUUGUCUUUCCUCUAGUGGUGUUAUGUGAACGUCGACUACAUGACACUUCACCAUUAUUUGGGCCUAGAGGAAGGCAUUUGGAAGUAAUAAGUAGAUGAUGGGUUGCUAGAGUGACAGAAGCUUAAACCCUAGUUUAUGCAUUGCUUCGUAAGGGGCUGAUUUGGAUCCAUAUGUUUAAUGUUGUGGUUAGGUUUACCUUAAUACUUCUUUUGUAGUUGCGGAUGCUUGCAAUAGGGGUUAAUCAUAAGUGGGAUGCUUGUCCAAGUAAGGGCAGUACCCAAGCACCGGUCCACCCACAUAUCAAAUUAUCAAAGUACCGAACGUGAAUCAUAUGAGCGUGAUGAAACUAGCUUGACGAUAAUUCCCAUGUGUCCUCGGGAGCGCUUUUCUCAUUAUAAGAAAUUGUCCAGGCUUGUCCUUUGCUACAAAAUGGAUUGGGCGACCUUGCUUCACUUUAUUUACUUUCAUUGCUUGUUACUCAUUACAAUUUAUCUUAUCACAAAACUAUCUAUCACCUACAAUUUCAGUGUUUGCAGAGAAAACCUUACUGAAAACUGCUUAUCAUUUCCUUCUGCUCCUCGUUGGGUUCGACACUCUUACUUAUCGAAAGGACUACGAUAGAUCCCCUACACUUGUGGGUCAUCAAGACUCUUUUGUGGCACCGUUGCCGGGGAGUGUAGCGCUUUUGGUGAGUGGAACUUGGUAAGGAAACAUUAUUAUAGUGUGAUGACAUUUUCUAUUACUUGUCACUAUGGAAACUAAUCCUUUGAGGGGCUUGUUUGGGGCAUCUUCGCCCCGACCAGUAGAGCAAAGAGUUGCUCCUCAACCUACUGAACCUACUGAAAAUGUUUACUUUGAAAUUCCUUCGGGUAUGAUAGAGAAACUGCUAGCUAAUCCUUUUGCAGGAGAUGGAACAUUGCAUCCCGAUUUACACCUUAUCUUUGUGGAUGAAGUUUGUGGAUUAUUUAAGCUUGUAGGUAUUCCCAAUGAUGUUUCCAAAAGGAAGGUCUUCCCUUUAUCUUUGAAGAGAGAUGCAUUGACAUGGUAUAGGCUAUGUGAUGAUACGGGGUCUUGGAAUUAUACACGAUUGAUGUUGGAAUUUCACCAGAAGUUCUAUCCUAUGCAUCUUGUUCAUCGUGAUCGUAAUUACAUAUAUAAUUUCUGGCCUCGCGAAGGAGAAAGCAUCGCUCAAGCUUGGGGGAGGCUUAAGUCAAUGUUAUAUUCAUGCCCCAAUCAUGAGCUCUCUAGAGAAAUGAUUAUUCAAAAAAUUUAUGCUCGGCUUUCUCUCAAUGAUCUCACCAUGCUCGAUACUUCCUGUGCUGGUUCUUAUAUGCUGAAGACUAUUGAAUUCAAAUGGGACUUAUUGGAAAGAAUUAAACGCAACUCUGAAGACUGGGGUUCCGACGAUGGUAAGGAGUCAGGUAUGACACCUAAGUUUGAUUGUGUUAAAUCUUUUAUGGAUACCGAUGCUUUUCGUGGAUUUAGCGCUAAAUAUGGACUUGACUCUGAGAUAGUAGCUUCUUUCUGUGAAUCUUUUGCUACUCACGUUGAUCUCCCUAAGGAGAAGUGGUUCAAAUAUAAUCCUCCCAUUGAAGUAAAAGUAGUUGCACCUGUUACAGUUGAAGAAAAGGCUAUUACUUAUAAUGAUCCUAUUGUUCCUACUACUUAUGUUGAGAAACCACCUUUUCCUGUUAGAAUGAAGGAUCAUGCUAAAGCUUCAACUGUUGUUCGUAAGAGUAAUACUAGGACUUAUACACCUCCUGAGCAAAUCAAAGUUGAACCUAGUAUUGCUAUGGUUAAAGAUCUCUUGGAUGAUAAUUUAGAUGGGCAUGUUAUUUACUUCUGUGGUGAAACUGCUAAUAUUGUUAAACCAGAUACUAAGAUACAUAGACCUGUGGUAGGCAUGCCUGUUAUUUCUGUUAAAAUAGGAGAUCAUUGUUAUCAUGGCCUAUGUGAUAUGGGUGCUAGUGCUAGUGCAAUACCUAUUUCCUUAUACCAAGAGAUUAUGCAUGAUAUUGCACCUGUUGAGUUAGAAGAUAUUGAUCUUACAAUUAAGCUUGCCAAUAGAGAUACUAUUAGGCCUUUUGGGAUUGUUAGAGAUGUUGAAGUCUUGUGUGGGAAGGUCAAAUACCCUGCUGAUUUUCUUGUUCUCAGUUCCCCCAAGAUGACUUUUGUCCCAUUAUAUUUGGUAGACCAUUCUUGAACACUGUUAAUGCUAAGAUUGAUUGCGAAAAGGAUGUUGUUAUGAUUGGCUUGGAGGAUAUGACUCAUGAAUUUAAUUUUGCUAAAUUUCAUAGACAACCCCGUGAUAAAUAAUUACCUAGUAAAUAUGAAAUAAUUGGUCUUGCUUCUAUUGCCGUGCCUCCUACUGAUCCGUUAGAACAAUAUUUGCUUGACCAUGAAAAUGAUAUGUUUACGAAAGAAAGAAGGGAAAUAGAUGAAGUGUUCCUUAAACAAGAACCUAUUCUGAAACAUAACCUUCCCGUUGAAAUUCUAGGGGAUCCUCCUCCACCCAAGGGUGAUCCCGUGUUUGAGCUUAAACCAUUACCUAAUAAUCUUAAAUAUGCUUAUCUUGAUAAAAAGAAGAUAUAUCCUGUUAUUAUUAGUGGUAACCUUUCAGAGCAGGAAGAGGAAAGAUUAUUGAAAACUCUGAAGAAGCACCGUGCGGCUAUUGGAUAUACUCUCGAUGAUCUCAAGGGCAUUAGCCCCACGUUAUGUCAACACAAAAUUAGUUUGGAGGAUGAUGCCAAACCAGUUAGAGAUCCUCAACAACGAUUGAAUCCCAAGAUGAAAGAAGUGGUUAGAAAGGAGAUACUAAAGCUCCUUGAGGCAGGUAUAAUUUAUCACAUUGCUGAUAGUGAUUGGGUAAGUCAUGUCCAUUGUGUUCCUAAAAAGGGAGGUAUUACUGUUGUUCCUAAUGAUAAAGAUGAAUUGAUCCCGCAAAGAAUUAUUACAGGUUAUAGGAUAGUAAUUGAUUUCCGUAAAUUAAAUAAAGCUACUAAGAAAGAUCAUUACCCUUUACAUUUUAUUGAUCAAAUGCUAGAAAGACUAUCCAAACACACACAUUUUUGCUUUCUAGAUGGUUAUUCUAGUUUGUCUCAAAUACCUGUGUUAGCGAAGGAUCAAUCAAAAACUACUUUUACUUGCCCUUUUGGUACUUUUGCUUAUAGACGUAUGCCUUUUGGUUUAUGUAAUGCACCUGCUACCUUUCAAAUAUGUAUGAUGGCUAUAUUCUCUGACUUUUGUGAAAAGAUUUGUGAGGUAUUCAUGGAUGAUUUCUCCGUUUAUGGAUCCUCCUUUGAUGAUUGCUUGAGCAACCUUGAUCGAGUUUUGCAGAGAUGUGAAGACACUAGUCUCGUAUUGAAUUGGGAAAAGUGCCACUUUAUGGUUAAUGAAGGCAUUGUCUUGGGGCACAAGAUCUCCGAGAGAGGUAUUGAAGUUGAUAAAGCUAAAGUUGAUGCUAUUGAAAAGAUGCCAUGUCCCAAGGACAUAAAAGGUAUAAGAAGUUUCCUUGGUCAUGCCGGUUUUUAUAGGAGGUUCAUUAAGGACUUCUCUAAAAUCUCUAGGCCUCUGACUAAUUUAUUGCAAAAAGAUAUUCCUUUUGUCUUUGAUGAUGAUUGUGUAGAAGCAUUUGAAAUACUUAAGAAAGCUUUGAUCACUGCACCUAUUGUUCAGCCACCUGAUUGGAAUUUACCUUUUGAAAUUAUGUGUGAUGCUAGUGAUUAUGCUGUAGGUGCUGUUCUAGGGCAAAGAGUUGAUAAGAAAUUGAAUGUUAUCCAGUAUGCUAGUAAGACUCUUGAUACUGCCCAAAGAAAUUAUGCUACUACUAAAAAAGAAUUCUUAGCAGUUGUGUUUGCAUGUGAUAAGUUUAGACCUUAUAUUGUUGAUUCCAAAGUUACUAUUCACACUGAUCAUGCUGCUAUUAAAUAUCUUAUGGAAAAGAAAGAUGCUAAGCCUAGACUCUUCAGAUGGGUUCUCUUGCUCCAAGAAUUUGAUUUGCAUAUUAUUGAUAGAAAGGGAGUUGAGAACCCCGUUGCAGACAACUUGUCUAGGUUAGAGAAUGUUCUUGAUGACCCACUGCCUAUUAAUGAUAGCUUUCCUGAUGAACAAUUAGCGGUCAUUAAUGCUUCUCGUACUGCUCCUUGGUAUGCUGAUUAUGCUGAUUACAUUGUUGCUAAAUUUAUACCACCUAGUUUCACAUACCAACAAAAGAAAAAGUUCUUUUAUGAUUUAAGACAUUACUUCUGGGAUGACCCACACCUUUAUAAAGAAGAAGUAGACGGUGUUAUUAGACGUUGUGUACCUGAGCAUGAACAGAAAUAGAUCCUACGCAAGUGUCACUCCGAAUCAUAUGGAGGACACUGUUGGAAAUAUGCCCUAGAGGCAAUAAUAAAAGGAUUAUUAUUAUAUUUCCUUGUUCAUGAUAAUUGUCUUUAUUCAUGCUAUAAUUUUAUUAUCCGGAAAUCGUAAUACACGUGUGAAUACAUCAUAGUAGAAAAGGGGGCAAUGGCCCAUGCCAGUUCAACCCAUUAGUCCUGGUUCAAUCCAGAACCGGGACCAAUGGAGCUAUUUGCCCCGGUUCGUGAGCCCAAGGGGCCGGCCGGGCCACGUGGUCCAUUGGUCCCGGUUUGUCCGGACCUUUUGGUCCCGGUUGGUGGGACGAACCGGGACCAAUGGGCCUGGCUCAUGGCCCACCACUAUUGGCCCCGGUUGGUGGCAUGAACCGGGACCAAAGGCUUCCCUUUAGUCCCGGUUCAUGCCACCAACCGGGACCAAUAGUGGUGCCUAUAUAUACCCCCUCCCGCAAGAGCAGAGCACAGUGCUCUGUUUUUUUCUGGCCGAGGGGGAGAGGGCUUGGUGGUGCUCUAGCUCACCUCCUAUGCACACAAGGUGUUCGAUGGAAUGCCCGAGCCACACUACUUAAGGUUUCUCCUCUCGAAGCUCGACCGCCAAGCUCCGUUUUCCUCAAGAUGGAUCUGGGUUUAGCGGUCCGUCACGCCCCGUCCCCAUCUUCACCACCGUCGAUCACCCGCGCCGAUCUCAUCGCCGGCACCACCGUGGUGAGCCUCUUGUUCUUAUCUUUUUUCUGAAAGGAAAAACAUUCUUACUUGUAUGUUUAGAUAGAUACUUGUAUUAUUUUCUUACUUUUAUUAUUGCAUCUUAUAUAGUGCGAUGGUUUUGGUAUCCGCCCCCGUCGGCCCUCGUCCUGUCUAUGAUUCGGAUGUGGUAUAUAUUAUCUUUUCAUAACUAUUGGUUCAUUUAUUGUUUAUGAAAAUUAUGCCGACCAACGUGACAUAGAUUUUAUUUAUCUAGGAGGUUGUUGAACCGGAAAUUCCAACCGACCCUAUUGUCGAGAGGUUAAAUUUAGUUGAAGAAGAAAACAAUUUCUUGAAGGAAAAAAUAAAAAAACUUGAGGAGAAGAUGAUAUUGGAGUUGCAUGUUGCGGAUGUCGUCGAUGAUCACAAGAUCAAGAUGGAUGCAAUGCGCUUGAAGAUGAGAAAGAUUAGAAAAUAUGCCAUUCAUACCGAGUCUUGCUAUCAUUAUGUCGUUGGAUCAGUUGUUACCUUGGUUGCGAUUAUGAUCGCAUUUGUUUUCGCAUUGAAAUGUUUUACAUAGUUUCAAUGUAUGGUUUAAUUAAUUUAGAUGCUCUGCAGAGCUUUAUGUUGUUAGAUGAGAACUAUGUAUGUACUUUGGUUUUUAUGUGAUGAUGAACUUCUAUUAAUUUGGUCACUUAUAAUUAUCUAUUCAUGAUGUUCUGUAAUGAUUUUUGACACACUUAAUUAUAUAUAAUGCACGCAGAUGAACCGGCAAUGGAUGUACGGUGACAGACACACCUCCGAGUACAUUAAGGGCGUGCAUGAUUUUCUCAAAGUGGCUGAGGCAAACAAGCAGAAUGGUUUUAUGUGUUGUCCAUGCCCUAUAUGUGGGAAUACGAAGUCUUACUCUGACCGGAAAAUCCUUCACACCCACCUGCUUUACAAGGGUUUCAUGCCACACUAUAAUGUUUGGACGAGGCACGGAGAAAUAGGGGUUAUGAUGGAAGACGGCGAGGAAGAAGAGUACGAUGACAACUAUGUGCCCCCUGAAUACGGUGAUGCUACUGAACAUCAAGAUGCACCAGACGAUGUGCACGAUGGUGCUGCAACGGGCGAAGCUGCUGAAGAUCAAGAGGAACCAGAGGAUGUGCCCGAUGAUGAUGAUCUCCGCCGGGUCAUUGUCGAUGCAAGGACACAAUGCGAAAGUCAAAAGGAGAAGCUGAAGUUCCAUCGCAUGUUAGAGGAUCACAAAAAGGGGUUGUACCCCAAUUGCGAAGAUGGCAACACAAAGCUCGGUACCGUACUCGAAUUGCUGCAGUAGAAGGCAGAGAAUGCUGUGCCUGAUAAAGGAUUUGAGAAGCUACUGAAAAUAAUGAAGAAGAAGCUUCCAAAGGAUAACGAAUUGCCCGACAGUACAUACGCAGCAAAGAAGGUCGUAUGCCCUCUAGGAUUGGAGGUGGAGAAGAUACAUGCAUGCCCUAAUGACUGCAUCCUCUACCGCGGUGCCUACAAGGAUCUGAACGCAUGCCCGGUAUGCGGUGCAUUGCGGUAUAAGAUCAGACGAGAUGACCCUGGUGAUGUUGACGGCGAGCCUCCCAGGAAGAGGGUUCCUGCGAAGGUGAUGUGGUAUGCUCCUAUAAUACCACGGUUGAAACGUCUGUUCAGAAACGGAGAGCAUGACAAGUUGAUGCGAUGGCACAAUGAGGACCGUAAGAAAGACGGGAAGUUGAGAGCACCCGCUGACGGGUCGCAGUGGAGAAAAAUUGAGAGAAAAUACUGGGAUGAGUUUGCAAAGGACCCAAGGAACGUAUGGUUUGAUUUAAGCGCGGAUGGCAUUAAUCCUUUCGGGGAGCAGAGCAGCAAUCACAGCACCUGGCCCGUGACUAUGUAUGUAUAACCUUCCUCCUUGGAUGUGCAUGAAGCGGAAGUUCAUUAUGAUGCCAGUUCUCAUCCAAGGCCCUAAGCAACCCGGCAACGACAUUGAUGUGUACCUAAGGCCAUUAGUUGAAGAACUUUUACAGCUGUGGAAUGGAAACGGUGUACGUACGUGGGAUGAGCACAAAAAGUAGGAAUUUGACCUAAAGGCAUUGCUGUUCGUGACCAUCAACGAUUGGCCCGCUCUCAGUCACCUUUCAGGACAGACAAACAAGGGAUACCACGCAUGCACACACUGUUUACUUGACACCGAUAGUAUAUACCUGGGAAGCUGCAGGAAGAAUGUGUACCUGGGCCAUCGUCGAUUUCGUCCGACCAACCAUUAAUGUCGAAAGAAAGGCAAGCAUUUCAAAGGCGAGGCAGAUCACCGGAAGAAGCCCGCCAUGCGUACCGGUGAUCACGUACUUGCUAUGGUCAAUGAUUUACACGUAAUCUUUGGAAAGGGUCCCGGCGGACUAGCUGUUCUGAAUGACGCUGAGAAUCACGCACCCAUGUGGAAGAAGAAAUCUAUAUUUUGGGACCUACCCUACUGGAAAGACCUAGAGGUCCGCUCUUCGAUCGACGUGAUGCACGUGACGAAGAACCUUUGCGUGAACCUGCUAGGCUUCUUGGGCAUGUAUGGGAAGACAAAAGAUACACCUGAGGCACGAGAGGACCUGCAACGCUUGCACGAAAAAGAGGGCAUGCCUCCGAAGCAGUAUGAAGGUCCUGCCAGCUACGCUCUUACGAAAGAAGAUAAAGAAAUAUUCUUUCAAUGCCUGCUGAGUAUGAAGGUCCCGACUGGCUUCUCGUCGAAUAUAAAGGGAAUAAUAAAUAUGCCAGAGAAAAGUUCAGAACCUAAAGUCUCAUGACUGCCACGUGAUUAUGACGCAACUGCUUCCGGUUGCAUUGAGGGGGCUUCUACCGGAAAACGUCCGAUUAGCCAUUGUGAAUCUAUGUGCAUUCCUCAAUGCAAUAUCUCAGAAGGUGAUCGAUCCAGAAAUCGUACCAACGCUAAGGAGUGAUGUGGCGCAAUGUCUUGUCAGUUUCGAGCUGGUGUUCCCACCAUCCUUCUUCAAUAUCAUGACGCACGUCCUAGUUCAUCUAGUCGACGAGAUUGUCAUUCUGGGGCCCAUAUUUCUACACAAUAUAUACCCCUUUGAGAGGUUCAUGGGAGUCCUAAAGAAAUAUGUUCGGAACCGCGCUAGGCCAGAAGGAAGCAUCUCCAUGGGCCAUCAAACAGAGGAUGUCAUCGGGUUUUGUGUUCACUUCAUUCCUGGCCUUAAGAAGAUAGGUCUCCCUAAAUCGCGGUAUGACGUGGAGACUGACUGGAAAAGGCACGCUUGGAAGGGACUCAAUAAUAUGCAGGGACAGAUAUUCUUGGUCUCAAGCACACUACACAGUUCUACAGAACUCUACCUUGGUGACCCCGUAUGUCGAUGAACACAAGAACAGUCUGCGCUCCAAACACCCGGAGCAGUGCGACGACUGGAUUACAUGUGAACACAUCAGGACUUUCAGCAGUUGGUUGGAAACAUGUCUCAGAGGUGACAGCACUGUUUGUGAUGAGCUGUACUUGUUGUCCAGGGGACCAUCUUUGACUAUAAUGAUUUGGAAAGGAUAUGAGAUAAAUGGGAAUACAUUUUACACGAUUGACCAAGAUGAAAAGAGCACCAACCAAAACAGCGGUGUCCGCUUUGAUGCAGCAACCGACAAGGGAAAUGACACAUAUUAUGGUUACAUAGUAGACAUAUGGGAACUUGACUACGGAGUAGAUUUUAAGGUCCCUUUGUUUAAGUGCAAGUGGGUCAAUCUGUCAGAAGGCGGGGUACAGGUAGACCCACAGUACGGAAUGACAACAGUGGAUCUGAAAAAUCUUGGGUACACUGACGAACCGUUCGUCCUAGCCAAUGAUGUGGCACAGGUUAUCUAUGUGAAGGACAUGUCUACCAGACCGAGGAAAAGAAAAGAUAAGGAAGCGAAUACAUCAUACAAUGAGCCAAAGCGCCACAUAGUUCUUUCAGGAAAAAGGGACAUCCUGGGAGUGGAGGGCAAGACAGACAUGUCUGAAGAGUAUGAAAAGUUUCAUGAAAUUCCCCCCUUCAAAGUCAAGGCUGACCCAAGCAUCCUGAUAAACGAUGAAGAUUAUCCAUGGUUACGGCGCAAUAAGCAAAAGACAGAAGCGAAGAAAAAGUGAAGACUUUCUCCCGCAACUAUUAUGAUGAUACCAUGCCAACUUUGUAACAGACGAGUAUGAUACCAUUGUCCGUUUUGUACAUGCACAUGCUAUGCCAACUUUUUCAGAGUUCAUUUGAAAACUAUGAAUUUGAAAACCUCGCCAACCGAAGGGCGCUCACACCGGUUUAUAAGCCCGUCCCUCUACACGCCUUGUUGAGCUCACAAACUUGUGAUUCACACAAAUUCCAAAGAAAACUAAUGGCACAAACAGAAAGUUUAUAAUUUUGCUGACCUAAAAGCAAAAAGAAUUAAAAAAUAAAGCAAAAAACCAAAAGAAAAUAAAUAAUGCAGAAAACAAAACAAAAAACUUGAAAAAAAUAAAAAUAGCAACAAUAAGUAUUUUGUUGUAAGUAGAAACAAAAUAAAAUAAAUAAAUAAAGCAAAAAAGUGUUUUCAAAUUUGAAAACUAAUGGCACUAACAGAAANNNNNNNNNNNNNNNNNNNNNNNNNNNNNNNNNNNNNNNNNNNNNNNNNNNNNNNNNNNNNNNNNNNNNNNNNNNNNNNNNNNNNNNNNNNNNNNNNNNNNNNNNNNNNNNAAAGCAAAAAACAACAAAAAAUAAAUAAUGCAGAAAACAGAACAAAAAAACUGAAAAAUAAUAAAAAUAGCAACAAUAAGUAUUUUGUUGUAAGUACAAACAAAAUAAAAUAUAUAAAGCAACAAAGAAAACAAAAAAAGUGUUUUCAAAUUUGAAAACUAAUGGCACUAACAGAAAGUUUAUAAUUUUUCUAAAACUAAAAGCAAAAAGAAUUAAAAAAUAAAGCAAAAAACAACAAAAAAUAAAUAAUGCAGAAANNNNNNNNNNNNNNNNNNNNNNNNNNNNNNNNNNNNNNNNNNNNNNNNNNAACAAAAUAAAAUAUAUAAAGCAACAAAGAAAACAAAAAAAGUGUUUUCAAAUUUGAAAACUAAUGGCACUAACAGAAAGUUUAUAAUUUUUCUAAAACUAAAAGCAAAAAGAACUAAAAAAUAAAGCAAAAAACAACAAAAAAUAAAUAAUGCAGAAAGCAAAACCAAAAAACUGGAAAAAAAUAAAAAUAGCAACAAUAAGUAUUUUGUUGUAAGUAGAAACAAAAUAAAAUAAAUAAAGCAACAAAGAAAACAAAAAAACAAAAAAAAGUGCCACCUACUGGGCCCCCACGACCUGAAUACGAGUAGAAACCCUACCAUGGGCCAGGAUUCAGGCCCGCGGGAGGCUCAGUAGGCCCACAGGCAGAGAUUGCACGGUUAGGCCCGAAAGCCUGCAGUUGAGAGGAGCUCGGGUGGGUGGGCGCAGUAGAGUUAUAAACCACACUCGAGCUCUCUCAACUAGCAAGGUGGGACUAAACUUUUCGGCGCGGGGCAGCACAAGGCCUUUGGUCCCGGUUGGUGGCACCAACCGGGACUAAAGGGGGCAUUGGUCCCUGUUCGUGGCACCAACCGGGACUAAUGCCCCCCUUUAGUCCCGGUUAGUGCCNNNNNNNNNNNNNNNNNNNNNNNNNNNNNNNNNNNNNNNNNNNNNNNNNNNNNNNNNNNNNNNNNNNNNNNNNNNNNNNNNNNNNNNNNNNNNNNNNNNNNNNNNNNNNNNNNNNNNNNNNNNNNNNNNNNNNNNNNNNNNNNNNNNNNNNNNNNNNNNNNNNNNNNNNNNNNNNNNNNNNNNNNNNNNNNNNNNNNNNNNNNNNNNNNNNNNNNNNNNNNNNNNNNNNNNNNNNNNNNNNNNNNNNNNNNNNNNNNNNNNNNNNNNNNNNNNNNNNNNNNNNNNNNNNNNNNNNNNNNNNNNNNNNNNNNNNNNNNNNNNNNNNNNNNNNNNNNNNNNNNNNNNNNNNNNNNNNNNNNNNNNNNNNNNNNNNNNNNNNNNNNNNNNNNNNNNNNNNNNNNNNNNNNNNNNNNNNNNNNNNNNNNNNNNNNNNNNNNNNNNNNNNNNNNNNNNNNNNNNNNNNNNNNNNNNNNNNNNNNNNNNNNNNNNNNNNNNNNNNNNNNNNNNNNNNNNNNNNNNNNNNNNNNNNNNNNNNNNNNNNNNNNNNNNNNNNNNNNNNNNNNNNNNNNNNNNNNNNNNNNNNNNNNNNNNNNNNNNNNNNNNNNNNNNNNNNNNNNNNNNNNNNNNNNNNNNNNNNNNNNNNNNNNNNNNNNNNNNNNNNNNNNNNNNNNNNNNNNNNNNNNNNNNNNNNNNNNNNNNNNNNNNNNNNNNNNNNNNNNNNNNNNNNNNNNNNNNNNNNNNNNNNNNNNNNNNNNNNNNNNNNNNNNNNNNNNNNNNNNNNNNNNNNNNNNNNNNNNNNNNNNNNNNNNNNNNNNNNNNNNNNNNNNNNNNNNNNNNNNNNNNNNNNNNNNNNNNNNUCUUCCUCUUUUCUUCCUUUUCCUUAUUUUCCUUUCUCGAGGGAUAAGAAGAAAAAGAAGAGGAGAAGAAGAAAGAAAGGAAUAGAGGAGAAAGAAGAAACUUCGACACGAGGGGGGGUACCGAUACCCCCUCCCCGAUAACAUUAUUUUCCCAUGUAUAUGUAUGUCGCGUCGUUGUCGAUAUAAUGAGGGUGUCGAGGGUCGGGAACUAGGGUAGAGGGUCGAGGGUCGUUAAGGGGUCAAGGGUCGAGGGUUUCAGGGUCGAGGGUUCGAGGGAUCGAGGGUCGAGGGUUCCAGGGUCGUCUAGGGGUCGAGGGUUCCAGGGUCGUCGAGGGUUCGAGGGGUCGAGAGAGGUUUCGUAGUGGCAAAGUAUUGAAGAAAUCCAUGGCUUCAUCAUUAGCCGGAAGUAACCAGGGCAUGAUGGUACGAAGUCCUCCAAAGUUAUUCUGGAAUGGAGUCCCGAAUAGGAUAAUUUGCCUUUUUGUACGAAUCUCAGCAAAGGUCUUCCAAAUAACGAUAUUCGGAAGGUUCUUGCUGAACUUUGUACCAAAAAGCGAAUUAUCCUAUCUUUGACUCCGUUCCAAAAUAACUUUGAAGAGCUUCGUACCAUCAUGCACCUGUUACUUUCGCCUAAUAAUGAAGACAUGGUUUUGUUGAAUCCUUUGACACUAGGCAACCUCCCGACCCCUCGGCGAUCCUCGACCCCUUGACCCUCGACCGCUCAGCAAUCCACGACCCUCUACCCUACCGCGGGCGUCGAUGCCCACGUCACUUGUGGGACAUAGAUGUAGUGUUCAACGCCGACCCCCUCCCGAUAGCUUCAACACGUGGGGGGGUCGAUAUUACCCCCUCCUUGAAGCGUUCUCGAGGCCACCCCCUAACCCUUGAAGCGUUGUCGAGGCCACCCCAAACCCUAGAGAAGCAGCGUCGAGGCCACUAAUAUGAUUCCUUAUUGUGAUUAGCUAGCUAGUCCUACGUUUGCCACUAAUAUAUCCAUAUUUGUCAUGUUUGAAUAAUAAUUGCCAUGUUGUAAAUAUUUGUAGAAACUAUGGACACCCCCCGAGACGAAGCACAAGAAGCAUUGUUGAGGGACAUAAUCGCACAAGGAAGUGAUGCCGUCUGCUCGUUGAUGUUUCUCAACGACAACGAUGGUCUGGAAGGAGAGGGUGAAGAAGCAGCUGGCUAUGAUUUACAUGGCUCCGAUGACCCAAUGCCGGUGCAAGAAGGAGAGGGUGAAGAAGUAGACCGUGAGGACGGCUCCGGUGAUCACCAAACCGAGUCCGGCCAGGUAUAUAUAUUAGUUAAGCCUGUGCUGACUAGCUAAUUGAUGCAUUCAUUGUUUUGGUAUGUACACAUAUUAAUUAACUCUCGUCUUUGUUCUUUUUUCUAGCCCUCCGGAUCGAGCACAACUUCGGUAAAGAGACGAGGCCCGAAGAAAAAGUUGAGCUCGGAUGAAAAGUUUGAGAUCAUACAAAUCGCGCGUGACGGCCAACCGAUUGAACCCUACCGGACAAAGAAGGCAUUUGUUGCUCAGUGCGGGGUUCUGGUUAGGGAUAAGAUCCCGAUCAGCAUCUACCAAUGGUAUAAGCCUAAGAACGAAGACCCUGAGGUGUCUUAUGUCAAUGAUAUGCAGAAAAAUGAUCUUUGGACUGAGCUGAAGUCAAAUUUCACCCUACCGCCGGAGGAUGACCCGGAGAAGCCAGUUAUAGAGCCAUUAAUCAAGUCUUUUGCUCUGAAUAAGAUGGCAGACCUAUUCAGGAAUUGGAAGAAAGACCUCAAUAGGUAUGUCGAAAAAAAUGAGACACCAGAAUUCAAGGGCAAAUAUGAGAAGAUCAGAGAUGACUGGCCCGCAUUUGUGGCCCACAAGACAUCGGAAAAGAGUAAAAAGAUGUCGCCGACAAACAAGAGAAAUGCUGCGAAGAAGAAGCUUCACCAUCGCACGGGGUCAGGUGGCUACCUCGUAGCCCGGCCUAAGUGGGCCAAGGCUGAGAAUGAUCUGCUUGAUAAAGGGAUCGAACCAGAGACAAUGAACUGGCCAGACCGUUGCCAGACUUGGUUCUUUGGGGCCGGCGGAUCCUUGGACCCUAUAACAGGGAAGUGCAUUUGGACGGACAAACAAUUGAACAUACCAGUCAAGAGGCUUCAGCAAUAUAUCGAAGCAGCGCAGCAAGGGACGUUCGUUCCAGACAGGGAGAAGGACGAGCUCACAAUGGCCCUCGGCAAUCCUGAGCACCCUGGACGGACACGAGGCACGCCAGGCUCCGUUUCAUGGAAGGCUGGAUUUCCGGACGCAGGGGGUUACAAAACCAGGAGAGGAGGAAGAAACUGGAGCAAAGCCAACUGCAGGCGCUGCACGAAAGGGUAAUGGGGCUAGAGGAACGAGAAGCAGAUCGCAGCAAACGACUUGCCGAAGCUUCCCCCGAAGCUACCCCGCCAUCUCAGCGGAGAAGCAGCGUGGCUUCCACCGAGCUGCUUCAGCCAGAGCAUGCCUUGACGGCUCCUGCCAGCUAUCCCGUGGAUGCUAUCACGGAUGCUGAAAAUUGCCACCUUAUGGCGCAAUGGAGCAAUUUGAAGGUCAAGGCGGCUGUUGGCUCUGUUUAUCCUACUAAACCCGACUCAACUUUUCACUGCCGGCCGAUUCAAGAAGGAUAUGCUAAGGUGAUGGUCGAUGAAAUAAUGGAGGGAUUUGAGGACCUUCGGCUUGACCACCCUACCGAACUGGACGCCUCCGCCUCCUCCGCCUCCUCCGGCGAGUCAGUGCACUCCGCCUCCUCCAUCGCCUCCUCCUUCGGCGAGUGACGAUCAGGGCACUCGGCCGGCUCCUUCUCCGUCGCGUGGUGGCACUCCGCCUCCUUCUCCGCCUGCGCCGGCGCGCCCGAGCAGCCAGCCUCCUCCUUCUCCGCCUCGUCAGCAAGGGCGGAAGAGACCCGCCGCCGCUCCGGCUGCUCCGGCGCGUCGUAGUCCUUCUCCUCCGCCUCGUAAGCAAGGAAAGAAGACAUCCGCUCCGUCUGCUCGGCAGGCGUCUAGCAGUACAGCCAAAGGCGGGAGGAGAUACAGAUUCGGUCCUUCUCUGAAGACUCCAGAGAAGUUACCGUACGAGAGGAGCGAGGAGGAAAACGCGAAGAUCACGCAGACCGAAGUGGAUGACUGGUUUCAAGGGUUGAAAGCAAAGAGACAUCCACCUCCGGAGGAGAAGGUAGAUCCGGUGAAAGCGAAGCGCACUCUGGCUGCCCUAACAAAACCACCCAAGUCUCCGCCGAAAGGCAACUAUGAGCGCAUUAUUGGAAAGGCAUUUGUCGAAGCGGAGAGGUCGGGAAGUACUAAAAGUGAUCAAAGGAUGAAAGAACGACGAGCUGGGAAACAAAUUGCCCAGCUCAGCGAACAAGCGAAGCAAUCAUGCCCCCCGCUCAAGGUGCAUGCUAGCGACAUCGUCGAUCCGAGGAUGGUGCCCGGUUACGGCAAUCCUGCAGAUUACCUGCCCGACGAUGUACAUUAUGAUUUCUUGGAGGUGCAGAUACAAAGAUACGAGUACGGGAAGCCUCUCGUCAAAUAUGAAAGUUCUCUAUCAAUGAUGAUGCGAAGGUUGCAUGACUGGUACAUGAAAACCUGCAAAGAGUCUGAGGGGAGGAGUACUUUGUAUGUGAGAGUUAAAAAGGAGCAUGACCUCCUUGGAAUUGAACUGUUGCCUAUUCCAUUUGAGGAGUUCUAUCAGUUUUUCAAUCAAUUGGCCAUCGAUAAAGCAACGGUCACCUGCUACUGUCUGUAAGUAGUACUACUUCUGUCAUUAAGUCUCUCUAUAUAACUCAGCCCUUUCAUUGCAUGUAUUUAUAAUUAUCCUCACUAUAUUAUGCAGAUUGAAGAUCGCCGAAUUGAAGAAAAGACAAGUGGGAGAUAUUGGGUUCAUUAACACAUAUCUCAUAGAUGCAACUGAGGUUCAAUAUCGUGCCCAAGAAAACGAGGACAACUUGCUAUGAUCGUCGGAAAUAAAUGAACACAAAGAUAUAAUACUCUUUCCUUACAACUUCAAGUGAGUGUUACUGUCUUGUGGCAUAUUCGGUUUCCUUAUUAGUCCAGGUUAUAAUAAUGUAAUAUUGAUGAGUUAUGCAUGUGUGCGCAGCUACCACUAUAUUCUCCUAGAGAUUAAGCUUGAGAAGGGAGUAGUAACUGUCUUAGACUCCAAGCGAAAAGAUCCCAAGGAGUAUGCGGACAUGACUGAAAUGCUCGAGAAGUAAGUUAAAUCGAUCAUUAUCCACCAUAUCAGCAACUUUGUUCAUUUCUAAUAUCAAGUAAUUGUUUUCUUUGUAUGGCAGGGCUUGGAGAAAAUUCACCAAAAAAGCUCCGGGACUACCGAAGAAGCUGCAAUUUAGGCACCCGAAAGUAAGUACUAUAUAGUAGCAUAUUCCAUGCAUCUCCUAGUGAUUCAAGCGCUAGUUUCAUCAAUACCAUUUAGCUUGCUUGCUAAUUAUCAGUUUGAUUGACCUCUAUUUCUUGUAAAGUGGUUGUGGCAGGAACAAGGGAAUGAUUUCUGUGGAUACUACAUUUGCGAGUCCAUCCGCCACACGACCUGUGAGCGGGGCUACUCCGACAAACAAUAUGAAGUGCGUAAAUAACAAUAUUCACAAUUUUAUUUUAUUACCAUCAUUUGUGUUGAGUUUCAUUCAUUCAUAUAUAUAUAUAUAUAUAUAUAUAUAUAUAUGUAUUGACCCCCUUCUUAAAAUUAGAUGUUUCGGAUGCGGGAUGAACUCCUAGCACCAGAUCGCAUGCGAGCAAUUCAAGAGGAAUUGGCGGCAUUAUUUCUUGACCACGUGAUAGCUGAAGACGGAGAAUACUAUGUGGACCACGCGUCCGUAUGUUAGGAGAUUAUAUAUUUGUAAAAGAUAAUUAUUGUAUAUAUGUAGCCAGUAGUGUCGGAUAGAUAUACGAGAACUUGUUGUUCGACCAAUCUCUCGGAGAAGGAGAGGUGGUUGAUAUCACUUCUCUCUGUAUGCAUAUAUGUUCAUGACGAUCUUCUGUUUGCUUACAAGCUAGCUAGCGUGUCUAGCUAGUCCUCUCUAUACGUAUGUAUGGUACGUAGCGUCGACCAAGCACGGACAAAAGAGAGGACACUUCUCUCUAUUAAUUAGCUAGCUAUAGCACAAUAUAUGAAACACCUAAAUUNNNNNNNNNNNNNNNNNNNNNNNNNNNNNNNNNNNNNNNNNNNNNNNNNNNNNNNNNNNNNNNNNNNNNNNNNNNNNNNNNNNNNNNNNNNNNNNNNNNNNNNNNNNNNNNNNNNNNNNNNNNNNNNNNNNNNNNNNNNNNNNNNNNNNNNNNNNNNNNNNNNNNNNNNNNNNNNNNNNNNNNNNNNNNNNNNNNNNNNNNNNNNNNNNNNNNNNNNNNNNNNNNNNNNNNNNNNNNNNNNNNNNNNNNNNNNNNNNNNNNNNNNNNNNNNNNNNNNNNNNNNNNNNNNNNNNNNNNNNNNNNNNNNNNNNNNNNNNNNNNNNNNNNNNNNNNNNNNNNNNNNNNNNNNNNNNNNNNNNNNNNNNNNNNNNNNNNNNNNNNNNNNNNNNNNNNNNNNNNNNNNNNNNNNNNNNNNNNNNNNNNNNNNNNNNNNNNNNNNNNNNNNNCGCGUGGAUGCCUAUUGGUCCCGGUUGGUGCCACCAACCGGGACCAAAGGCCCUCCUGCCUGGGCUCAGCGGGCAGGCCACGUGGAGGCCCAUCUGUCCCGGUUCUGGAUUGAACCGGGACUAAAGGGUCAGGGCAUUAGUACCGACCCUUUAGUCCCGGUUCAUGAACCGGGACUAAAGGCCCUCACCAACCAGGACUAUAGGCCCUUUUUCUACUAGUGCAUAGACCACAACAUGUCCCUAGUAAGCCUCUAGUUGACUAGCUCGUUGAUUAACAGAUAGUCAUGGUUUCCUGAUAUGGACAUUGGAUGUCAUUGAUAACGAGAUCACAUCAUUAGGAGAAUGAUGUGAUGGACAAGACCCAAUCCUAAGCAUAGCACAAGAUAGUGUAGUUCGUUUGCUAGAGCUUUUCCAAUGUCAAGUAUCUUUUCCUUAGACCAUGAGAUCGUGUAACUCCCGGAUACCGUAGGAGUGCUUUGGGUGUACCAAACGUCACAACGUAACUGGGUGACUAUAAAGGUAUAUACGGGUAUCUCUGAAAGUGUUUGUUGGGUUAACACGGAUCGAGACUGGGAUUUGUCACUCCGUAUGACGGAGAGGUAUCUCUGGGCCCACUCGGUAAUGCAUCAUCAUAAUGAGCUCAAAGUGACCAAGUGUUUGGUCACGGGAUCAUGCAUUACGGUACGAGUAAAGUCACUUGCCGGUAACGAGAUUGAACGAGGUAUUGGGAUACCGACGAUCGAAUCUCGGGCAAGUAACGUACCGAUUGACAAAGGGAAUUGUAUACGGGGUUGCUUGAAUCCUCGACAUCGUGGUUCAUCCGAUGAGAUCAUUGAGGAGCAUGUGGGAGCCAACAUGGGUAUCCAGAUCCCGUUGUUGGUUAUUGACCGGAGAGUCGUCUCGGUCAUGUCUACGUGUCGCCCGAACCCGUAGGGUCUACACACUUAAGGUUCGGUGACGCUAGGGUUGUAGAGAUAUGAGUGUGCAGCAAACCGAAAGUUGUUCGGAGUCCCGGAUGAGAUCCCGGACGUCAUGAGGAGUUCCAGAAUGGUUCGGAGGUAAAGAAUUAUAUAUGGGAAGUCGAGUUUCGGCCAUCAGGAAAGUUUCGGGGGUCACCGGUAUUGUAACGGGACCACCGGAAGGGUCCCGGGGGUCCACCGGGUGGGGCCACCUAUCCCGGAGGGCCCCAUGGGCUGAAAUGGGAGGGGAACCAGCCCCUGGUGGGCUGGUGCGCCCCCCCUUGGCCCCCCUGCGCCUAGGGAUGGGAACCGUAGGGGAGGGGGCGCCUCCACUUGCCUUGGGGGGCAAGGCACCCCCCUUGGCCGCCGCCCCCCCUAGGAGAUCCCAUCUCCGAGGGCCGGCGCCCCCCUGGGGACCCUAUACAUAGAGGGGGAGGGAGGGCAGCCGCACCCUUGCACUUGGCGCCUCCCUUCCCCCUUGCUACACCUCUCCUCCUCCGUAGAGCUCGGCGAAGCCCUGCUGAGAUUCCUGCUGCAUCCACCACCACGCCGUCGUGCUGCUGGAUAUCCAUCAACCUCUCCUUCCCCCCUUGCUGGAUCAAGAAGGAGGAGACGUCUUCCCCAACCGUACGUGUGUUGAACGCGGAGGUGCCGUCCGUUCAGCUCUCGGUCAUCGGUGAUUUGGAUCACGACGAGUACGACUCCCUCAACCCCGUUCUCUUGAACGCUUCCGCUCACGAUCUACAAAGGUAUGUAGAUGCACUCCUAUCACUCGUUGCUAGAUGAACUCAUAGAUAGAUCUUGGUGAAACCGUAGAAGAAUUUUUAUUUUCCCCAACGUUCUCUAUGCAUGAGUAGAACACAAUUUGUUGUGGGCGUAGAUGUUGUCAACUUUCUUGCCGCUACUAGUCUUAUUUUGCUUCAGCGGUAUUGUGGGAUGAAGCGGCCCGGACCGACCUUACACGUAUGCUUACAUGAGACAGGUUCCACCGACUGACAUGCACUAGUUGCAUAAGGUUGCUAGCGGGUGUCUGUCUCUCCCACUUUAGUUGGAGCGGAUACGAUGAAAAGGGUCCUUAUGAAGGGUAAAUAGAAGUUGACAAAUCACGUUGUGUCUUUUUCGUAGGUAAGAAAACGUUCUUGCUAGAACCCUAUUGCAGCCACGUAAAAGAUGCAACAACAAUUAGAGGACGUCUAACUUGUUUUUGCAGCAAUUGCCUUGUGAUGUGAUAUGGCCAAAAGUUGUGAUGAAUGAUGAAUGAUAUAUUGUGAUGUAUGAGAUCAUGUUCUUGUAAUAGGAAUCACGACUUGCAUGUCGAUGAGUAUGACAACCGGCAGGAGCCAUAGGAGUUGUCUUAAUUAUUGUAUGACCUGCGUGUCAAUGAUUUAACGCCAUGUAAUUACUUUACUUUAUUGCUAAACCGUUAGCUAUAGUAGUAGAAGUAAUAGUUGGUGAGCAACUUCAUGGAGACACGAUGAUGGAGAUCAUGGUGUCAUGCCGGUGACAAGAUGAUCAUGGAGCCCCAAGAUGGAGAUCAAAGGAGCUAUAUGAUAUUGGCCAUAUCAUGUCACUAUUAUUUGAUUGCAUGUGAUGUUUAUCAUGUUUUUCCAUCUUGUUUACUUAGAACGACGGUAGUAAAUAAGAUGAUCCCUCAUAAUAAUUUGAAGAAAGUGUUCCCCCUAACUGUGCGCCGUUGCGACAAUUCAUUGUUUCGAAGCACCACGUGAUUAUCGGGUGUGAUAGAUUCUAACGAUCACAUACAACGGGUGUAAGACAGAUUUACACAUGCAAAACACUUAGGUUAACUUGAUGAGCCUAGCAUGUACAGACAUGGCCUCGGAACACAAGAGAUCGAAAGGUCGAACAUGAGUCGUAUGAAAGAUACGAUCAAGAUGGAGAUGUUCACCGAUGAUGACUAGUCCGUAUCACGUGAUGAUCGGACACGGCCUAGUCGACUCUGAUCAUGUAACACUUAGAUGACUAGAGGGAUGUCUAAUCUGAGUGGGAGUUCAUUAAUUAAUUUGACGAGAUGAACUUAAUUAUCAUGAACUUGGUCUAAAGUCUUUGCAAAAUGUCUUGUAGAUCAUGUCAACAUGAACUUCAACGCGUUCCUAGAGAAAACCAAGCUGAAAGAUGAUGGCAGCAACUAUACGGACUGGGUCCGGAACAUGAGGAUCGUCCUCAUAGCUGCCAAGAAAGCAUAUGUCCUAGAAGGACCGCUAGGUGAAGCACCCAUCCCAGAGAACCAAGACGUUAUGAAUGCUUGGCAGUCACGUACUGAUGAUUACUCCCUCGUUCAGUGCGGCAUGCUUUACAGCUAGAACCAGGGCUCCAAAAGCGUUUUGAGCGACACGGAGCAUAUGAGAUGUUCGAGGAGCUGAAAAUGGUUUUCCAAGCUCACGCUCGGGUCGAGAGAUAUGAAGUCUCUGACAAGUUCUAUAGUUGUAAGAUGGAGGAAAAUAGUUCUGUCAGUGAGCACAUACUCAAAAUGUCUGGGUUGCACAACCGCCUGUCCCAGCUGGACAUUAACCUCCCGGACGAGGCGGUCAUUGACAGAAUCCUUCAGUCGCUCCCACCGAGCUACAAGAGCUUUGUGAUGAACUACAAUAUGCAGGGGAUGGUGAAAACUAUUCCUGAAGUAUUUUCAAUGCUGAAAUCAGCAGAGGUAGAAAUCAAGAAGGAACAUCAAGUGUUGAUGGUCAAUAAAACCACUAAGUUCAAGAAGGGCAAGGGUAAGAAAAACUUCAAGAAGGACGGCAAGGAUGUUGCCGCGCCCAGUAAGCCUGUUGCCGGGAAGAAGUAAAAGAAUGGACCCAAGCCUGAGACUGAGUGCUUUUAUUGCAAAGGGAAGGGUCACUCGAAGCGGAACUGCCCCAAAUACUUAGCGGACAAGAAGGCCGGCAACACUAAAGGUAUAUGUGAUAUACAUGUAAUUGAUGUGUACCUUACCAGUGCUCGUAGUAGCUCCUGGGUAUUUGAUACCGGUGCCGUUUCUCAUAUUUGUAACUCAAAGCAGGAGCUGCGGAAUAAGCGGAGACUGGCGAAGGGCGAGGUGACGAUGCGCGUCGGGAAUGGUUCCAAGGUCGAUGUGAUCACCGUUGGCACGCUACCUCUACAUUUACCUACGGGAUUAGUUUUAAACCUCAAUAAUUGUUAUUUAGUGCCAAGUUUGAGCAUGAACAUUGUAUCAGGAUCUCGUUUAAUACGAGAUGGCUACUCAUUUAAAUCCGAGAAUAAUGGUUGUUCUAUUUAUAUGAGAGAUAUGUUUUAUGGUCAUGCUCCGAUGGUCAAUGGUUUAUUCUUAAUGAAUCUCGAACGUGAUGUUACACAUAUUCAUAGUGUGAAUACCAAAAGAUAUAAAGUUGAUAACGAUAGUCCCACAUACUUGUGGCACUGCCGCCUUGGUCACAUUGGUGUCAAGCGCAUGAAGAAGCUCCAUGCUGAUGGACUUUUAGAGUCUCUCGAUUAUGAAUCAGUUGACACAUGCGAACCAUACCUUAUGGGCAAAAUGGCCAAGACUCCGUCCUCCGGAACAAUGGAGCGAGCAACAAACUUAUUGGAAAUCAUACAUGCUGAUGUGUGCGGUCCAAUGAGCGUUGAGGCUCGCGGAGGAUAUCGUUAUGUUCUCACUCUUACUGAUGACUUAAGUAGAUAUGGGUAUGUCUACUUGAUGAAACACAAGUCUGAGACCUUUGAAAAGUUCAAGGAAUUUCAGAAUGAGGUAGAGAAUCAACGUGACCGGAAAAUAAAGUUCUUACAAUCAGAUCGUGGAGGAGAAUAUUUAAGUCACGAAUUUGGCACACACUUAAGGAAAUGUGGAAUCAUUUCACAACUCACGCCGCCUGGAACACCUCAGCGUAACGGUGUGUCCGAACAUCGUAAUCGCACUCUAUUGGAUAUGGUGCGAUCUAUGAUGUCUCUUACUGAUUUACUGCUAUCAUUUUGGGGAUACGCUCUAGAGACCGCUAUAUUCACUUUAAAUAGGGCAUCGUCUAAAUCCGUUGAGACGACACCGUAUGAAUUAUGGUUUGGGAAGAAACCUAAGCUGUCGUUUCUAAAAGUUUGGGGAUGCGAUGCUUAUGUCAAGAAACUUCAACCUGAAAAGCUCGAACCCAAGUCAGAAAAAUGCGUCUUCAUAGGAUACCCUAAGGAAACCAUUGGGUAUACCUUCUACCUUAGAUCCGAAGGCAAGAUCUUUGUUGCCAAGAACGGAUCCUUUCUGGAAAAAGAGUUUCUCUCGAAAGGAAUAAGUGGGAGGAAAGUAUAACUCGAUGAAGUACUACCUCUUGAACCGGAAAGUAGUGCAGCUCAGGAAAAUGUUCCUGUGGUGCCUACACCGACUGGAGAGGAAAUUAAUGAUGAUGAUCAAGGUACUUCGAAUCAAGUUGCUACUGAACUUCGUAGGUCCACAAGGACACGUUCCACACCAGAGUGGUAUGGCAACCCUGUCCUGGAAAUCAUGUUGUUAGACAACGGUGAACCUUCGAACUAUGAAGAAGCGAUGGCGGUCCCAGAUUCCAACAAAUGGCUUGAAGCCAUGCAAUCCGAGAUAGGAUCCAUGUAUGAAAACAAAGUAUGGACUUUGAUAGACUUGCCCGAUGAUCGGCGAGCGAUAGAAAACAAAUGGAUCUUUAAGAAGAAGACGGACGCGGAUGGUAAUGUUACCAUCUAUAAAGCUCUACUUGUCGCUAAGGGUUAUCGACAAGUUCAAGGGGUUAACUACGAUGAGACUUUCUCUCCCAUAGCGAAGCUGAAGUCCGUCCGAAUCAUGUUAGCAAUUGCCGCAUACUAUCAUUAUGAGAUAUGGCAAAUGGACGUCAAAACGGCAUUCCUUAACGGCUAUCUUAAGGAAGAACUGUAUAUGAUGCAGCCGGAAGGUUUUGUCGACCCUAAGAAUGCUAACAAGGUAUGCAAGCUCCAGCGAUCCAUUUAUGGGCUGGUGCAAGCAUUUCGGAGUUGGAACAUUCGCUUUUAUGAGAUGAUCAAAGCGUUUGGGUUUAUGGAGACUUAUGGAGAAGCCUGCGUUUACAAGAAAGUGAGUGGGAGCUCUGUAGCAUUUCUCAUAUUAUAUGUAGAUGACAUACUUUUGAUGGGAAAUGAUAUAGAACUUUUGGACAGCAUUAAGGCCUACUUGAAUAAGAGUUUUUCAAUGAAGGACCUUGGAGAAGCUGCUUAUAUAUUAGGCAUCAAGAUCUAUAGAGAUAGAUCGGGACGCCUCAUAGGUCUUUCACAAAGCACAUACCUUGAUAAGAUAUUGAAGAAGUUCAAUAUGGAUCAGUCUAAGAAGGGGUUCUUGCCUGUGUUGCAAGGUGUGAAAUUGAGCUCGGCUCAAUGUCCGACCACGGCAGAAGAUAUAGAAGAGAUGAGUGUCAUCCCCUAUGCUUCAGCCAUAGGGUCUAUUAUGUAUGCCAUGAUGUGUACCAGACCUGAUGUAAACCUUGCCGUAAGUUUGGUAGGAAGGUACCAAAGUAAUCCCGGCAAGGAACACUGGACAGCGGUCAAGAAUAUCCUGAAGUACCUGAAAAGGACUAAGGACAUGUUUCUCGUUUAUGGAGGUGACGAAGAGCUCGUCGUAAAGGGUUACGUCGACGCUAGCUUCGACACAGAUCUGGAUGACUCUAAGUCACAAAACGGAUACGUGUAUAUGUUGAAUGGUGGAGCAGUAAGCUGGUGCAGCUGCAAGCAGAGCAUCGUGGCGGGAUCUACAUGUGAAGCGGAGUACAUGGCAGCCUCGGAGGCAGCGCAUGAAGCAAUUUGGGUGAAGGAGUUCAUCACCGACCUAGGAGUCAUACCCAAUGCGUCGGGGCCGAUCAAACUCUUUUGUGACAACACUAGAGCUAUUGCACUUGACAAGGAGCCCAGGUUUCACAAGAAGACCAGGCACAUCAAGCGUCGCUUCAACUCCAUUUGUGAAAAUGUUCAAGAUGGAGACAUAGAAAUUUGCAAAGUGCAUACGGAUCUGAAUGUCGCAGAUCCGUUGACUAAACCUCUUCCGCGAGCAAAACAUGAUCAACACCACAACUCUAUGGGUGUUUGAUUCAUCACAAUGUAACUAGAUUAUUGACUCUAGUGCAAGUGGGUGACUGUUGGAAAUAUUCCCUAGAGGCAAUAAUAAAAGGAUUAUUAUUAUAUUUCCUUGUUCAUGAUAAUUGUCUUUUAUUCAUGCUAUAAUUGUAUUAUCCAGAAAUCGUAAUACACGUGUGAAUACAUAGACCACAACAUGUCCCUAGUAAGCCUCUAGUUGACUAGCUCGUUGAUCAACAGAUAGUCAUGGUUUCCUGAGUAUGGACAUUGGAUGUCAUUGAUAAUGAGAUCACAUCAUUAGGAGAAUGAUGUGAUGGACAAGACCCAAUCCUAAGCAUAGCACAAGAUCGUGUAGUUCGUUUGCUAGAGCUUUUCCAAUGUCAAGUAUCUUUUCCUUAGACCAUGAGAUCGUGUAACUCCCGGAUACCGUAGGAGUGCUUUGGGUGUACCAAACGUCGCAACGUAACUGGGUGACUAUAAAGGUAUACUACGGGUAUCUCCAAAAGUGUCUGUUGGGUUGACACUGAUCGAGACUGGGAUUUGUCACUCCGUAUGACGGAGAGGUAUCUCUGGGCCCACUCGGUAAUGCAUCAUCAUAACGAGCUCAAAGUGACCAAGUGUUUGGUCACAGGAUCAUGCAUUACGGUACGAGUAAAGUCACUUGCCGGUAACAAGAUUGAACGAUCGAAUCUCGGGCAAGUAACGUACCGAUUGACAAAGGGAAUUGUAUACGGGGUUGCUUGAAUCCUCGACAUCGUGGUUCAUCCAAUGAGAUCAUCGAGGAGCAUGUGGGAGCCAACAUGGGUAUCCAGAUCCCGCUGUUGGUUAUUGACCAAAGAGUCGUCUCGGUCAUGUCUACGUGUCUCCCAAACCCAUAGGGUCUACACACUUAAGGUUCGGUGACGCUAGGGUUGUAGAGAUAUGAGUAUGAAGCAAACCGAAAGUUGUUCGGAGUCCCGGAUGAGAUCCCGGACGUCACAGGAGUUCCGGAAUGGUCCGGAGGUAAAGAAUUAUAUAUGGGAAGUGGAGUUUCAGCCGUCGGGAAAGUUUCGGGGGUCACCGGUAUUGUACCGGGACCACCGGAAGGGUCCCGGGGGUCCACCGGGUGGGGCCACCUAUCCCGGAGGGCCCUAUGGGCUGAAGUGGGAGGGGAACCAGCCCCUGGUGGGCUGGUGCGCCCCCCCUUGGGCCCCCCCUGCGCCUAGGGAUGGGAACCCUAGGGGAGGGGGCGCCUCCACUUGCCUUGGGGGGCAAGGCACCCCCCUAGGCCGCCGCCCCCCUAGGGACCCUAUAUAUAGAGGGGGGGAGGGAGGGCAGCCGCACCCUUGCACUUGGCGCCUCCCUUCCCCCUUGCUACACCUCUCCUCCUCCGUAGAGCUCGGCGAAGCCCUGCUGAGAUUCCUGCUGCAUCCACCACCACGCCGUCGUGCUGCUGGAUCUCCAUCAACCUCUCCUUCCCCCUUGCUGGAUCAAGAAGGAGGAGACGUCUUCACCAACCGUACGUGUGUUGAACGCGGAGGUGCCGUCCUUUCGGCACUCGGUCAUCGGUGAUUUGGAUCACGACGAGUACGACUCCCUCAACCCCGUUCUCUUGAACGCUUCCGCUUGCGAUCUACAAAGGUAUGUAGAUGCACUCCUAUCACUCGUUGCUAGAUGAACUCAUAGAUAGAUCUUGGUGAAACCGUAGGAAAUUUUUUAUUUUCUGCAACGUUCCCCAACAGACACCACACUGGAGAUAGAACUGCACACAAGGUAUUGCAAUCCGUUUUUUAUUGGCCUACUCUCUUCAAAGAUGCUCGUAAGUUUUUCUUGUCUUGUGAUGAAUGUCAAAGAAUUGGUAAUAUUAGUAGACGUCAAGAAAUGCCUAUGAACUAUUCUCUUGUUAUUGAACCAUUUGAUGUUUGGGGCUUUGAUUAUAUGGGACCUUUUCCUGCCACUAAUGGUUACACACAUAUUUUAGUUGCUGUUGAUUACGUUACUAAGUGGGUAGAAGGUAUUCCAACUAGUAGUGUUGAUCAUAACACUUCUAUUAAAAUGCUUAAAGAAGUUAUUUUUCUGAGGUUUGGAGUCCCUAGAUAUCUUAUGACUGAUGGUGGUUCACAUUUUAUUCAUGGUGCUUUCCGUAAGAUGCUUGCUAAGUAUGAUGUUAAUCAUAGAAUCGCAUCUCCUUAUCACCCACACAAUUUAGUGGUCAAGUAGAGUUGAGCAAUAGAGAGCUCAAAUUAAUUUUGCAAAAGACUGUUAAUAAAUCUAAAAAGAAUUGGUCCAAGAAGCUUGAUGAUGCAUUAUGGGCCUAUAGAACUGCAUAUAAAUAUCCUAUGGGUAUGUCUCCAUAUAAGAUGGUUUAUGGAAAAGCUUGUCAUUUACCUCUAGAACUUGAACAUAAAGCAUAUUGGGCUAUCAAAGAGCUCAACUAUGACUUCAAACUUGCCGGUGAGAAGAGGUUGUUGAUAUUAGCUCACUUGAUGAAUGGAGAACACAAGCCUAUGAGAAUGCCAAGCUAUUUAAAGAAAAAGUCAAAUGUUGGCAUGACAAAAGGAUACAAAAGCAUGACAAAGGUGAUUAUGUGUUAUUAUUCAACUCUCGUUUAAUAUUUUUUGCAGGAAAACUUCUCUCUAAAUGGGAAGGCCCUUACGUUAUCGAGGAGGUCUAUCGUUCGGGUGCCAUAAAAAUCAACAACUUCGAAGGCACAAGUCCGAGGGUGGUGAACGGUCAAAGAAUCAAACAUUAUAUCUUACGUAAUCCUAUCAAUGUUGAAACUAAUAUCAUUGAAACCGUAACCCCGGAGGAAUACAUAAGGGACACUUUCUAGAACAUUCCAGACUCCGAAAAGGAAUAGGUAUGUGGUACGGUAAGUAAACCGACUCCAAAACAUUUCUAUUGGCAAUUUUUAUCAGUUUUGGAAUAUUUAAGAAUUUUAGGAAGAAAGAAGUAGUCCGGGAAGGACACGAGGCCUCCACGAGGGUGGAGGGCGCGCCCACCCUUACUGGGCGUGCCCCCCUGUCUCGUGGCCACCUCGUGUGCCUCCCGGACUCCUUUUUCUUGCACGUUACAUAUUUUGGUUGGUAAAAAUUCAUUAUAUAAACUCCCGAAGGUUUUGACCACCGUAUCACGCAAAAAUACUCUGUUUUCGUUGCGAGCUGUUUCUGUUAUAGAUUUAGAGCAAGAUGUCUUCUCAAGAGUCAGUUGGGGAGAGUCGGGUGCCUCACCCGACACUAGGUCCAGGAGCAAAAAGCGAUGCUUAUCACUUUGGACCAUCAACGGAGGAUGAGAUGGAGGCCGACUUGAAAAGGAUAGAUGCCAUGGAGGAAGAUCAAGAAGUCACCUCCUGCUUUCAAGCAGGAUUCAUAAUGGGGGAACUACAGAGCUCGGUUGUUCCAAAUUUGGUCAUCCCUUCCAAUGCUAAGUUUCUUACUUAUGAAAAUAUGAAAAAGAGUGUUACUUGUUCUCCACAAGCUAUGCAGCACCCUUGUGUAAAAGGAGCUUUAGCAAUAGCAGGCAAGAUCCGCAAGGAAAAUAUGAACCUCAAGCAACAAGUCAAUAAGCUCGAGGAGGAGAAUCGUAUCCUGAGGGGAAUUAUCGCCGAAAAGAUAACAACACCAACUUUGAAGAAGGAGACAUAAUCACUUGGGUAUGGGCACUCCCCUUGGCAACUGCCGAGCUUGGGGGAGGUGUUGCGGUAUCGUAUCACCAUCACACUCCUAUCUUUACCGUUUUAUUUAGUUCGAUCCUUUUUAGUAGUAUCUUGAUCUAGUAGAUUGAAGUUUUGAUAUCAAGUAGUUUUGAGUUUUGCUUUGUGAUCUCUUUAUGUAAUCGAGCCCAUGAGCUAUCUAUAAUAAAGAUUAGUGUUGAGUCAAGGGCUUUGCUAUCUUGCUAUGAUCUUAAGAAAAAUAGAAAGAAUAAAAAGAAUAAAGAGUUCAUAUUGAUCUUAUGGAUAGUAAUGACUUCACACAUAGAAAGUAUGACGCAUAAAAGUUGUUGAGAGUUGAUAAACGUAGUUUUGGUCAUCGUUACAAUUAAUAGGAAGUAAUAAGGAAAGAGAGGUUUCACAUAUAAAUAUACUAUCUUGGACAUAUUUUAUGAUUGUGAGCACUCAUUAAGUAUGACAUGCUCAAAGAGUCGACGUUGGACAAGGAAGACAACGUAAUGGUUUAUGUUUUCUAACAUCUCAGUUAAAGUAUAUUUUCAUUGACCUUCCGAACAUGUUGAGCUUGCCUUUCCCCCUCAUGCUAGCCAAAUCCUAGCACCAAGUAGAGAUACUGCUUGUGCUUCCAAAUAUCCUUAAACCCAGUCUUGCCAUGAGAGUCCACCAUAUCUAGCUAUGGAUUGAGUAAGAUCCUUCAAGUAAGUUGUCAUCAGUGCAAGCAAUCAAAAUUGCUCUCUAAAUAUGCAUGACUUAUUAGUGCGGAGAAAAUAAGCUUUAUAGGAUCUUGUUAUGGAAGCAAUAAAAGCGACGAACUGCAUAAUAAACGUCCAUACACAAGUGGCAAUAUAAAGUGACGUUCUUUCGCAUUAAAAUUUUGUGUAUCAAACCCUAAAAGCGCAUGACAACCUCUGCUUCCCUCUGCGAAGGGCCUAUCUUUUACUUUAUGUUUUUACUUUAUGCUUGAGUCAAGGUGAUCUUCACCUUUCCCUUUUUCAUUUUAUCCUUUGGCAAGCUCCUCGUGUUUGAAAGAUCAUGAUAUAUAUAUCCAAUUGGAAGUUCGUUAGCAUGGACUAUUAUUGUUGACAUCACCUAAAGGUGAAUACGUUGGGAGGCAACACAAUAAGCCCCUAUCUUUCUCAGUGUCCGGCUGAAACUCCAUAACCACAAGUAUUGCAUGAGUGUUAGCAAGAAGACUAUAUGAUAGUCGAGUAUGUGGACAUGCUGAAAAGCUCUAUUCUUGACUCUUUUUGAUGUUACGAUAAAUUGCAAUUGCUUCAAUGACUGAGAUUAUAGUUUGUUAGCUUUCAAUGAAGUAUCUGAACCAUACUUGACAUUGUGAAUUGAUUGUUACUUGAGCAUGAGAAGUCAUAUGACAAAAUCUAUUGAUGUUGCUGUUAUAAGAAUAAUCAUGAUGCCCUCAUGUCCGUUUUUUAUUUUUAAUAACACCUCUAUCUCUAAACAUGUGGACAUAUUUUUCGAUUUCGGCUUCUGCUUGAGGACAAGCGAGGACUAAGCUUGGGGGAGUUGAUACGUCCAUUUUGCAUCAUGCUUUUAUAUCAAUAUUUAUUGCAUUAUGUGCUGUUAUUACACAUUAUAAAUCAAUACUUAUGGCUAUUCUCUCUUAUUUUAUAAGGUUUACCAUGAAGAUGGGGAAUGCCGGCAGCUGGAAUUCUGGCUGGAAAUGGAGCAAACAUUGGAAACCUAUUCUGCACUGCUCCAAAAGACCUGAAACUCCACGAAACUUAUUUUUCGAAUUAAUGAGAAUUAUUGAGCGGAAGAAACACCUCAGGGGGCCCACACCCUGGCCAGGAGGGUGGGGGGCGCGCCCAGUGGGCGCGCCCCCUGGUGGCCCUCCGGUAUCCAUCUUCUGCUAUAUGAAGGAUUUUACCCUGGAAAAAAUCAUGGGCAAGCUUACGGGACGAAACUGCGCCGCCACGAGGCGGAACCUUGGCGGAACCAACUGGGCGCGCCCCCUGGUGGCCCUCCGGUAUCCAUCUUCUAUUAUAUGAAGGAUUUUACCCUGGAAAAAAUCAUGGGCAAGCAUACGGGACGAAACUCCGCCGCCAUGAGGCGGAACCUUGGCGGUACCAAUCUAGAGCUCCGGCAGAGCUGUUCUGGCAUGGACACUUCCCUCCGGGAGGGGGAAACCAUCACCAUCAUCAUCACCAACGAUCCUCCCAUCGGGAGAGGGUCAAUCUCCAUCAACAUCUUCACCAGCACCAUCUCCUCUCAAACCCUAUUUCAUCUCUUGUAUCCAAUCUUGUAUCCAAAACCACAAAUUGGUACCUAUGGGUUGCUAGUAGUGUUGAUUAUUCCUUGUAGUUGAUGCUUAUUGGUUUACUUGGUGGAAGAUCAUAUGUUCAGAUCCUUAAUGCAUAUUAUUACUCCUCUGAUUAUGAACAUGAAUAUGCUUUGUGAGUAGUUACGUUUGUUCCUGAGGACAUGGGUGAAGUCUUGCUAUUAGUAGUCAUGUGAAUUUGGUAUUCGUUCGAUAUUUUGAUGAGAUGUAUGUUGUAUUUGCUCUAGUGGUGUUAUGUGAACGUCGACUACAUGACACUUCACCAUUAUUUGGGCCUAGAGUAAGGCAUUGGGAAGUAAUAAGUAGAUGAUGGGUUGCUAGAGUGACGGAAGCUUAAACCCUAGUUUAUGCGUUGCUUCGUAAGGGGCCGAUUUGGAUCCAUAUGUUUAAUGAUGUGGUUAGGUUUACCUUAAUACUUCUUUUGUAGUUGCGGAUGCUUGCAAUAGGGGUUAAUCAUAAGUGGGAUGCUUGUCCAAGUAAGGGCAGUACCCAAGCACCGGUCCACCCACAUAUCAAAUUAUCAAAGUACCGAAAACGAAUCAUAUGAGCGUGAUGAAACUAGCUUGACGAUAAUUCCCAUGUGUCCUCGGGAGCGCUUUUCUCAUUAUGAGAAAUUGUCCAGGCUUGUCCUUUGCUACAAAAAGGAUUGGGCCACGCCACCUUGCUGCACUUUAUUUACUUUCGUUGCUUGUUACUCUUUACAAUUUAUCUUAUCACAAAACUAUCUAUCACCUACAAUUUCAGAGCUUGCAGAGAAAACCUUACUAAAAACCGCUUAUUAUUUCCUUCUGCUCCUCGUUGGGUUCGGCACUCUUACUUAUCGAAAGGACUACGAUAGAUCCCCUACACUUGUGGGUCAUCAUUGAUCAUUCAUGCUUCACUUAGAACAUCAUGGUAUUUGCUAUGGUUAUAAAUUUGGUCCUAGAAUGAUGAGCAUCCAACUUGGGUAUAAUAAAAACUAUCAUAGAAAGUGCAUUAAAAACUAUGAUCAAUUUGAUGGUUGAUAAUUGUUUUGAGAGAUAAAGGUGGUAAUGUUAGAGUCACGCUAGUUGGGUAAUUAUGAAAUUGAGAAAUACUUGUGUUGAACUUGGCAAGUCCCGUAGCAUGCACGUAUGGUAAAAGUUAUGUAACAAAUUUGUAGCAUGGGGUGCUCUCUGAGUGCUUUCCUUAUGAGUGGCAGUCGGGGACGAGCGAUGGUCUUUUCCUACCAAUCUAACCCUCUAGGUGCAUGUGUAGUAGUACUUUACUUCGAGGGCGAAUAAAUUUUUGCAAUAAGUAUAUGAGUUCUUUAUGACUAAUGUGAGUCCAUGGAUAUAUGCACACUUACCCUUCCACUUUGCUAGCCUCUAUUAUACCGCGCAACCUUCGCCGGUAUCAUGAACCCAUUAUUUACCAUCCUCAAAACAGCCACCAUACCUACCUAUUAUGGCAUUUCCAUAGCCAUUCCGAGAUAUAUUGCCAUGCAACUUUCCAUUGUUUCGUUUAUUAUGACAAGCUCCAUCAUUGUCUCGCUCUUUGCAUGAUCAUGUAGUUGACAUCGUAUUUGUGGCAAGGCCACCUUCAUAAUUUUUCAUACAUGUCACUCUUGAUUCAUUGCAUAUCCCAGUACACUGCCGGAGGCAUUCACAUAGAGCCAUGUCUUGUUCUAAGUAUCGAGUUGUAAUUCUUGAGUUGUAAAUCAAUAAAAGUGUGAUGAUCUUCAUUAUUAGAGCAUUGUCCCAAGUGAGGAAAGGAUGAUGAAGACUACGAUUCCCCCACAAGUCGGGAUGAGACUUCGGACUUUAUAAAAAUAAAAGAGGCCAAAGAAGCCCACCAAAAUAAAAAAAAUGAGAGAAAAAGAGAGAAGGGACAAUGUUACUAUCCUUUUACCACACUUGUGCACCAUGAUCUUCAUGAUAGAGAGUCUCCUAUGUUGCCACUUUCAUAUACUAGUGGGAUUUUUUCAUUAUAGAACUUGGCUUUUAUAUUCCAAUGAUGGGCUUCCUACAAACGCCCUAGGUCUUCAUGAGGAAGCAAGUUGGAUGCACACCCACUUAGUUUCUUUUGUUGAGAUUUCAUAUAUUUAUAGCUCUAGUGCAUCCUUUGCAUGGCAAUCCCUACUCACUCACAUUGAUAUCUUUUAAUGGGUGAUGUCUACUACACAACCUUCUUCUUGUAGACAUUGUUGGGCCUGCACAUGCACAGGUUUGUAGCACAGUAGCAAAUUUCCCUCAAGUGGAUGACCUAAGGUUUAUCAAUCUGUAGGAGGCGUAGGAUGAAGAUGGUCUCUCUCAAACAACCCUGCAAGCAAAUAACAAAGAGUCUCUUGUGUCCCCAACACACCCAAUACAAUGGUAGAUUGUAUAGGUGCACUAGUUCGGCGAAGAGAUGGUGAUACAAAUGCAAUAUGGAUAGUAGAUAAAGGUAUUCGUGAUCUGAAAUUAUAAAAACAGCAAGGUAGCAAGUAACAAAAGUGAGCAUAAACGGUAUUGCAAUGAUAGGAAAUAAGGCCUAGGGUUCAUACUUUCACUAGUGAAAGUUCUCUCAACAAUAAUAACAUAAAUAGAUCAUAUAACAAUCCCUCAAUAUGCAACAAAGAGUCACUCCAAAGCCACUAAUAGCGGAGAACAAACGAGGAGAGUAUGGUAGGGUACGAAACCACCUCAAAGUUAUUCUUUCGGAUCAAUCUAUUCAAGAGAUCGUACUAGAAUAACACCUUAAGACACAAAUCAACCAAAACCCUAAUGUCACCUAGAUACUCCAUUGUCACCUCAAGUAUCCGUGGGCAUGAUUAUACGAUAAGCAUCACAUAAUCUCAGAUUCAUCUAUUCAACCAACACAAAGUACUUCAAGGAGUGCCCCAAAGUUUCUACCGGAGAGUCAAGAACGUCUGCCAACCCCUAUGCAUAGGUUCAUGGGCGGAACCCGCAAGUUGGUCACCAAAACAUACAUCAAGUGGCACAUGAUAUCCCAUUGUCACCACAGAUAAUCACGGAAAAACAUACAUCAAGUGUUCUCAAAUAAAGACUCAAUCCGAUAAGAUAACUUCAAAGGGGAAAACUCAAUCCAUUACAAGAGAGUAGAGGGGGAGAAACAUCAUAAGAUCCAACUAUAAUAGCAAAGCUCGGGAUACAUCAAGAUCGUGCCAUAGAGGGAACACGAGAGAGAACACGAGAGAGAGAGAGAGAGAUCAAACACAUAGCUACUGGUACAUACCCUCAGCCUCGAGGGUGAACUACUCCCUCCUCGUCAUGGAGAGUGCCGGGAUGAUGAAGAUGGCCACCAGUGAAGGAUCCCCCCUCUGACAGGGUGCCGGGAAGGGCUGCCGAGAGGUUUUUGGUGGCUACAGAGGCUUGGGGCGGCGGAACUCCCGAUCUCUCUUGAUAUUCGAUGUUUUUAGGGUACAAGGGAAUAUAUAGGCGAAAGAAGUCAGUCGGGAGGUGCUCGAGGGGCCCAGGAGACAGGGGGCGCGCCCAAUAGGGGGGCGCGCCCUCCUAUCUCGUGGCCUCCUCGAGGGUCUUCUGACGUGAACUCCAAGUCUCCUGGGUGUUAUUCUUCCAAAAAAUCACGUUGCCGAAGGUUUCAUUCCGUUUGGACUCCAUUUGAUAUUCCUAUUCUUCGAAAUACUGAAACAGGCAAUAAAACAGCAAUAUGGGUUGGGCCUCCGGUUAAUAGGUUAGUCCCAAAAGUAAUAUAAAAGUGUAUAAUAAAGCCCAUAAUCAUUCAAAACAGGUAAUAAAAUAGCAUGAAUGCUUCAUAAAUUAUAGAUACAUUGGAGACGUAUCAGCAUCACCAAGCUUAAUUCCUACUCGUCCUCGAGUAGGUAAAUGAUAAAGAAAGAAUUUAUGAAGUGUGAAUGCUAGAAGGUGCACAAGUUUGAUCAAUGAUAAUUCCAAUCACCUUUUCUAGCAUGAUUAUAUGUCAUAACAAUAGUUCAUCUCAUAAAACUUUUCAUAAUCAAGUAACAAGCUAUUCACAUGUAUAAGCAUAGACCAUAAACUUUCUUGAAAACUAGCAAACUUCAUUCUUAAUCAUCAAACAAUUGCAAUUCAUCUUAUUUUCAGGAAGGGUCUAUGUCAGAGCUUUGAUUUAAUUAGCAAACUUCACAUACUCAACUAUCAUAUAGUCUUCUACAAUUGCUAACACUCACGCAGUCCUUGUGGUUAUGAAGUUUUAAUCAGACACAGAGAAAGAUUGGGGCUUAUAAUGUUGCCUCCAAACGUAUUCACCUUUGGGUGAUGUCAACAAUAAUAGUUCAUGCUAACGUACAUCCAAUUGGAUAUAUAUAUCAGGAUCACCCCAACACAAAUUUCUUGCCAAAGGAUAAAAUGAAAAAGGGAAAGGUGAAGAUCACCUUGACUCUUGUAUAAAAGUAAAAGGCCCUUCGCAGAGGGAAGCAGGGAUUUUCAGAGGUGCCAGAGCUCGAUUUUUAAAAUAGAGACAAAUAAUUUCGAGAGGUAUGAUCUCAUUGUCAACAUAACAACCAAGAGUUCCCAGUAUCUUCCAUACUACGUACAUUAUAGGCAGUUCCCACAAAGAAUGGUAAAAGUUUAUACUCCCCCAACCACCAACAAGCAUCAAUCCAUGGCUUGCUCGAAACAACGAGUGCCUCCAACCAACAACAAUCCUGGGGGAGUUUUGUUUAAUUAUUUUGAUUUGAUUUUGACCUUUUUUAUCAUGGGACUGGGCAUCCCGGUUACCGCCACUUUCUCGUGAAUGAGGAGCGGAGUCCACUCCUCUUGAGAAUAACCCACCUAGCAUGGAAGACACUGACAGCCCCUAGUUGCUACAUGAGCAAUUCGGGCAUACAAAACAUAUUAUAAUUUGAAGGUUUAGAGUUUGGCACAUGCAAAUUUACUUGGAACAGCAGGUAAAUACCGCAUAUAGGUAGGUAUGGUGGACACUCAUGGCAAAAACUGGGUUUAAGGAUAUUGGAUGCACAAGCAGUAUUCCCGCUUAGUACAGAUAUUUAGGCUAGCAAGGGGAGAAAGGCAAGCUCAACAUGUUUGAAUGAUCCAUGACAAUAUACUUUAACUGAGAUGCGAGAGAACAUAACCCAUUACGUUGUCUUCCUUGUCCAACAUCAACUCUUUAGCAUGUCAUACUUAAUGAGUGCUCACAAUUAUAAAAGAUGUCUAUGAUAAUAUAUUUAUAUGUGAAAUUUCUCUUCCUUAAAUAUUCUUUCAUGAAUUGUUCAAAUGGCCAAUACAAUGCUUGCUAACCUUCAAUAAAUUACUACCUCUACUUCUUAGAUGUGAAGUCAUUACUCCCCAUGGGAUAAGCAAAUGAAACAUAUAUAAUUUCAGAUUUAUGACAUUCAACUCAACCAUUAACUCAUAGGAUAUAAGUGAAGCACACGAGUAAAUGAGAAACUACUCCAAAAAAAUAUAAGUGAAGAUCAAUGAGUAGCUAAAUAAUUAUGCAACUAUGUGAAGACUCUCUCUCAUUUAAUAAUUUCAGAUCUUGGUAUCUUAUUCAAACAGCAAGCAAAGCAACAUAAAAUGACAUUGUAAGGAUAGCACAACUGAUGUGAAGAAGCAAAAACUUAGGUUCAACCGAUACUAACCGAUAGUUGUUGAAGAAAAAAGGUCGGAUGCCUACCGGGGCAUCCCCAAGCUUAGGUGCUUGAGACUUCUUGAAAUAUUAUCUUGGGGUGCCUUGCGCAUCCCCAAGCUUGAGCUUUUCUGUCUCCUUAAUUCCCUUUUAUAUCACGGUUUCUCUUCUUUUUAUCAAAAAGCUUCAUUCACAACAAACUCAACAAUAACUCGUGAGAUAGGUUAGUAUAAACCAAUGCAAAACCUUAUCAUUUUCUACUGUAACGAAUCACUAAGAUUAUUAUUAAACAUUUAAUACUAAAUGUCUCUGCAUAUUUAAUACUCCUAUCCUCAAACAGAAUCAUUAAACAAGCAAACAUAUGCACACAAUGCAAACAUAACAGCAAUCUGCCAAAACAGUACAGUCUGUAAAGAAUGCAAGAUUCAUCAUGCAUCCCUAACUCCAAAAAUUAUAAGGAAACUACUAUGCUGUAAAAUAUUUAUCAGAGCUCAUUAUGCAAAAAGAUUCAACAUUAUAUCACUCUCUGACUUUUCUAGGGAACUUUUGCAACAGCGGUAAACUUUCUGUUUUCAAACAGCAACAUGUAUACUUGCAAAAUAAGCAUGGUAAAGGCUAUCCUUGACAUUUUUAUUGAAAAUGAAGAUGAAAACCAUUAAUAUAAAUAACAUCAAGCAAAUACUAACAAAAUAAAAUGACACUCCAAGCAAAACACAUAUCAUGUGGUGAAUAAAAAUAUAGCUCCAAGUAAAGUUACCGAUGAACGAAGAUGAAAGAGGGGAUGCCAUCCGGGGCAUCCCCAAGCUUAGGCUCUUGGUUAUCCUUGAAUAUUACCUUGGGGUGCCUUGGGCAUCCCCAAGCUUAGGCUCCUUCCACUUAUUAUUCCAUAGUCCAUCGAAUCCUUACCCAAAACUUGAAAACUUCAACCACACAAAACUCAAAACAAAACUCGUAAGCUCCGUUGGUAUAAGAAAGAAAAACCACCACAUAAGGUACUGUAAUGAACUCAUUCUUUAUUUAUAUUGGUGUUAAACCUACUGUAUUCUAACUUCUCUAUGGUUCAUACCCUUACAUACUAGCCAUAGAUUCAUCAAAAUAAGCAAACGACACCAUGAAAGCAGAAUCUGUCAAAAACAGAACAGUCUGUAGUAAUCUGUAUCAAACGUAUACUUCUGGAACCCCAAAAAUUAUGAAAUAAAUUGAUAGACCUGAGUAAUUUGUCUAUUAAUCAUCUGCAAAAAUAAUCAACCGAAAAGCACUCUCCAGACAAAAAAUGGUAUCUAAUCUCGUGAGCGCUAAAGUUUCUGGUUUUCACAGCAAGAUCAUAAAGACUUCACCCAAGUCUUCCCAAAGGCUCUACUUGGCACUUUAUUGAAACAAAAGCUAUAAAACAUGAUUACUACAGUAGCAUAAUCAUGUGGACACACAAAAACAGUAAGGGUUAAUAUUGGUAUGUCUCCCAACAAGAGCUUUUAUUUAAUGCCUUUCUAGCUAGGCAUGAUGAUGGCAAUGAUGCUCACAAAAAGGAUAAGAAUUGAAACAUAAAGGGAGCAUCAUGAAGAAUAUGACUAGCACAUUUAAGUCUAACCCACUUCCCAUGCAUAGGUGUUUUUUGAGCAAACAACUUACAGGAACAAUAAUCAACUAGCAUAGGAAGGCAAAACAAGCAUAACUUCAAGAUUUUAAGCACGUAGAGAGGAAACUUAAUAUUAUUGCAAUUCCUACAAGCAUAUGUUACUCCCUCAUAAUAAUUUUCAGUAGCAUCAUGAAUGAAUUCAACAAUAUAACCAGAACCUAAAGCAUUCUUUUCAUGAUUUACAAGCAUGGAAAAUUACUACUCUCCACAUAAGCAAAAUUCUUCUCAUAAAUAGUAGUGGGAGCAAACUCAACAAAAUAACUAUCAUGUGAGGCAUAAUCCAAUUGAAAACUAAAAUGAUGAUGACAAGUUUCAUGGUUAUCAUUAUUCUUAAUAGCAUAGAAGUCAUCACAAUAAUCAUCAUAGAUAGCAAUUUUGUUUUCAUAAUCAAUUGGAACCUCUUCCGAAAUAGUGGAAUCAUCACUAAAUAAAGUUGACACUCUUCCAAAUCCACUUUCAUAUUCAUCACAAUAAGAUUCAACAUCCUCCAAAAUAGUGGGAUCAAUACUACCUAAAGUUGACACUCUUCCAAACCCACUUUCAUCAAUAUAACCAUCAUAAAUAGGAGGCAUGUUGUCAUCAUAAUAAAUAUUCUCAUCAAAACUUGGGGGACUAAACAUAUCAAAUUCAUCAAACAUAGCUUCCCCAAGCUUGUGGCUUUGUAUAUCAUUAGCAUCAUGGAUAUUCAAAGAGUUUAUACUAACAACAUCGCAAUCAUGCUCAUCAUUCAAAGAUUUAGUGACAAACAUUUUAUAGAUUUCUUCUUCUAGCACUUGAGCACAAUUUUCCUUACCAUCAUUCUCAUGAAAGAUAUUAAAAAGAUGAAGCAUAUGGGACAAACUCAAUUCCAUUUUUUUGUAGUUUUCUUUUAUAGACUAAACUAGUGAUAAAACAAGAAACAAAAAGAUUCGAUUGCAAGAUCUAAAGAUAUACCUUCAAGCACUCACCUCCAAAAAGAGCUUAGUUGACGGGGUGUGAGUACCAUUUACCUAGCCUCCCUGGCAACGGCGCCAGAAAAGAGCUUGAUGUCUACUACACAACCUUCUUCUUGUAGACAUUGUUGGGCCUGCAAGUGCACAAGUUUGUAGGACAGUAGCAAAUUUCCCUCAAGUGCAUGACCUAAGGUUUAUCAAUCCGUAGGAGACGUAGGAUGAAGUUGGUCUCACUCAAACAACCCUGCAACAAAAUAACAAAGAGUCUCUUGUGUCCCCAACACACCCAAUACAAUGGUAGAUUGUAUAGGUGCACUAGUUCGGCAAAGAGAUGGUGAUACAAGUGCAAUUUGGAUAGUAGAUAAAGGUAUUUUGUGAUCUGAAAUUAUAAAAACAGCAAGGUAGAAAGUAACAAAAGUGAGCGUAAACGGUAUUGCAAUGAUAGGAAACAAGGCCUAGGGUUCAUACUUUCACUAGUGCAAGUUCUCUCAACAAUAAUAACAUAGAUAGAUCAUAUAACAAUCCCUCAAUAUGCAACAAAUAGUCACUCCAAAGCCACUAAUAGCGGAGAACAAACGAAGAGAUUAUGGUAGGGUACGAAACCACCUCAAAGUUAUUCUUUCGGAUCAAUCUAUUCAAGAGUUCGUACUAGAAUAACACCUUAAGACACAAAUCAACCAAAACCCUAAUGUCACCUAGAUACUCCAUUGUCACCUCAAGUAUCCGUGGGCAUGAUUAUACGAUAAGCAUCACACAAUCUUAGAUUCAUCUAUUCAACCAACACAAAGUACUUCAAGGACUGCCCCAAAGUUUCUACCAGAGAGUCGUGUGCCAACCCCUAUGCAUAGGUUCAUGGGCGGAACCCGCAAGUUGGUCACCAAAACAUACAUCAAGUGGCACAUGAUAUCCCAUUGUCACCAUAGAUAAUCACGGCAAGACAUACAUCAACUGUUCUCAAAUAAAGACUCAAUCCGAUAAGAUAACUUCAAAGGGGAAAACUAAAUCCAUUACAAGAGGGUAGAGGGGGAGAAACAUCAUAAGAUCCAACUAUAAUAGGAAAGAUCGAGAUACAUCUAGAUCGUGGCAUAGAGGGAACACGAGAGAGAACACGAGAGAGAGAGAGAGAGAGAGAGAGAGAGAGAGAGAUCAAACACAUAGCUACUGGUACAUACCCUCAGCCUCGAGGGUGAACUACUCCCUCCUCGUCAUGGAGAGCACCGGGAUGAUGAAGAUGGCCACCGGUGAAGGAUCCCCCCUCCGGCAGGGUGCCGGGAAGGGCUCCCGAGAGGUUUUUGGUGGCUACAGAGGCUUGCGGCGGCGGACUCCCGAUCUCUCUUGAUAUUCGAUGUUUUUAGGGUACGAGGGAAUAUAUAGGCAAAAGAAGUCGGUCGGGAGGUGCUCGAGGGGCCCACAAGAUAGGGGGCGCGCCCAUUAGGGGGGGCGCCCUCCUAUCUCGUGGCCUCCUCGAGGGUCUUCUGACGUGAACUCCAAGUCUCCUGGGUGUUAUUCUUCCAAAAAAAUCACGUUGCCGAAGGUUUCAUUCCAUUUGGACUCCGUUUGAUAUUCCUUUUCUUCGAAAUACUGAAACAGGCAAUAAAACAACAAUAUGGGCUGGGCCUCCAGUUAAUAGGUUAGUCCCAAAAGUAAUAUAAAAGUGUACAAUAAAGCCCAUAAUAAUUCAAAACAGAUAAUAAAAUAGCAUGAAUGCUUCAUAAAUUAUAGAUAUGUUGGAGACGUACCAAUGGGCAUCUCCAUAGCCCAUUGAUAUGCCUAGUUGAUGUGAGACUAUCUUCUCCCUCCUUGUCUUCAUAACCACCACCAUAUACCACACAUAGUGCUAUGUCCAUGGCUUGCGCUCAUGUAUUGGUAAGAGUUGAAAAGGCUGAAGCGCGUUAAAAAUUAUGAACCAAUUGCUCGGCUCGUCAUCGGGGUUAUGCAUAAGGGGAGUAUUUUGCUUUAUAAAAAUGAAGCAUGGCCUAACUAUAUGAUUUUGUAGGGAUAAGCUUUCUUUGGCUAUGCUGUUUUGAUAAGAGAUGAUUAUUUGUUAGUAUGCUUCAAGUAUUACUAUUUUUAUGUUUUAUAAGCUUUUAUCUUGAAUCAUUUGGAUCUAAACAAUCAUGCCACAAUAAAUAGAAUUACAUUGAGAAUUAUGCUAGGUAGCAUUCCACAUCUAAAAUUCUGUUUUUAUCAUUUACCUACUCGAGGACGAGCAGGAAUUGAGCUUGGGGAUGCUUGAUACGUCUCCAACGUAUCUAUACUUUUUAUUGUUCCAUGCUAUUAUAUUACUUGUUUUGGAUGUUUAUGGGCUUUAGAGGCGCUCCUGCCUCAUCGGCGAAAUGAUCGGCCUUUAGGACCCCAACCGCAUGGGGGUGACGCGGCUGUCUGCGGAGCAGGUCGCGCGUGGCAUGAACGACAUCUCCAAGGCCAACCUUGGAGAGGACUAGCGAUUCGGCAAGGCGCCGUAUAGCCAGUCGAACCCGGCACCGCAGGUGAGUGUCUGGUCUUCUUACUUUGCUGCUUCCCAUCUUCUCAUUCGUCCCGACGCGACGCGGGAGAUACUCUAGAACGCGAUUCGGCAUCCUUACACCCGGGCUCCGUCGCAGGUGGCGCCGGUGGCACAGAGGAGCCCGCGGUCCAAGGCGGCGAGGAGGUGGCCGAGUCCAACGCCGGCGCUGGGCAUCGCGCGGGUAAGUCAUGAAUUCUUCUUUCUUUAUUUGUCUUGAAUUGUUGAUCAUGUCGCGGUGCGGGCGACACUGACGCCGAUUGUUGGUGUAGUGGCGUUGGGCGGGGAAGGCGGCGACGCAGGCGGAGCCGGGUCCUCGCAUGGGGUAGCGCCGAGCCGCCCGCAUGGGAAAGACAGCGUCCUGCCGCAACCCCGGGCCCGAAAGCGCGCGACGGACCCGGCCGAGCCUGGGAGGCCGGCCAAGCGAAGGCGCGGCGGGAGGCCGACCCCGGUCCCGGUCUUGAUGGGGUAAGCUUUAUCUUCUGUGUGCAUCCGGAUUGUUGAGCCGGAGUUGUCUUCUUUUUCUUUGGCUUAUUCUGCCUUCUUCUUCAGGUCGCCAAUCGCGCUGGCGAGGGCGGUGGCGGAAGCCGCGGCCGCCGAAGGGGCCGCGUUCCGCAAGAGCUGGUCCGACGUCGCUGACCAAGCCGAGGCGGAGGGACGGACCGACUCGGACCUCUACCUGGACCCGAACGACGCCAAAGCCUUGGCUUGGCGGGACAGGAAUCGGGACGAGGCGGAGCUGGAGGCGGCAUCGGUCUGGGCUUGGACCGACGCAGCGGCGGUGUGGGCGCGAGCCGUCACGGAGCCGGCCUGGCGCGAGAUGCCGGAGGGCACAGUGGUGGCGGCGACGGUCUUUGAGCCGUCGUUAGUGAGGGAGCGCGGCUGGGGAGGCCGGGCUGAGGUGGUGAUACUCGACCAGGAGGUCGUGGAGGUGUAGGGCGAUACCCCUCCGCGGGACGACGUGGUUGUGUGCGCGGGGGCUGAUGGUGGUGGAGACGGCGUCGUCUUGGAAGAGGCACCGCGAGCGGCGGUGUCGGAGGUGCCGCUGGUGCUGGAGGCGACACCGCGGAUGGCGGUGCCGAAGGCCACCACGGCAGCUGGACCGGUGGUGGCACAGCAGGACGUCCCAGCAUCCGGAACGAAGGCGGCGACGCAGGGCGUCCCGGUGUCCGGGUCCGCGAAGGAGGUGCUGGCCGCGUCGCGAGCGGCCAGCGGGGAGCACACCUUGGUGCUCUAGCAGGGUGGGCGUCGGGCUGCCGCGCCGCAGCCGGCGUGGAGCGGGGGCGCCACUGUAUUCGGCCCUCAGACCCAGGAGGAGGAGGCGCUGGAUGCCGUCAGCCGUCGUCUGCGCGGGCGGACGGAUCGGCUCGAGGCCUUUGCCGAGGCCGAGGUGGAGCGGACGCGCGACCUGGAGCGCCAUUCUGGUAAGCCUUCUUUUUUUUCUUGCAAUUUCUUCUUUGUGCGGGCGCGCCAGCGCACCCACUGGGUGUAGCCCCUGAGGUUCGGGCCAACUACGUUGCAGUUGGGUCGAAUCUUAAGAGCGUUGGCCUUGUUCUGACUUCUGUAUUUUUCAGCAUCUUGACGCCUUCCGGGUUGCCGCUUUCAACCGUCUCCUGGGCAAGCAUCGGGAGCUCAAGGAGCAACUUACUGGCAAGGAGGAGGAGCUUCGCGUCGCCGCAGGUACCCUUGUGCUCUUUUCUAGUGGGGGCGCGCUAGCGCACCCACUGGGUGCAGCCCCCGAGAUUCGGGCCAACUAUGUAACAGUUGGGCCAAAUCUUAAGUCUUGUCUUUUUUCUUCUGCUGAAUCCUUCUUCUUUGCAGCCGAGGUGCUGUCCUGGCGGACUCGUCUGCUCCAGGCCGGCCAUCACUAUGACCGGCUCGUUGCCGACACUGGCCGUCUUGGCGUCGAGGCGGCGCAGGCGAGGGCGGAGGCGGCCGCGGCCCGACGGUCUCUUGAUGAGGCCAACCGGCUGCAUGAGCAGCUGGUAGGUCACAAGAGCCGCCUCGAGGUGGAGCUUCUUAAGGCGGAGGCCGCCAAGGUGAUGGAGACGCAACAGGCCCUGGUCGAGGCGGACCAGCAGCGCGGCCAGCUGGUCGAUGACAAGGGCCGGCUCCAGGCCGAGGUGGAUCGCCUGCGGGAGCAGGCCACUGCGGCUGAGGGGGCCCAUCAGGACGAGCCCGCCACCGCGAGGGGGCCGAGAAGGCGGCCGCAGACAAGGACGCCGAGCUGAAGGCGGCCCUUGCUAAGGCGGCCAAUCUGGAGAAGGCGCUUGGGGAGCGCGACCGCGCCAUGGAGCGGGAGCGGCGUGGUACGUUGCUUGAGGCACAGCACCUGGAAGAGUCCUUCUCCAGUAAGUGACGUUUCUUGUAGUUUGCCGGGUCGGGACCCGGCCUUUCUUCCUUGUUGUUCUUCUUCUAACUUGCUUCUUCCUUUGUGACAGGGGCCUUCCCGAAGUCGCAACGGCUGGCGGAGGAAGCCGUCCGCUAUCAGCGCGACCCGACCGGUGUUGCCGGGUCUGGGACGGAUCCGCGGACGGCCUGGACCUUCCCGGAGAUCAUCGCCGCUGCUGAGGCCCGCCUGCGGGUCUUGGGUUCGCAGAUGGAGCGGCUGUCCCGGGCCGGCACCGCGAUGACAGAGGCCUUGUAGCCGGAUUCCGUCCAUCCACGUAGCUUCUCGCGCCUGGCGCGUUGGUUGGAGAUGGGUCCGGACUGGCUUGACGAGUGGCGUGUUUCCACCGGUGCUGAGAUGGUGCUCCGGUUCGUGCUGUCUUAGCAUCUGGAUGUUCAACUGGACGCGUUGAUGGGCCACAGCGCCGGCUCGGAGCAGUUGCUGUAGGAGCAAGCCGACCGGAUCGCCUCUCGAGCCAGCUACAUCGCCGAGUUCGCCUUCCAUGAUGAGUUCCAUCUGGAGCGGACGGCAGGGCCGUGGAUGGCGAUGACUACGACUUGCUUCUUCAGGAUUUGGAGGGGAGCUCGGAGGAAACGGGCGUCUACGGCGACGCGGAUGCCGAAGAGGACACUGGUGCCUCGCCGGACCCGGAGGCCGUCAGGGGAGAGCUGUCGACGUCACGACGCGGCGCUGGAGAUGCCUGAGACACAUCGUGUAAAAACUGUUAAGUAGCAGGUCCACCCACCCACUGGGGGUUUUAGGGUGUAAUGAACUCGGGCUGUGGGCCUUUGCUUAAAUAUUUGUGUGUAAAUGUCGUGAGUGCUUUUUUGCUCUUUGUCGUUCGCUUUUUUGAACCGAUUUCANNNNNNNNNNNNNNNNNNNNNNNNNNNNNNNNNNNNNNNNNNNNNNNNNNNNNNNNNNNNNNNNNNNNNNNNNNNNNNNNNNNNNNNNNNNNNNNNNNNNNNNNNNNNNNNNNNNNNNNNNNNNNNNNNNNNNNNNNNNNNNNNNNNNNNNNNNNNNNNNNNNNNNNNNNNNNNNNNNNNNNNNNNNNNNNNNNNNNNNNNNNNNNCGCGCAGGACUUGGGUCCUUAGAAGCAUUGAGCGCGAGCGAAACACCCACCGGGCCGGCAGGCGGCAAUCCGGCUUAGCGGGUUGGUGAGCAGCCAGUCGUGCGGCUACUUAUUUGAUGAGUGACGGGCCAGGUUGAUCGACCCAGCGGCCUUUGACUUAGUGUAUGAAUCAUAGAGGAGCUUUGGCCCGUUGUGCUUGUCCGCCGACAGCCAAAGCUGGAUCUGCGGUUUUAGGGCGAAGUGGGGGACCGCGGCGUCCCAACUUUAUCAGGAAUCACCAAGUAAGGUGGCGGGGUGGCGACUGAGCCGGCCUGCCCCCGAGCCCCCGGGUCGAGCGAGUCGAGCCGGUGGCCGGGUUCAGUGGUAAAGUGAUGCAGAAAAAUAGGGACGCAAAUAAAUUGGUCAACAAAAGGCAGCCCCCGAGUCUCGUUCGGGGACCCCAUAGUUUCAUGCGUUUACAAAAGGCGAAGAUACAUACACUCGUGCGGCUAACUGUAAAACGGGCGGAGGAGUUCCGCGUUCCAUGGCCGAGUGUUUCUUCACCGGCGGUGUCCUUGUUGCACUACUUUGACUUGCGUGCAUCGAUGUGGUAGUAGGCAUUGCGAUCGCGCAAGGCCCUGCUCACGAUGAAUGGGCCCUCCCAUGGAGAGGACAGCUUGUGCUGGCCUGCCUGCUCUUGGACGAGUCGGAGGACGAGGUUGCCCUCGCAGAAUGCGAGGGGCUUGAUCUUCUUGUUGUGCUAGUGCCUCAGGCCUUGCUGGUAGAUGGCCGAACGGCUGAGUGCCAGAAGGUGCGCUUCCUCGAGCAGGUCGACGCCGUCUUCGCGUGCCUCUUUGGCUUCGGCUUCGGUGUACAUCGUGACGCGCGGCGAGUCGAACUCGACGUCGGUCGGGAUGACGGCUUCGGCUCCAUAGACGAUGAAGAACGGGGUGAACCCGGUCGACCGGUUCGGCAUGAUGCAUAGACUCCAGAGAACUGCCGGCAACUCGUCAAGCCAGUUGCCAGGUGAGCGGAUGAGUGGCUCGACGAGUGGCGGCUUGAUGCCGGAUAGGAUGAGUCCGUUCGCCCGCUCCACCUUCCUGUUGGACUACAGAUGUGCCAUGGAGGCCAGGUCGAGGCGGAUGCCGGAGACGAAGCAGUAUUGCUCGAGCGCGCCCUUGGCGAAGUUGGUGCCGUUGUCGGUGAUGAUGCCGUUCGGCAUGCCGUAGCACACCUCUAUGUCCUUAAUGAACCGGACGGCUGUUGGCCCAUCCAGUUUCUUGAUUGGUCUUGCCUCGAUUCACUUGGUGAAUUUGUCCACUGCCACCAGCAGGUGCGUCAUGCCGCCUUGAGCGGUUUUGAAGGUUCCCACCAUGUCGAGUCCCCAGACCGCGAAGGGCCAGGCGAUCGGUAUGGUGUGGAAUGCUGACAUUGGUGGUGACUGCAUUUGCUGAAGCGCUGGCACCCCUCGCACUUGAGAACGAGUGACUCGGCGUCUUCGAGGGCCGUGGGCCAGUAGAAACCGUGGCGGAAUGCCUUGGCCACCAGGGAUCGCGAUGCGGCGUGGUGCCUGCACUCGCCCUAGUGAAUGUUGAGGAGGAUGUCGAUGCCCCGAUCCUGCUCGACGCAGCGCUGGAACACGCCGGUGGAGCUGCGCUUGACGAGCUCGUUGUUGAUGAUGUUGUAGGCGGACGCCCCAUGCUGCACUUGCCGAGCCUCGGUUUCGUCCGUGGGGAGAACCCCGUUCUUCAGAAAUUCUGAUAUCGGCAGGGCCCAAGAUGGGGCCGCUACCACGAUGAAGACGGCCACCUGGGUGGGUUCCGAGUAGGCGGCCCCUGGGCCGGGUUGAGCAGCCCCCGGAUUGGGCACGGCGACGGCCGGGUCUGGGGUGAUGGUGGCCGGAUUGAGCUGAGCAGCCCCUGGGCCGGGUUCAGCGGUCCCCGGGUCGGCUUGCGGUGCGGUCGGGUCCUCUGGGACGUGGAUGGACUCGGAGUCCGGCGAUGGCUUGACGGACGGCUUGCGCAGGUGCUCGAGGGAGACGCCGGACGGGAUGGCUUGGUGUGACGAGGCGAUCUUGGCGAGUGUGUCGGCUGCUUCCUUCUCCGCGCGCGGGACAUGGAGGAACUCGUAGCCCUCGAAGGAUCCGGAUAGCUUGUGGACGAGGAAGCGGUAGCUUGCCAUGUUGGAGUCGCGGGCGUCCCAUUUGCCGGAGCAUUGCUGCACCACCAGGUCCGAGUCGCCGUAGCACAGGAUGCGCCGGAUGCCGAGUUCCUUGGCAAGCCGGAGGCAGUGCACAAGGGCUUCAUAUUCGGCGACGUUGUUGGAGGCGGCGAAGUGGAUCUGGAGCACAUAGCGGAGCCAGUCGCCCUUCCGAGAUGACAGUACAAUGCUGGCCCCCAAGCCGAGUUGCAUCUUGGGCCCGUCGAAGUGCAUGUGCCAAUGCGUCGAGUUGGGAGGCGGCGGUAAGUACUGGGUCUCGGUCCAAUCGACGAGGAAGUCGGCCAGGGCUUGAGACUUGAUCGUGGUGUGGGGCUCGUAGAGAAUGGUGUGGCCGGCUAGCUGGAUCGCCCACUUGGCGACCCGGCCAGAGGCAUCCCGGCACCCGAUGAUUUCUUCGAGAGGCGUCGUGCUGAUGACGGUGACGACCUGCUCUUGAAAGUACUGCUUCAGCUUCUUGGCAGUGAGGUACACGCGGUAGCACAUCUUCUAGUAGUGCGGGUAGUUCUGCUUGGAGGUGGAGAGCACCUCGCUCAGGUAGUAGACCGGAUGCUGGACGGCCUGGAUCUUGCCCUCAUCCGGUCGCUCGACCACCACCACCGUGCUGACCGCCCGCGAGGUCGCGGCUAUGUUGAGCAACAGCGGCUCCUUGUCGGUCGGCGCAGCCAGGACUGGUGCGGUGGAGAGCAUUCGCUUGAAGUCUUGGAAGGCCUCGUCUGCCUUGCCGUUGCAUUCGAACGGGCUUGUCUUCUUCAUCAGCUGGUAAAGGGGUAGCGCCCUCUCGCCCAGCCGGCUCAGGAACUGGCUGACCGAGGCCAAGCACCCGGUGAACUUAUGGACGUCACGCAGCCGAGCCGGCUUGCGCAUGCACUCAAUGGCCUUGAUCUUUUCCGGGUUCACCUCGAUGCCGCGUUCCGAGACGAGGAAGCCGAGUAGCUUUCCGGCCAGGAUGCCGAAGACGCAUUUAUCCGGGUUAAGCUUGACCUUGUAUUCGCGGAGGUUGGCGAAUGUUUCCUUCAAAUCGGCAAGGAGCGUGAGGUGCUGCUUGGUCUUCACCAUGAUAUCGUCCACGUACACGUGGAUAUUGCCACCAAGUUGCGGCAGCAGGCAUUUCUGCAUGCAGCGUUGGAAGGUGGCGCCGGCGUUCUUCAAGCCAAACGACAUGGUGAUGUAGCAAUAUGCCCCAAAGGGCGUGAUGAAGGACGUCUUCAGGGCAUCGGCCGGGUCCAGGUUGAUCUGGUGAUAGCCGGAGUAAGCAUCCAGGAAGGACAGGAGCUCGCACCCGGCGGUCGAGUCGAUGACUUGGUCGAUCCGCGGGAGGGCGAACGGGUCCUUGGGAUAGGCCUUGUUGAGGCUGGUGUAGUCGAUACACAUGCGCCAGGUCUUGUUCUUCUUCAGGACGAGGACUGGAUUGGCCAGCCACUCGGGGUGAAACACUUCCAUUAUGAAGCCGUCCGCCAAAAGCUUGGCGACCUCCUCACCAAUGGUUCUUCUCUUCUCUUCGGAAAAUCAUCGGAGGGGUUGACGGACAGGCCUGGCGUCCUUGCGGACGUGAAGUUUGUGCUCGGCAUACUUCCUCGGGAUACCGGGCAUGUCCUUGGGGGUCCAUGCGAAGAUAUCCCGAUUCUCACGGAGGAAGUCGACGAGCUCUCCUUCCUGUUUGAUGUCGAGGCAGGCUCCUACCAGUGGCGGUGCCAGGAUCGAAACCUUGUGUUGUCAAGCUUUAUACAAAUGAAACAUUUUGUAGGUAAAUUAAACAAGAACACAAAAAGACCAUACUUCAUUUGAUACAUAUUUGUUGUACCAGCUUUUUUUAUCAUAUAUAUUUCAUCUUAAACAUGUCUUUUGAUAUAAAGAUCUUAAACAUUUUUAUGGUAACAACGCUUUGACAAAUGUAUCCAAUUACCAUUACCAAACUUAAGACCUAACAAAUGACAAAACAAGGUUUUGCUAAAAGAAACAAUAUCUGAAUUUCAUGUGAGAAUAUAAAAUUUCAAGAGAAAGAAGACAGAAACUUACAAACAGAAAAGGAAGGGCCUCGUCCUAUACACUCGCCGAUUCGCUGAAGGUGCAGUACUAUGGAGAUCGGAGACUGCUAGAGCAGCGGAGGAGGCCGUGCUCAUUGUGGUGAUUCCAGGCAACGGCGACCUCAGCGGUCGGUGAGCAGCAUGUGUAUCCAUGCAUGAUGUGCUUCACUGCUCCUCCCCACGGCGUAGUGCAUGAUUGGCCAUUAGAGAUUAUACACAGGAAGGUGAAAAAGGAGAGAGUUCGAAGGAAUAUCACGGGAUUUCAGGAGACGGUCACGAAGUUGUUUUGGAGGACGACUAGGAAAGUUAAUAAUGACGUAGGGAGCUUCCUUUUUCUAUAUGGGCCAGCCAAAUCUCACAAAAAACUGAUACCAACUGGGCAUGUUUUAGUUAGAGGACCUCUUUUAGUUAAUUUCCAGAACCUGUUUAUUUGGAAGUGGGGUACGAUGUCACGGACUCACGGUAGUGUUUGAGUACCAAAUUCCUGUGUAGUCGCUUGACAACAUAGUCAUAGUGUGGAUUCGCCACUGGCGCCUAUGACAACGUACUUGCUGCAGCUGGGGUCUUCCGGGUUGAGCUUCACUCUCUUGGUCUCCUUGGAGGGCUUGAAGGCUGCCUCAUCGACCGGGUCCAGGGUCGGGAUCGACGCAGCGGAGGCCUCACCGGCCAGGGCGACGAUCCAGUCGAGUUGCCGCCGCUCCUCGGCAAUGACCAGUGACUCAGCCAACUUGGCGUUGUCUCGGGCGCACUCCAAGGACUUGCGGUAAUCGCCGGUGAUGGUGAUGAGACCCUUGGGACCCGGCAUCUUCAUCUUCAGAUAUGCGUAGUGGGGAACAGCCAUGAACUUGGCGAGCGCGGGCCGGCCCAGCAACACGUGAUACGUGCUGGACAGGUCCACCAACUCGAACCAGACCGGUUCGCGUCGGAAGUGGCUGUUGUCGCCGAACAGGACAUUGAGCUGGACCCGGCCAAUGGGCGAGCAGGAGAGGCCGGGUAUGAUGUCGUGGAAGAUUGCCCGGGUCGGUUCCAGGUCCUCGGCCUUGAGGCCGAGCUUGGUCAUCGUGUCGCGGUAGAGGAUGUUGAUGCUGCUGCCGCCGUCGAUGAGGACUCGGGAGAACUUGCAUGUACGCUGUGCGACGAUGGUGGGGUUGAGGACGAGGGCGUAGCCACCCGGGCUUGGCAUGACUACCGGGUGAUCCUCCCGGGUCUAGGUGAUCGGGUGAUCCGACCAAUGCAUAAACUCCGGCUUGGCUGGGACGACGGUGUUCACCUCCUGCCGAAGGAGGCGCUCGCUGCGCUUGUCGUUGCCGAGGCUGGUGAAGACGACAUAGGCCGCGUUCUGGUCCGGGUAGGUGUCUUCCGCAUCGCGCCGCCAGCGGGAGGCGGCGGUAGAGGCGGAGGCAGCUGUCCCACGCCUGGAGCCGGAGGCGGAGGAGGCGGGACGUCGCCCCUCAUGAUGCGCUUGGUGAUGGCGCACUACCGAAGCGUGUGCGUGGAGGGUCUUGUGCGCUGUGGUGCUUGCAGGGGGCGUCGAGCAUCUCUUUGAAACUCAUGGCGGGUUGCCAUGCCAUCUUGCCGGUUUGCCAGCGCUUCACCGCCGGGUCUGUCGCGGGCUCGGCCGCCGCGACGAGCAGGUUAUCGUGACGCUGCGCCGGCUGGUCGGCCUUGCGCUUGUUGUUCUGGUGAUGCUGCUGCCGGCUGCUUUCACCGGCCAGCUUCGGAGGGGGAACCGGCUUCGCCUUGCCGGCUUCAUCUAGCGCCACCUGGAUCUUCAUGGCGGAGUCUGAUGACCCACAAGUGUAGGGGAUCUAUCGUAGUCCUUUCGAUAAGUAAGAGCGUCGAGCCCAACGAGGAGCAGAAGGAAAUGAUAAGCGGUUUUUAGUAAGGUUUUCUGCAAGCACUGCAAUUGUAGGUGAUAGAUAGUUUUGUGAUAAGAUAAAUAGUAACGAGUAACAAGUAAACAAAGUAAAUAAAGUGUAGCAAGGUGGCCCAAUCCUUUAUGUGGCAAAGGAUAAGCCUGGACAAUUUCUAAUAAUGAGAAAGGAGCUCCCGAGGACACAUGGGAAUUAUCGUCAAGCUAGUUUUCAUCAAGCUCAUAUGAUUCGCGUUCGGUACUUUGAUAAUUUGAUAUGUGGGUGGACCGGUGCUUGGGUACUGCCCUUACUUGGACAAGCAUCCCACUUAUGAUUAACCCCUAUUGCAAGCAUCCGCAAGUACAACAAAAGUAUUAAGGUAAACCUAACCAUAGCAUGAAACAUAUGGAUCCAAAUCAGCUCCUAACGAAGCAACACAUAAACUAGGGUUUAAGCUUCUGUCACUCUAGCAAGCCAUCAUCUACUUAUUACUUCCCUAUGCCCUCCUCUGGGCCCAAUAAUGGUGAAGUGUCAUGUACUCGACGUUCACAUGACACCACUAGAGGAGAAGAGAACAUACAUCUCAUCAAAAUAUCGAUCGAAUACCAAAUUCACAUGACUACUAAUAGCAAGACUUCACCCAUGUCCUCAGGAACAAACGUAACUACUCACAAAGCAUAUUCAUGUUCAUGAUCAGAGGUGUAAUAAUAUGCAUUAAGGAUCUGAACAUAUGAUCUUUCACCAAGUAAACCAAUAAGUAUCAACUACAAGGAGUAAUCAACACUGCUAGCAACCCACAGGUACCAAUUUGUGGUUUUGGAUACAAGAUUGGAUACAAGAGAUGAACUAGGGUUUGAGAGGAGAUGGUGCUGGUGAAGAUGUUGAUGGAGAUUGACCCCCUCCCGAUGAGAGGAUCGUUGGUGAUGACGUUGGUGAUGAUUUCCCCCUCCCAGAGGGAAGUGUCCCCGGCAAAACAGCUCUGCGAGAGACCUAGAUUGGUUCGGCCAAGGUUCCGCCUCGUGGCGGCGGAGUUUCGUCCCGUAAGCUUGCCCACGAUUUUUUCCAGGGUAAAACGAUGAUAUAGCAGAAGAUGGACACCGGAGGUCCACCAGGGGGCCCAGGAGAUAGGGGGUGCGCCCUAUAGGGGGGGGCACCCUAUAGGGGGGCGCCCCCCUGUCUCCUGGACAGGGUGUGGGCCCCCUGGUGUAUUUCUUUCGCUCAGAAAUUCUUAUUAAUUCCAAAAGUUGUUUCGUGGAGUUUCAGGACUCUUGGAGUUGUGCAGAAUAGGUUUCCAAUGUUUGCUCCUUUUCAAGCCAGAAUUCCAGCUGCCGGCAUUUCCCCUCUUCAUGGUAAACCUUGUAAAAUAAGAGAGAAUAGCCAUAAGUACUGAGAUAUAUUGUGUAAUAACAGCCCAUAAUGCAAUAAAUAUUGAUAUAAAAGCAUGAUGCAAAAUGGACGUAUCAGAGUCGGCGUUGGCGUACUUGUCCGCCGUCACCAUGAGCGCGGCCAUGGUGGCCGGCUUGGAGCGUAGGAGCUUGUGUUUGAGGAGGGUUCCGUCUCGGCACCUGCUGAUGAAGUACUGUAUCGCCUGGACUUCAUGGACGCCCUCGCAGCUGUUCCGGAGCUCGGUCCAGCGUGUGAGGUACUCACGGCCGGUCUCCUCGGCCCCUCCACGCACAUGGCGAGCUGGCUGGGGUGACCGGGUCACUUGUAGGCCCCCGUGAAGUUUUGGACAAAGGCUUCCACGAAGUCGACCCACGCGUUGAUGCUGCCCAUCGGCAGGCUGUUCAACCAUGUGCGGGCCGACCCCUGGACCAUGAGCGGUGCGUAGCGCACGGCGAGACAAUGAUUGGCACCGGUGACGCCAAUGGCCGUGGUGUAGUCGGUGAGCCAAUCUUCCGGCUUCACCGUCCCGUUGUACUUGGGGGCGUCGCGGGGGAGCACGAACCCUUUGGGAAUGGGCUCCUCCCGGAUGCGUGGUCCGAAGCACGCCGGCCCGAUAGCGCCGCUCUCCCCCACAUCCAGGGAGCGAGCGAGCUGAUCGAGGCGGUGGCACGCGUCGGCGUCAUUGAUGGCGCGCGGGCCGAGUCGACUGGCGGCGAAGCCCCGAGGGGCCGGGCCGGUUGGAGCCGGACGUCGGCCAUGCUGGCCGGGUCCGCUCUGGGUCUCUGAGGCGGGCUCAUUGCCCGGGACGUCGGCGGCCAUGGUGGCCGGGUUGCGCCAAGUCCGGGUUCGGCCGGAGUGCACCUCACCGGGCGGCGAGGAAGCCAUGUACAGGAGUUCGCCGGGUCCGCCAAGGCGGGCGGAACCGGACCACGCCGGCUUGGCAAGCUGGUUGAGGCGAUCCUGCUGGGUGUUGGCGGCGUGGAGGAGCUCGCACAUCCGCCUGCGAGUUGGUCGAGGCUGACCGCGGCUGCCUCCGCAGCGCGCAUGUUCUUCACUGGGGUCUCGUAGACGGCCUGGAUGGCGCCGAAGGCCCGACCGAUCGCUCCUUCCCAGGUGCGAGCAUCGGCGAACCGGCUUGGCUCGGCCGCGGCGGGUGUGAAUCCGUGGGCGGCGUCAUGCUCCAACUGAGCGGCCUCCAAGCGACGCCUUGUGGCGGCCAGCGUCUCGGACAGGUCCAGCAUAUGAUUGCGUCUAUCCUCGAGCUGGGUUCGGGCUUCGGCGACAUUGGUGGGGUCGAUGUUGGUGCCGAUGGGGAUGCGGAGGCUUUGCAUCGCGGCGCUGUUGGAAAUAUGCCCUAGAGGCAAUAAUAAAAAGUUAUUAUUAUAUUUCUUUGUUCAUGAUAAUAGUCUUUUAUUCAUGCUAUAACUGUAUUAUCCGGAAAUCGUAAUACACGUGUGAAUACAUAGACCACAAUAUGUCCCUAGUGAGCCUCUAAUUGACUAGCUCGUUGUGAUCAAUAGAUAGUCAUGGUUUCCUGGCUAUGGACAUUGGAUGUCGUUGAUAACGAGAUCACAUCAUUAGGAGAAUGAUGUGAUGGACAAGACCCAAUCCUAAGCAUAGCACUAAGAUCGUGUAGUUCGUUUGCUAGAACUUUGCCAAUGUCAAGUAUCUCUUCCUUAGACCAUGAGAUCGUGUAACUCCCGGAUACCGUAGGAAUGCUUUGGGUGUAUCAAACAUCACAACGUAACUGGGUGAUUAUAAAGGUGCACUACAGGUAUCUCCGAAUGUGUCUGUUGGGUUGGCACGAAUCGAGACUGGGAUUUGUCACUCCGUGUAAACGGAGAGGUAUCUCUGGGCCCACUCGGUAGGACAUCAUCAUAAUGUGCACAAUGUGAUCAAGGAGUUGAUCACGGGAUGAUGUGUUACGGAACGAGUAAAGAGACUUGCCGGUAACGAGAUUGAACAAGGUAUCGGUAUACCGACGAUCGAAUCUCGGGCAAGUAAAAUACCGCUAGACAAAGGGAAUUGCAUACGGGAUUGAUCAAGUCCUUGACAUCGUGGUUCAUCCGAUGAGAUCAUCGUGCAACAUGUGGGAGCCAACAUGGGUAUCCAGAUCCCGCUGUUGGUUAUUGACCGGAGAACGUCUCGGUCAUGUUUGCAUGUCUCCCGAACACGUAGGGUCUACACACUUAAGGUUCGAUGACGCUAGGGUUAUAAAGGAAGUUUGUAUGUGGUUACUAAAUGUUGUUCGGAGUCCCGGAUGAGAUCCCGGACGUCACGAGGAGUUCCGGAAUGGUCCGGAGGUAAAGAUUUAUAUAUGGAAAGUUGUUGUUCGGGUUCCGGAAAAAGUUCGGGUUUUUUCGGUAUUGUACCGGGAAGCUUCCAGAAGGUGCCGGAGGAUUCCGGAGGGGUCCGGAGGUCCGGAAAUUGUUCCACCACGUCCAAUACAGUAGCAUGGGCUGUAAGGGGGCGCCCUAGCCUUUAUGGGCCAAGGGAACCACCCCCCCAAGGCCCAUGCGCAUGGGAAAGGGGAAACCCUAAAGGGGGAGGCCUCCACUUGACUUGGGAGGCACUCCUCCCCCCUUGGCCGCACCCCUUGGGGUGGGAAACCCUAAAGGGGGCGCAGCCCCCCCUUCCCCCUAUAUAUAGUUGAGGUUUGGGGCUGCUAAACACACGAGAACCUCUCCCUCUUGGUGCAACCCUACCUCUCUCCCUACUCCUCCUCUCUCGUGGUGCUUGGCGAAGCCCUGCUGGAUUGCCACGCUCCUCCACCAGCACCACGCCGUUGUGCUGCUGCUGGACGGAGUCUUCCUCAACCUCUUCCUCUCUCCUUGCUGGAUCAAGGCAUGGGAGACAUCACCGGGCUGUACGUGUGUUGAACGCGGAGGUGCCGUCCGUUCGGCACUUGGUCAUCGGUGAUUUGGAUCACGACGAGUACGACUCCAUCAACCCCGUUCACUUGAACGCUUCCGCUUAGCGAUCUACAAGGGUAUAUAGAUGCACUCUCCUUCCCCUCGUUGCUGGUUUCUCCAUAGAUAGAUCUUGGUGACCCGUAGGAAAAUUUUGAAUUUCUGCUACGUUCCCCAACAGUGGUAUCAGAGCUAGGUCUAUUGCGUAGAUUCUUUGCACGAGUAGAACACAAAGUAGUUGUGGGCGUUGAUUUUGUUCAAUAUGCUUACCGUUACUAGUCCAAUCUUGUUUCGACGGUAUUGUGGGAUGAAGCGGCCCGGACCGACCUUACACGUACUCUUACGUGAGACAGGUUCCACCGAUUGACAUGCACUUGGUGCAUAAUGUGGCUAGCGGGUGCCAGUCUCUCCCACUUUAGUCGGAACGGAUUCGAUGAAAAGGGUCCUUAUGAAGGGUAAAUAGCAAUUGGCAUAUCACGUUGUGGUUUUGCGUAGGUAAGAAACGUUCUUGCUAGAAACCCAUAGCAGCCACGUAAAACAUGCAAACAACAAUUAGAGGACGUCUAACUUGUUUUUGCAGGGUAUGCUAUGUGAUGUGAUAUGGCCAAGAAGAAUGUGAUGAAUGAUAUGUGAUGUAUGAGAUUGAUCAUGUUCUUGUAAUAGGAAUCACGACUUGCAUGUCGAUGAGUAUGACAACCGGCAGGAGCCAUAGGAGUUGUCUUAAUUUAUUGUAUGACCUGCGUGUCAUUGAACAACGCCAUGUAAUUACUUUACUUUAUUGCUAACCGGUAGCCAAAGUAGUAGAAGUAAUAAGUUGGCGAGACGACUUCAUGGAGACACGAUGAUGGAGAUCAUGGUGUCAUGCCGGUGACGAUGAUGAUCAUGGAGCCCCGAAGAUGGAGAUCAAAAGGAGCAAAAUGAUAUUGGCCAUAUCAUGUCACUAUUUGAUUGCAUGUCAUGUUUAUCAUGUUUAUGCAUCUUGUUUACUUAGAACGAUGGUAGUAAAUAAGAUGAUCCCUUACAACAAUUUCAAGAAGUGUUCUCCCCUAACUGUGCACCGUUGCUACAGUUCGUCGCUUCUAAGCACCACGUGAUGAUCGGGUGUGAUGGAUUCUUACGUUCACAUACAACGGGUGUAAGACAGUUUUACACAGCGAAAACACUUAGGGUUAACUUGACGAGCCUAGCAUGUACAGACAUGGCCUCGGAACACGGAGACCGAAAGGUCGAGCAUGAGUCGUAUAGUAGAUACGAUCAACAUGAAGAUGUUCACCGAUGAUGACUAGUCCGUCUCACGUGAUGAUCGGACACGGCCUAGUUGACUCGGAUCAUGUAAUCACUUAGAUGACCAGAGGGAUGUCUAUCUGAGUGGGAGUUCAUAAGAUGAACUUAAUUAUCUUGAACAUGGUCAAAAGACCUUUUGCAAAUUAUGUCGUAAGCUCGCGCUUUAGUUCCACUGUUUAGAUAUGUUCCUAGAGAAAAUAUAGUUGAAAGUUGAUAGUAGCGAUUAUGCGAUCAGUAGAAAGCUUAUGUCCUUAAUGCACCGCUCAGUGUGCUGAACCCCAAACGUCGUUUGUGGAUGCUGCGAACAUCGGACAUACACGUUUUGAUAACUACGUGAUAGUUCAGUUAAAUGGUUUAAGUAAAGGCACCAAAGACGUUUUCGAAAUGUCGCGGAACAUAUGAGAUGUUUCGAGGGCUGAAAUUGGGAUUUCAGGCUCGUGCCCACGUCAAGAGGUAUAAGACCUCCGACGAUUUUUCUUAGCCUGCAAACUAAGGAAGAAAAGCUCAAUCGUUGAGCUUGUGCUCAGAUUGUCUGAGUGCAACAAUCACUUGAUAGUGAUGUUUCUCCAAAGUCAUCGCCACCAAGCUGCGAGAGCUUCGUGAUGAACUAUAACAUAUCAGGGAUAGAUAUGAUGAUCCUUGAAAUAUUCGCGAUGUUUGACACUGCGAAAGUAGAAAUCAAGAAGGAGCAUCAAUUGUUGAUGGUUGGUGAAACCACUAGUUUCAAGAAGGGCAAUGGAACAAAGGGAUACUUCACGAAACGGCAAUUCAGCUGCUGCUCUAGUGAAGAAACCCAAGGUUGAACCCAAACCCGAGACUAAGUGCUUCUGUAAUAAAGGGAACAGCCACUGGAGCAGAAUUACCCUAGAUACUUGGUAGAUGAGAAGGCUGGCAAGGUCGAUAGAAGUAUAUUGGAUAUACAUUAUGUUAAUGUGUACUUUACUAGUACUCCUAGUAGCACUAGGGUAUUAGAUACUGGUUCGGUUGCUAAGUGUUAGUAACUCAAAAUAAAAGAGCUACGGAAUAAACGGAGACUAGCUAAAGGUGAGCUGACGAUAUGUGUUGAAAGUGUUUCCAAGUUUGAUGUGAUCAAACAUCGCACGCUCCCUCUACCAUCAAGAUUAGUAUUAAACCUGAAUAAUUGUCAUUUGGUAUUUGCGUUGAACAUAGACAUAAUUGGAUUAUGUCUAUCGCAAUACGGUUAUUCAUUUAAAGAGAAUAAAGGUUACUCUAUUUAUUUGAAUAAUACCUUCAAUGGUCUUGCACCUAAAGGAAUGGUUUAUUGAAUCUCGAUCGUAGCGAUACACAUUUUCAUGCCAAAAGAUAUAAGAUAGUAAUGAUAGUACCACUUACUUGUGGCACUGCCAUGUAAGUCAUAAUGGUAUAAAACGCAUGAAGAAACUCCAUGUUGAUGGAUCUUUGGACUCACUCGUUUUUGAAAAGUUUGAGACAUGCGAACCAUGUCUAUUGGUGUAUACGCAUGAAGAAACUCCAUGCAGAUGGAUCGUUUGGACUCACUUGAUUUUGGAUCACUUGAGAUAUGCAAAUUGUACCACAUGGGCAAGAUGACUGAAAGCCUUGUUUUUAGUAAAAUGGAACAAGAAAGCAACUUGUUGGAAGUAAAACAUUUUGAUGUGUGCAGUCCAAUGAGUGCUGAGGCAUGCAGUGAAUAUCGUUAUGUUCUUACUUCACAGAUGAUUCGAGUAGAUGUUGAGAAUAUUUUCUUGAUGAAACACAAGUCUGAAUUAUUGAAUGGUUCAAGUAAUUUCAGAGUGAAGUAGAAGAUCAUUGUGACAAGACGAUAAAAUGUCUAUGAUAUGAUCAUAGAGAUGAAUAUCUGAGUUACGAGUUUUGGCACGCAAUUAAGACAUUGUGGAAAUUGUUUUACAAUUAAUACCGCCUGGAACACCAUAGUGUGAUGGUGUGUCCGAACAUCAUAGUUGCACCCUAUUGGAUAUGGUGCGUACCAUGAUGUCUCUUAUCAAAUUACCACUAUUGUUCAUGGGUUAGGCAUUAGAGACAACCACAUCCACUUUAAAUAGGGCACCACAUAAUUCCGUUGAGAUGACGCCGUAUGAAUUAUGGUUUAGAGAAACCUAAGUUGUCGUUUCUUAAAGGUUUGGGGCUGCGAUGCUUAUGUGAAAAAGUUUCAGGAUUGAUAAGCUCGAACCCAAAGCGGAUAAAAUGCAUCUUCAUAGGACACCCAAAACAGUUGGGUAUACCUCCUAAUUCAGAUCCGAAAGCAAUAUGGAUUGUUUCUUGAAUCGGGUCCUUUCUCGAGGAAAGGUUUCUCUCGAAAGAGUUGAGUGGGAGGAUGGUGGAGACUUGAUAUGGUUACUGAACCAUCACUUCAACCAGUGUGUAUCAGGGCACAGGAAGUUGUUCAUGUGGCACCUACACCAAUUGAAGUAGAAGCUUAUGACAGUGAUCAUGAAGUUUCGGAUCAAGUCACUGCAGUACCUCGUAGGGUGACAAGGAUACGUACUACUUCAGAGUGGUAUGGUAAUCCUGUCCUGAAGGUCUUGUUGCUAGACAACAAUGAACCUACGAGCUAUGGAGAAGCGAUAGUGGGCCCAUAUUCCGACAAAUGGUUAGAAGCCAUGAAAUCCGAGAUAGGAUCCAUGUAUCAGAACAAAGCAUGGACUUUGGUGGACUUGCCCGAUGAUCGGCAAGCCAUUAAGAUAAAUGGAUCUUUAAGAAGAAGACGUACGUGGACGGUAAUGUCACCGUCUAUGAAGCUCGACUUGCGGCGAAGAGUUUUUCACAAGUUCAAGGAGUUGACUACGAUGAGAUUUUCUCAUCUGUAGCGAUGCUUAAGUCCGUUGGAAUCAUGUUAGCAUUAGGUGCAUUUAUGAAAUCUGGCAGAUGGAUGUCAAGACGAGUUUCCUUACCAGUUUUCGUAAGGAAAGGUUGUAUGUGAUACAAUCAGAAAGUUUUGUCGAUCCUAAGGAUGCUAAAAGGUAUGCUGGCUCCAGCGAUCCUUCCAAGGACUGGAGUAAGCAUCUCGGAGUUGGAAUGUACGCUUUGAUGAGAUGAUCAAAGAUUUUGGGUUUAUAUAAAGUUUAUGAGAAACUUGUAUUUCCAAAGAAGUGAGUGGGAGCACUAUAGAAUUUCUGAUGAGUAUAUGUUGUUGACAUAUUGUUGAUCAGAAAUGAUGUAGAAUUUCUAGAAAGCAUAUAGGGUUAUUUGAAAGGUGUUUUUCAAUAGAAAACCUGGAUUAAGAUACUUAAACAUUGAGCAUCAAGACCUAUGAGGAUAGAUCAAAAUGCUUAAUAAUACUUUCAAAUGAGCACAUACCUUGACAUGAUCUUGAAGGUGUUCAAGAUGGAUCAGUCAAAGAAGGAGUUCUUGCCUGAGUUGUAAGGUAUGAAGUUAAGACUUAAAGCUCAACCUCGGCAGAAAAGAGAGAAAGGACGAAGGUCGUCCCCUAUGCUUUAGACGUAGGCUCUAUAGUAUGCUAUGCUGUGUACCGCACCUGAAGUGUGCCUUGCCAUGAGUCAGUCAAGGGGUACAAGAGUGAUCCAAGAAUAGAUCACAGUACAGCGGUCAAAGUUAUCCUUAGUAACUAGUGGACUAAGGAAUUUUCUCGGUUAUGGAGGUGAUAAAGAGUUCGACGUAAAGAGUUACGAUGAUGCAAGCUUAACACCUAUCCGGAUAGCUCUGAAUAGAGAUACCGGAUACGUAUAAUGGAGAAACAAUUUAGAAUAGCUCCAAGUAGAACAGUUAUUUGGAAUAGCUCCAAAUAGAGCGUGGUAGCUGCAUCUAGGAGAUGACAUAGAGAUUUGUAAAGCACACACGGAUCUGAAAGGUUCAGACCCGUUGACUAAAACCUCUCUCACAAGCAACAUGAUCAAACCCAAAACUCUUUGGAUGUUGGUCACAUGGUGAUGUGACCUGUCAGUGUUAAUCACAUGGUGAUGUGAACUAGAUUAUUGACUCUAGUGCAAGUGGGAGACUGUUGGAAAUAUGCCCUAGAGGCAAUAAUAAAUAAGUUAUUAUUAUAUUUCUUUGUUCAUGAUAAUAGUCUUUUAUUCAUGCUAUAACUGUAUUAUCCGGAAAUCGUAAUACACGUGUGAAUACAUAGACCACAAUAUGUCCCUAGUGAGCCUCUAGUUGACUAGCUCGUUGUGAUCAACAGAUAGUCAUGGUUUCCUGGCUAUGGACAUUGGAUGUCGUUGAUAACGGGAUCACAUCAUUACGAGAAUGAUGUGAUGGACAAGACCCAAUCCUAAGCAUAGCACUAAGAUCGUGUAGUUCGUUUGCUAGAGCUUUGCCAAUGUCAAGUAUCUCUUCCUUAGACCAUGAGAUCGUAUAACUCCCGGAUACCGUAGGAAUGCUUUGGGUGUAUCAAACAUCACAACGUAACUGGGUGAUUAUAAAGGUGCACUACAGGUAUCUCCGAAAGUGUCUGUUGGGUUGGCACGAAUCGAGACUGGGAUUUGUCACUCCGUGUAAACGGAGAGGUAUCUCUGGGCCCACUCGGUAGGACAUCAUCAUAAUGUGCACAAUGUGAUCAAGGAGUUGAUCAUGGGAUGAUGUGUUACGGAACGAGUAAAGAGACUUGCCGGUAACGAGAUUGAACAAGGUAUCGGUAUACCGACGAUCGAAUCUCGGGCAAGUAAAAUACCGCUAGACAAAGGGAAUUGCAUACGGGAUUGAUCAAGUCCUUGACAUCGUGGUUCAUCUGAUGAGAUCAUCGUGGAACAUGUGGGAGCCAACAUGGGUAUCCAGAUCCCGCUGUUGGUUAUUGACCGGAGAACGUCUCGGUCAUGUCUGCAUGUCUCCCGAACCCGUAGGGUCUACACACUUAAGGUUCGAUGACGCUAGGGUUAUAAAGGAAGUUUGUAUGUGGUUACCGAAUGUUGUUCGGAGUCCCGGAUGAGAUCCCGGACGUCACGAGGAGUUCCGGAAUGGUCCGGAGGUAAAGAUUUAUAUAUGGAAAGUUGUUGUUCGGGUUCCGGAAAAAGUUCGGGUUUUUUCGGUAUUGUACCGGGAAGUUUCCAGAAGGUUCCGGAGGAUUCCGGAGGGGUCCGGAGGUCUGGAAAUUGUUCCACCACGUCCAAUACAGUAGCAUGGGCUGUAAGGGGGCGCCCUAGCCUUUAUGGGCCAAGGGAACCAGCCCCCCAAGGCCCAUGCGCAUGGGAAAGGGGAAACCCUAAAGGGGAAGGCCUCCACUUGACUUGGGAGGCAAUCCUCCCCCCUUGGCCGCACCCCUUGGGGUGGGAAACCCUAAAGGGGGCGCAGCCCCCCCUUCCCCCUAUAUAUAGUUGAGGUUUGGGGCUGCUAAACACACGAGAACCUCUCCCUCUUGGUGCAGCCCUACCUCUCUCCCUACUCCUCCUCUCUCGUGGUGCUUGGCGAAGCCCUGCUGGAUUGCCACGCUCCUCCACCACCACCACGCCGUUGUGCUGCUGCUGGAUGGAGUCUUCCUCAACCUCUCCCUCUCUCCUUGCUGGAUCAAGGCAUGGGAGAUGUCACCGGGCUGUACGUGUGUUGAACGCGGAGGUGCCGUCCGUUCGGCACUUGGUCAUCGGUGAUUUGGAUCACGACGAGUACGACUCCAUCAACCCCGUUCACUUGAAUGCUUCCGCUUAGCGAUCUACAAGGGUAUGUAGAUGCACUCUCCUUCCCCUCGUUGCUGGUUUCUCCAUAGAUAGAUCUUGGUGACACGUAGGAAAAUUUUGAAUUUCUGCUACGUUCCCCAACAGGCGCGCAGCGGGUCGGACGGCACGGUCCGUGCCGCAGCGGCCCCGGCUUCUGCGACCCUCCUCGCCUUGCUCGACGAGGAAGAGGCGCGAUCGCCGGUGACGAAAACCUCCACAUGGACGUCCAUCGCCCCGGCGGCGAUACCGCUGCCGAGGGAGAGUGGAGAGUCAGAGUGUUGAGCAUCUCCCUGGGGUACUCGUCGACCGCGAACGCAUCAGGGAUGCGUAGCGCGGUGAAGGAGGCGGCGAGCGCGCCUAUGACGUCGUCCGCCAGAGCGACGGACUCGUCGGAGUAGGAGAAGGGCCCCGUCUGAAGCAUGCUCGCGGCCAGCUCCUCGAGCUACCCCAUGGUGAGCGCCAACUGUCGUGGUGGGCGCACGGCAGAUGCCAAGGGAUGGCUAAAGAGAGGAGGAGGCUCGAGGGCGCUGGUGGGCUCCAGAGGCGAGGUUGGCAUGCGCGGGCGCGGGACGCCGGACAUACCCAGGUUAGGGGCUCUCCGGAGACAUAACACCCCUAGUCCUGCCGAGUUUAGUUGGAUAGUCGAUUGCAACAAUGUUGCUCCUGGAGCUGCAUGGAGGAGGAAGGAAGCUGGCCAAGGCUUGGGCCGCUCCUUCUCUCCGGCGCUGCCAUUGGGUGGCUAGUCCGAUGCUUGCUUGUGUUUCUCUUGUGUCUCGUACAUAUGACUCUCUCUGUAGGCGCGGGUUCCUGGGGGAUUUUAUAGAUCAACCCACCCAGGGUUACAAUGGUAAUACGCCGAGUCGGUGGGUCCCUAUUGUCGGUGUCUGGGAUACCGGGCUGGGUCCCCACUUGAGGGCUUGUGGUUCGCCGGGUUACCCUAGGUGCGGGCCCCGCGUGCCUAGGGGAACUGUUCGCCGUCUUGUCGAUCGUCAGGGCGUGGCCGAGUCGAGUCGUGUACAGUGCUCUCCAUCAGGUUGCAGCUUGUUGCCGUCAUCGGUGAGGGCAGGAGCACUGUUCCCACGCCAGCCUCGGUCAGCGGGUAGGUCAAGGGCAUUGUUGCCAUGCUCCGGCUGACCAUAGGCAUGGGCGGAAGCACUGUAGUCUUGGUCAUCGGUGAUUAAAGUCUCAUCCCAUCGUACGGCCUGGAUGGGAUGGGAGCUGCGUGGCUGGGUUGCCGUGCACGCCACGGGUGAGGUCGGCUUGUUGGGGAAGCCUUGGUGGCGCCGGGUUGGGUUGUCUUGUGCCAGUUGCUGUGGCCGGGUCGACGUACCUUGCCGAGUCGAAGAGCUUGGCCGGGUUGCAGGCCUUGCCGGGUCGAGCGACCCGGCCAGGCGCGUGCCGGUUCGUGGGGCGAUGUGGGCCCUGCCAUUCUUGAAAAGGAUCCGGGUUCCAUUGCCUGCCCGGGGUUCAUCCCCCCGACAGGGGUGGUGCCCAGGCCACUUAGGGGCUGGUUCCCUUCGACAUACAGCCCAUAGGGCCCUUCUGGGCAGGUGGACCCUCCCGGUGGACCCCCGGAACCCCUCUGGUGGUCCCGGUACAAUACCGGUAAACCCCCGAAUACUUCCGAUGACCGUAUGAUGACUUCCGAUAUAUAAAUCUUCACCUCUGGACCAUUCCGGAACUCCUCGUGGUGACCGGGAUCUCAUUUGGGACUCCGAACAACAUUCGGUAAUCACGUACAAAUCUUCCCUUUAACCCUAGCGUCAUCGAACCUUAAGUGUGUAGACCGUACGGGUUCGGGAAUCAUGCAGACAUGACCGAGACAGCUCUCCGGCCAAUAACCAACAGUGGGAUCUAGAUACCCAUGUUGGCUCCCACAUGUUCCACGAUGAUCUCAUCAGAUGGACCACGAUGUCGAGGAUUCAAGCAAUCCCGUAUGCAAUUCCCUUUGUCAAUCGGUACGUUACUUGCCCGAGAUUCAAUCAUCGGUAUCCCAAUACCUCGUUCAAUCUCGUUACCGGCAAGUCACUUUACUCGUUGCGUAAUGCAUGAUCCCGUGACUAACUACUUAGUCAAAUUGAGCUCAUUAUGAUGAUGCAUUACCAAGUGGGCCCAGAGAUACCUCUCCGUCAUACGGAGUGACAAAUCCCAUUCUCGAUUAGUGCCAACCCAACAAACACUUUCGGAGAUACAUAUAGUGCACCUUUAUAGUCACCUAGUUACGUUGUGACGUUUGGUACACCCAAAGCACUCCUACGGUAUCCGGGAGUUACACAAUCUCAUGGUCUAAGGAAAUGACACUUGACAUUAGAAAAGAUUUAGCAAACGAACUACACGAUCUUGUGCUAUGCUUAGGAUUGGGUCUUGUCCAUCACAUCAUUCUCCUAAUGAUGUGAUCCCGUUAUCAAUGACAUCCAAUGUCCAUAGUCAGGAAACCAUGACCAUCUGUUGAUCAACGAGCUAGUCAACUAGAGGAUCACUAGGGACAUGUUGUGGUCUAUGUAUUCACACAUGUACUACGGUUUCCAGUUAAUACAAUUAUAGCACGAAUAAUAGACAAUUAUCAUGAACAAGGAAAUAUAAUAAUAACCAUUUUAUUAUUGCCUCUAGGGCAUAUUUCCAAUAGUCUCCCACUUGCACUAGAGUCAAUAAUCUAGUUCCAUUGUGAUGAAUCGAACACCCAUAGAGUUCUGGUAUUGAUCAUGUUUUGCUCGUGGAAGAGGUUUAGUCAACGGAUCUGCGACAUUCAGAUCCGUAUGUACUUUACAAAUCUCUAUGUCUCCAUCUUGAACAUUUUCACGAAUGGAGUUGAAGCAACGCUUGAUAUGCCUAGUCUUCUUGUGAAACCUGGGCUCCUUGGUAAGGGCAAUAGCUCCAGUGUUGUCACAGAAGAGAGUCAUCGGGCCCGACUUAUUGGGAAUAACUCCUAGGUCAGUAAUGAACUCCUUCCUUCAGAUUGCUUCAUGCGCUGCCUCCGAGGCUGCCAUGUACUCCGCUUCACAUGUAGAUCCCUCCACGACGCUUUGUUUGCAACUGCACCAGCUUACUGCCCCACCAUUCAAAAUAUACACGUAUCCUAUUUGUGACUUGGAGUCAUCCACAUCUGUGUCGAAGCUAGCAUCGACGUAACCCUUUACGACGAGCUCUUCGUCACCUCCAUAAAUGAGAAACAUAUCCUUAGUCCUUUUCAGGUACUUCAGGAUAUUCUUGACCGCUGUCCAGUGUUCCAUGCCGGGAUUACUUUGGUACCUCCCUACCAAACUUACGGCAAGGUUUACCUCAGGUCUGGUACACAACGUGGCAUACAUAAUAGACCCUAUGGACGAGGCAUAGGGGAUGACACUCGUCUUUUCUCUAUCUUCUGCCGAGGUCGGGCAUUGAGCUAUGCUCAAUUUCUCACCUUGCAAAACAGGCAAGAACCCUUUCUUGGACUGAUCCAUAUUGUACUUCUUCAAUAUCUUAUCAAGGUAUGUGCUUUGUGAAAGACCGAUGAGGCGUCUCGAUCUAUCUCUAUAGAUCUUGGUGCCUAAUAUGUAAGCAGCUUCUCCAAGGUCCUUCAUUGAAAAACACUUAUUCAAGUAGGCCUUUAUGCUAUCCAAAAGUUCUAUAUAAUUUCCCAUCAAUAGUAUGCCAUCCACAUAUAAUAUGAGAAAUGCUACAGAGCUCCCACUCACAAUCUUGUAAACGCAGGCUUCUCCAUAAGUCUGCACAAACCCAAACGCUUUGAUUAUUUCAUCAAAGCGAAUGUUCCAACUCCGAGAUGCUUGCGCCAGCCCAUAGACGGAGCGCUGGAGCUUGCACACCUUGUUAGCAUUUUUAGGAUCGACAAAACCUUCCGGCUGCAUCAUAUACAAAUCUUCCUUGAGGAAACCGUUAAGGAAUGCUAUUUUGACGUCCAUUUGUCAUAUCUCAUAAUCAUAGAAUGUGGCAAUUGCUAACAAGAUUCGGACGGACUUCAGCUUCGCUAAGGGUGAGAAGGUCUCAUCGUAGUCAACCCCUUGAACUUCUCGGUAACCCUUAGCGACAAGUCGAGCUUUAUAGAUGGUAACAUUACCAUCCGCGUCGGUCUUCUUCUUAAAGAUCCAUUUAUUUUCUAUUGCUCACCGAUCAUCGGGCAAGUCUAUCAAAGUCCAUACUUUGUUUUCAUACAUGGAUCCUAUCUCGGAUUGCAUGGCCUCAAGCCAUUUGUUGGAACCUGGGCCCGCCAUCGCUUCUUCAUAGUUCGAAGGUUCACCAUUGUCUAACAACAUGAUUUCCAGGACAGGGUUGCCAUACCAUUCUGGUGUGGAACGUGUCCUUGUGGACCUACGAAGUUCAGUAGCAACUUGAUCUGAAGUACCUUGAUCAUCAUCAUUAACUUCCCCUCUAGUCGGUCCAGCCACCACAGAAACAUCUUCCUAAGCUGCGCUACUUUCCGGUUCAAGAGGCGGUACUUCAUCAAGUUCUACUUUCCUCCCACUUACUUCUUUCGAGAGAAACUCUUUCUCCAGAAAGGACCCGUUCUUGGCAACAAAGAUCUUGCCUUCGGAUCUGGGGUAUAAGGUAUACCCAAUGGUUUCCUUAGGGUAUCCUAUGAAGACGCAUUUUUUCCGACUUGGGUUCGAUCUUUUCAGGUUGAAGUUUCUUGACAUAAGCAUCGCAUCCCCAAACCAUUAGAAAUGAUAGCUUAGGUUUCUUCCCAAACCAUAAUUCAUACGGUGUCGUCUCAAAGGAUUUAGACAGUGCCCUAUUUAAAGUGAAUGUAGCUGUCUCUAAAGCGUAUCCAAAAAAUGAUAGCGGUAAAUCGGUAACAAACAUCAUAGAUCGCACCAUAUCCAAUAGAGUGCAAUUACGAUGUUCGGACACACUGUUACGCUGAGGUGUUCCAGGCGGCGUGAGUUGUGAAACAAUUCCACAUUUCCUUAAGUGCGUACCAAAAUCGUGACUCAAAUAUUCUCCCCUACGAUCUGAUCGUAAGAACUUUAUUUUUCUGUCACGUUGAUUCUCUACCUCACUCUGAAAUUCCUUAGACUUUUCAAAGGUCAGACUUGUGUUUCAUUAAUUAGACAUACCCAUAUCUACUUAAGUCAUCAAUGAGGGUGAGAACAUAGCAUAGCCACCGCGAGCCUUAACGCUCAUUGAACCGCACACAUCAGUAUGUAUGGUUUCCAAUAAGUUGGUUGCUCGCUCCAUUGUUGCAGAGAACGGUAUCUUGGUCAUUUUGCCCAUGAGGCAUGGUUCGCACGUGUCAAAUGAUUCAUAAUCAAGAGACUCCAAAAGUCCAUCUGCAUGGAUCUUCUUCAUGCGUUUGACACCAAUGUGACCAAGGCGGCAGUGCCACAAGUAUGUGGGACUAUCAUUAUCAACCUUACAUCUUUUGGUAUUCACACUAUGAAUAUGUGUAACAUCACGUUCGAGAUUAAUUAAGAAUAAACCAUUGACCAGCGGGGCAUGAGCAUAAAACAUAUCUCUCAUAUAAAUAGAACAACCAUUAUUCUCGGAUUUAAAUGAGUAGCCAUCUCGCAUUAAACGAGAUCCAGAUACAAUGUUCAUGCUCAAAGCUGGCACUAAAUAACAAUUAUUGAGGUUUAAAACUAAUCCCGUAGGUAAAUGUAGAGGUAGUGUGCCAACGGCGAUCACAUCGACCUUGGAACCAUUCCCGACGCCCAUCGUCACCUCGUCCUUCGCCAGUCUCCACUUAUUCCGCAGCUCCUGUUUUUAGUUACAAAUACGAGCAACCACACCGGUAUCAAAUACCCAGGAGCUACUACGAGUACUGGUAAGGUACACAUCAAUAACAUGUAUAUCACAUAUACCUUUGGUGUUGCCGGCCUUCUUGUCCGCUAAGUACUUGGGGCAGUUCCGCUUCCAAUGACCGUCUCCCUUGCAAUAAAAGCACUCAGUCUUAGGUUUGGGUCCAUGCUUUGGCUUCUUCCGGGCAACUGGCUUACCGGGCACGGAAACUCCCUUGCCGUCCUUCUUGAAGUUCUUAUUUCCCUUGCCUUUCUUGAAACUUGUGGUUUUAUUGACCAUCAACACUUGAUGUUCCUUUUUGAUCUCCACCUCCACUGGUUUCAGCAUUGAAAAAAAACCAGGAAUGGUUUUCACCAUCCCCUGCAUAUUGUAAUUCAUCACAAAGCUCUUGUAGCUAGGUGGGAGCGGCUGAAGGAUUCUGUCAAUGACCGCGUCAUCCGGGAGAUUAACUCCCAGCUGAGACAAACGGUUAUGCAACCCAGACAUUUUGAGUAUGUGCUCGCUAACAGAACCAUUCUCCUCCAUUUUACAACUGUAGAACUUGUCGAAGACUUCAUAUGUCUCGACCCGGGCAUGAGCUUGGAAAACCAUUUUCAGCUCUUGGAACAUCUCAUAAGCUCCGUGCUGCUCAAAACGCUUUUGGAGCCCCGGUUCUAAGUUGUACAGCAUGCCGCACUGAACCAGGGAGUAAUCAUCACUACGCGACUACCAGGCGUUCAUAACGUCUUGAGUUGCUGGGAAAAUGGGUGCUUCACCUAGCGGCGCAUCUAGGACACAUGCUUUCUUGUCAGCUAUGAGCAUGAUCCUCAAGUUCCGGACCCAAUCCGUGUAGUUGCUACCAUCGUCUUUCAGCUUGGUUUUCUCUAGGAACACGUUGAAGUUCAGGGCAACAUUAGCAUGGGCCAUUUGAUCUACAAGACAUAUUGCAUAGAUUUUUAGACUAAGUUCAUGAUAAUUAAGUUCAUCUAAUCAAAUUAUCUAAUGAACUCCCACUCAGAUAGAAAUCCCUCUAGUCAUCUAAGUGCUACAUGAUCCGAGUCAACUAGGCCGUGUCCGAUCAUCACGUGAUACGGACUAGUCAUCAUCGGUGAACAUCUUCAUGUUGAUCGUAUCUACUAUACGACUCAUGUUCGACCUUUCGGUCUCUUGUGUUCCGAGGCCAUGUCUGUACAUGCUAGGCUCGUCAAUUCAACCUAAGUGUUUUUGCAUGUGUAAAUCUGGCUUACACCCGUUGUAUGUGAAUGUUAGAAUCUAUCACACCCGAUCAUCACGUGGUGCUUCGAAACAACGAACUUUCACAAUGGUGCACAGUUAGGGGGGACACUUUCUUGAAAUUUUAUGAGGGAUCAUCUUAUUUAUGCUACCGUCGUUCUAAGCAAAUAAGAUGCAAUAACAUGAUAAACAUCACAUGCAAUCAAAUAGUGACAUGAUAUGGCCAAUAUCAUUUUGCUCCUUUUGAUCUCCAUCUUUGGGGCGCCAUGAUCAUCAUCGUCACCUGCAUGACACCAUGAUCUCCAUCAUCGUGUCUUCAUGAAGUUGUCUCGCCAACUAUUACUUCUAUUAUUAUGGCUAAUGGCUUAGCAAUAAAGUAAAGUAAUUACAUGGCGUUAUUCAAUGACACGCGGGUCAUACAAUAAAUUAAGACAACUCCUAUGGCUCCUGCCGGUUGUCAUACUCAUCGACAUGCAAGUCGUGAUUCCUAUUACAAGAACAUGAUCAAUCUCAUACAUCACAUAUAUUUCAUUCAUCACAUCCUUUUGGCCAUAUCACAUCACACGGCAAAUGCUGCAAGAACAAGUUAGACGUCUUCUAAUUGUUGUUGCAAAUUUUUACGUGGCUGCUAUAGGUUUCUAACAAGAACAUUUCUUACCUAUGCCAAAACCACAACGUGAUAUGCCAAUUGCUAUUUACCCUUCAUAAGGACCCUUUUCAUCAAAUCCAAUCCGACUAAAGUGGGAGAGACAGACACCCGCUAGCCACCUUAUGCAACUAGUGCAUGUCAGUCGGUGGAACAUAUCUCACGUAAGCGUAUGUGUAAGAUCGGUCCGGGCCGCUUCAUCCCACGAUGCCGCCGAAUCAAGAUAAGACUAGUAGUGGCAAGUAAAUUGACAAAAUCGACGCCCACAACAACUUGUGUUCUACUCGUGCAUAGAAACUACGCAUAGACCUAGCUCAUGAUGCCACUAUUGGGGAUCGUUGCAGAAAUAAAAAAAUUCUACGCAUCACCAAGAUCAAUCUAUGGAGAAACUAGCAACGAGAGAGAGUGGAGUUCAUCUUCAUACCCUUGAAGAUCAUGAAACGGAAGCGUUGCAAGAACGCGGAUGAAGGAGUCGUACUCGUAGCAAUUCAGAUCGCGGUGGAUUCCGAUCUAAGCGCCGAACAACGGCACCUCCGCGUUCAACACACGUGCAGCCCGGUGACGUCUCCCGCGCCUUGAUCCAGCAAGGAGGAGGGAGAGGUUGAGGAAGACAGCUCCAGCAGCAGCACGACGGCGUGGUGGUGGUGGAGCAACAGUUCUCCGGCAGGGCUUCGCCAAGCUCAAACGGAGGAGGAGAGGUGUUGGAGAGGGGGAGGGCUGCGCCUUGGAUGUGGUGCGGCUUCCCUCCCUCCUCCCCUCUAUUUAUAGGCUGAAGGGGGAAGGGGGCCGUCCCCUCUAGAUGAGAUCUAGAGGGCGGGCAGCGGCCAAGGGGAGGGGGCUUGCCCCCCAAGCCAAGGGGGCGCCCCCUUUAGGGUCCCCCCCCAACCCUAUGCGCAUGGGCCCUUGGGGGUGGCGCUCAGCCCACUUAGGGUCAGGUUCCCUUCUACCUACAGCCCAUAGGGCCCUCCGGGGCAGGUGGACCUCCCGGUGGACUCCCGGAACCCCUCCGGUGGUCCCGGUACAAUACGGGUAAACCUCCGAAUACUUCCGGUGACCGUAUGAUGACUUCCCAUAUAUAAAUCUUCACCUCUGAACCAUUCCGGAACUCCUCAUGACGUUCUGGAUCUCAUCCGGGACUUCGAACAACAUUCGGUAAUCACGUACAAAUCUUCCCUAUAAACCUAGCGUCAUCGAACCUUAAGUGUGUAGACCCUACGGGUUUGGGAAUCAUGCAGACAUGACCGAGACAGCUCUCCGGCCAAUAACCAACAGCGGGAUCUGGAUACCCAUGUUGGCCCCCACAUGUUCCAUGAUGAUCUCAUCGGAUGAGCCACGAUGUCGAGGAUUCAAGCAAUCCCGUAUGCAAUUCCCUUUGUCAAUCGGUACGUUACUGACCCGAGAUUCGAUCAUCGGUAUCCCAAUACCUCGUUCAAUCUUGUUACCGGCAAGUCACUUUACUCGUUGCGUAAUGCAUGAUCCCGUGACUAACUACUUAGUAACAUUGAGCUCAUUAUGAUGAUGCAUUACCGAGUGGGCCCAAAGAUACCUCUCCGUCAUACGGAGUGACAAAUCCCAGUCUCGAUUCGUGCCAACCCAAGAAACACUUUCGGAGAUACCUAUAGUGCACCUUUAUAGUCACCCAGUUACGUUGUGACGUUUGGUACACCCAAAGCACUCCUACGGUAUCCGGGAGUUACACAAUCUCAUGCUCUAAGGAAAUGAUACUUGACAUUAGAAAAGCUUUAGCAAACGAACUACAUGAUCUUGUGCUAUGCUUAGGAUUCGGUCUUGUCCAUCACUUCAUUCUCCUAAUGAUGUGAUCCCGUUAUCAAUGACAUCCAAUGUCCAUAGUCAGGAAACCAUGACCAUCUGUUGAUCAACGAGCUAGUCAACUAGAGGCUCACUAGGGACAUGUUGUGGUCUAUGUAUUCACACAUGUAUUACGGUUUCCGGUUAAUACAAUUAUUGCAAGAACAGUAGACAAUUAUCAUGAACAAGGAAAUAUAAUAAUAACCAUUUUAUUAUUGCCUCUAGGGCAUAUUUCCAACAAGCACCAGGUUCGGGCCCUCUAUAUGGAGGUAAUGCCCUACUUCCUGCUUGAUUGAUCUUGAUGAAUAUGAGUAUUACAAGAGUUGAUGUACCACAAGAUCGUAAUGGCUAAACCCUAGAAGUCUAGCUUGUAUGAUUGUCAUGAUCCUUUAUCGACUAGCCUGGUCUUGGCCUAUAUAAUGCACCAGAGGCCUAGGGUAACAAGAGUCCUAGCCGAAUACGUUGGUCGAGAGGAGUCCUUGUCUUGAUCACCAAGUCUUGUGGAAUACUCCAUGUAUGCGGCAUGGGCUGCACAAAGUGGCCCAUGAGUAAACUGCCACGGGGUUCCUCGGCCCGAUCCACCUGGUCGGGAGACGAUGUGGUGAGUACCCCCUAGUCCAGGACACCAUCAGUAGCCCCCUGAACCGGUCUUCAAGUUGGGGAUGCUCCUUGAUCCUUCAGAACUGUUCUUCAUCUUCGGUCGUCGGUCUUGAAAACUGGUUCAACAAAUCUUCUCGUCUUUGAUCUUGAGGAUCGCCGAAAUGAAUCCGAAGGGUUUACACAUCGGGUAUCCAAGGAGCCCCUUUAAGUUCUCGACCUUUAUCAAUGCCUUAGGAUUAUUUUUUACGCCACACCUCGGGUUUGAAGUUGUUCCUGUGCGGCGGUGUCCUCUUGCAUCCGAGCUCCAACGCCGGACUGCAUUCGAGAUAUCUUUUGCAGCCGAGCACCAACACCGGACUAUAUCCGAGCUCCAAUGCCGGACUAUGUCCGAGGUGUCAUAGAUCACCUUGGCUUGAAAAAGUUUGAAGGAGGUUAUCCGAGUUUAACGCUAAAAAGUUCUCUAUGGAACGAGCCAUUUGAAUCCGGGCUUUAUGCCGGACCACUUCCGAGCUCCAACAAUGGUCAGCGCCCGAGGUGUCGUAAACUACCUCGGUCUUUUAAAAGAUGCCGAGUUAUUGUCAGAAAUGCCCUCCAUGGAGCCAGCCACUGGCGCCCAAACAUUAUGCUGGACUACUUCCGAGGUGGUGCACCACCCCGACCGCGGGCUGAUUUUUGUGAAUAUUUUUUAUUGGUGCAAUUUACUCUCUGCCUUGAUAUAUAGCUAGUAUAUGUAUAUCCAGUAGCCCUCAAGGUGUGUGUCAGCCUAAACCCGAGGUGCACCUGAAGGAAAACAUAAAACUGCUGAUCCUGGUAGGCCCUGACACUCAGGUCGAUUUGCAAAAUCGGCCUGAGGAUCAACUCCUAGCUCGGCAGGAUACAUAGAAAUAGAAACACAGUGUAAUAUAUUAGAGAUAAUAGUGAUCGGCGAACGGGCCCUUGAGAGAGGGUCUUGAGAAGUUGCCGCAAUAUAUUAGCUUUACGCCAUAUAGGUCCAGAUGGUACCUAUUGUUGUCUGAAGACGUGUUUGCCCAUAGUUCAGUCAAGCUGGACACUAAGCACUUUGAAGUUUCUGCAUUGAAUAGGCAACGAAGUAACCCCCGAGACACUGGUCAGGUGGCAACACCAGAUCAGGGAAACGAUGUGCCCCUUUAAUAUUUAUAAAUAAUGAGCGUGAAGCCCAGUAGCCCCAGAGCCUUAAUGUGGGCACGGGAGGCCGAAUUAAGGAUCGAUAUCCGUGUGACAAAAAAUUUUGUUCUGUUUAACACAAACUUCUCGAAAAGUGAAUAAAGAUCUCUUAAAGGAGCUAGAGCUAGCGUGCUCGCCAAGGUUGGUCCCAAGGUCCUUUGCAUUGAACACAUAAACAUUGUUAAGAUCUUUGGGUUUUAUAUUUCUGUUGUGAUCGAACAAAGAUUAAACUUUUCCAGGAGAAUCAUGGGAGCCUUCCACAAAUCAAACUGUUGAGUUGGUCACGCGGAAUAUCAUAUUGACAUUUAAUAAUCAAACACCAGCAUGUUUAUAUUUUUGGUUGGGCCUAUCGAUCCAAACCUGUGAUACAUAUGUACGAGCAAUCAAAAUGAUCAAAAUUAAGCUAGCAUAUUGAGAGUAUAUAGAAAUGUCCACAAGCAGUUUUGUACCCUACUGUGACAUGUGAAGAUUACACGAGGCAUCAAGAUCCAAAUACACCAUAAUAGUAUAUGUUAUUUCUUCAACAACUACUACUUUGCUAUAAUUGUAUUUUUCAAAUUAGUGUAAAAAGGGACACGACAUGUCACAAUGUGACAUGGUGAUUGCCAUAAAUAGUUAGAUCACUAUUUUGCGUGAUACAAAGCUAUGGUUGUAUGCACGGAACGACAUUAUUUGUUUCCGCCGACACAAUGAACAUAUAACGAGGAUUAUAUAUUUGCGCCAAUAAUAAUUGUGUUUUCGCAUAAUUUGGUGACAAAAAUAUUAGUAGUGAAUCAGAACUCCCUGUGAAUGCCUUUAGCCCUCCUGUAGUUUCCAUCAAUUUCAUUACUCUCCUGUUCUUGUUACUAUUAUUUUAGCACACCUUAAUUCUUGUUCACAAACUCUUGCAAUAUUUUCACUUUCACACCUCUUUGAUCAGGAGUUAAAAUAUUUGCAUGCACUUUCUGAUAAACCUCUAGUAGAGGCAAAAGACUAUUUCUUAAUUUUUCUUUUGGGUCAAGACUAUUACUUCAAAAUGGCUACAACUAUAUUGUGUGCACUUGCAUGAGAUCAGAAAAAACAUAUUGAUUGGAAUGCACUAAUUUAAGAAUAAAUUUUUGGAGCAUGUUUACCAAAAGCUUGGUUAUCAUCUUGAUGGAGCAAUUCAGAAAGGAAAUAGGUCUGAAAUCAUUAUCCUAAAUUGCGGAGCCAUUUUUGGAAUUAGAGUAAUUAAAGAAGAGUCAAUGCUCUAAAUAUUGAUUGAACCAUGGUAAAACUCCUCAAACAAUGCAUAGAAAUCAGGGGCAAUAGUCUCCCAACAAACUUUAACAAAAUCUGAAUUAAGACCAUCUAGGCCUGGGGAUUCGUGAGAGGGCAAAUUCCUGACUGCUUUAACAAUUUCCUCUUUAGUGAAAGAUUUCUCUGAAAAAAGUAGACCAUCAUUUCUCGUAAGCAAAGAAUCCAAAUUCAUAAGGUUGAAAGUUGGGACAAUAUAGCCAAGUCUUUGCUUGAAAGAUCUACCAAAGAAAGCAGCCUUGGCAUGAUGUUCGGAGUGCCCAUGCCUCUGCUUAUCUCUUAAUAUAGCAAUGUGAUUAUUUCUGAAUAAUUGAUGCCUCUGCAUGAUUUUGUUUUACUUUGCUUCCCCCAAAGGUACCCAUAUAAUAGUGUCUCUUUGUUUCGAGUAGAUUUGCCGGUGUGGGAGAAGCUGAAGGAGAUGAUUUUCGAGGAUUUGUCUGAUUGUUCCAGUUAUGAAUUGCAAGAUUUCUAAAUUCUUCAAUACUGUCAUAGAAUUAAUCACUGAGUUUGGUAGCUUUGAUAGUGGUAGAGAGAUUAGAAAUUAUUUUGGAACACAGUUUUAAACCUUUUCUUGGUCUUUUGAAAUUUGCAUUUACUCUUUUGGAACUAUCAUGUUUGUGAAUUUGUUGGUCCCAAAUUGUAUUAAAAGUAUCUUUAAAGUCUGGGUGUUGCAACCAGUAAAUUUCAAACCAGAAAAUAGAGGACUCAAGAAUAGAUGUACCAAUCCAAAUGAAACAAGGGAUGUGGUAAAAAAAUAGGUCUGCCCUAAGGAAUAGCCAUAGUGUUUGGAUAAUUAAUAGUCUAGGAUUUAGAGGAGAAUACCCGAUCAAGCUUUUCCAAGAGAGGAGCACUCUGCAUAUUGCUCAAAGUAAACAUUCUGCCUCCAAGGGGAAUUUCAAUAAGAGCAAGGGAAGUGAUGGCUUCAUUUAAAGAAAACAUGGCAUGUGCACUACCGUCUUCUCUAUUUUUUGUUCUUAGGGCAGAUGACAUAAUUGAAAUCUCCAACCACCAACUGUAAGUGCAUCUAGUUCCCCUUAGUGAUUUUGGUGUAUUGAAGACUUAUAGGUUAAGGGACUAAUGUGUUUAUGAGUGUACACAGGUCUAUAAGUCUAUGAGGAGUUUGAUAUUUACAGAGAAAGUCGACCCCUAAAAAUGAAGUUCUUCAACAGAAGACUUUGGUAUUCUGAAGACUUUGAAAGUGAAGAAAUUGGUGUGACCUUGAAGACUUGGUAUUCAUUUGAGGAACAUGAAGCGCGAAGACUUUUGUUUUCAUAGUUUCGUUUUUCUCUUUCUUGAGUCAUAGGAAACACCGUACUGUUAAAGGGGGUCGAGGAAAUACUAAGGAAAAAUUUCCAUGUGAUGCUCAACUCAAAAUCCUACACCUACCAAUUCCUUCGAGUGAAGCCUUUGGAAAUCUCAUACAGUUCAGUCAAUUUCAUCAGUGACAGAGACAAAGUUCUUCUGGUCGCUGAGGAAUUUGUUCUGACUGAGGAGUUAGGAAUUCGCCAGUGCGAAUUGCCUACACAGUGAGGAACAUGAUAGCCCUAAGGAAUUUGAGAGUCAAAUUUCUGACCGUUGCUGUGCUGCGCGCCAGCUGUCCCAAAAUAUCUUAUCCACCUAACGGUCAUAUCAUUGAAGGGCAUUUAUGUCUUAUCAUGUCAGGCUGCUCCCUAGGCUAUAAAUAGCCGCCCCCUACAACCACUAGCUGGUUGGCUGCUCCACGAGAACUUGACACUUGUCAUUUGAGAGCAACCCAACCUCCGAGGACUUUGAGCGAAAAUCAUCGAGUGAGGAAAACCCAAAAACCAAACCCCUACAAACCCAAAGUGAUUGAGCAUCACUGAAGAGAUUGAUCCUGCGUGGAUCCGAUGCUUGUUACCUUUGAAGACUGUGCUUCUUCCAGACGGUUAGGCAUCAUGGUCUAGAGCAUCCAAGAGGAAUUGUGGAUCGCCGAGUGACCAAGUCUGUGAAGGUUUGGAAGUCGCCUGAAGACUUACCACGAGUGAUUGGACGAGGUCUGUGUGACCUUAGUUCAAGGAGAUUACGGUGAGGACUGGGUGUCCUGAGCUGCGUGCUCAGAGACUGGGUGUCCGGGACUGUGUCCUCGAGUUUAAAUACUCAGCCGCUCCAACCAGACGUACAACUGAGACAGCAGUUGGAACUGGUAUACCAAAUCAUUCUCUUCACCAACCUAACUGGUUCCAUUUCCUCAACCCAUUCAUUUCCUCAUUACUGUGUUAACUUUUUGUUCAUAUCUGUGUUUGAACACUUUGACUGAAGACUUUCUCAAUUUCCUCAGUUCAAUUUCUUCAGUCUGUUUGUCUUCAUCUUGUGCUAUCCUGUGUUUACGCUUUCUAUACUCUUUGAUUGUCUUCAUUUCAUCAUGAUGACCAUGCAUGUAUUCUGCUAUGCUUACUUCUGAGUGCUUAUUCCGGUGCAAGUAGUUCUUCGCUAAGGAAUUUCCUCACCGGCAAAUUCCUCAGUGAAGAAUUCAUAAAAAUCGCCUAUUCACCCCCCUCUAGUCGAUAUAACGCACUUUCAAUUGGUAUCAGAGCAAGGUACUCCCUUGUUCUGUGUGAUUUUGGUUUAACCACCUGGAGUUUUAGUUAUGUCGACCGCAGGUAUGAAGAAAGUGACUUGCCCUAUCUUUGACGGUCAUGAUUAUCCCAAGUGGAAGGCCAUGAUGAGGAAGCCCCUCAUGGCAAUGGACAGCGAGGUGUGGACCGUCACUGAAAUCGGUCUUACUGAUCUGUGCAAGUCGGCGAACGCAGAUGAUAUUCGCAAGUACACUCGACUUGACAUCAUGGCGAAGGAUAUCAUCUGUUCCUGCCUAUCUACAGAUGAAUUCAAGCGCAUUAUGCAUCUUUGCAAUGUGAAGCUUAUCUGGGACCGAAUCUCUGAUGUCUAUGAAGGUCAUUGAACCCGUCAUGAUCCUUGGUUUGAGGACUUCAAGGAAUCUCUCAAAACGAUGACUUUCGAACCAGAAUCAUCAUCUUCUGCAUCAUGUCUCAUGGCAAAGGGUGACAAGGUAACCGAAUGUUCCUCAUCCGAGUAUAGUGACAAUGAAUCUGAUGAUGAUGGAUCUGAUGAUGAUAUUGAACCAAACUAUACCAAGCUUGUUUGUAUUGCCACCAAACAACAACAUGCCUUGGAAAAGGUUCAAAACAUGUUAGGUAAAAGUGAUGAUAUGUUAGGUGAAGAAAUGAAUCGCACUAAAGCCCUGACUGAAAAUCUUCAGAGACUUCAGUCUAGGUUUGAUAACCUUCAAGGUCAUCAUAAGACUCUUUUGUCAGAUCAUGAGAAACUUUCUUAUGAAUUUCUUCAAAGAAAGCAAGAUCUUGAGAAGCUAAGAGUGAGUUAUGAAGAUCUUCAGAAGGAGCGUGAUUCAUUGCUAGCUCAACAAAUCAGCGCUUCUCAGGAAGAAUUUGUUCCUCCAUGCUUAAAGUGCAUUAAACGUGAAUCUGCUAAUUCUUCACCAGAAUGUUCAAAUGCUUCAACUGUUAUAAAUUCUUCACCUGCAUCUGCUAUCACUAAUUCCUCAUCUGAGGACAUUGCUAGUAAAACUGACAAUGCAGGGCUGAAGGAAUUGUACAUGACAGGCAUGUACAAAAGCCUCAAAGGGCAUCAGACUCUUUAUGAUGUGCUUAAAAAGAAGAUCCUCAACAGAAACCCUAGAAAAGAGGGUAUUGCCUUUGAGAGGAAACUCAAUGCUGAUGGAACAUAUUGGAAGCCUAAGCAGUACCCCAAAACCUCACGGGUUGCUGCAAAGGGACCUCCAGUUGAUCCAUCUAACUUAUCUGGCUUUACAUGUGAAUCUCCUCAUUCUUCUGAUGAGUCAUUUGACUCCAACUAUAAACUGUUCAAAAAUUAGAAUGGUGAAGUAUUUGCUAGAUAUGUUGGCACUAACUGCAGGAAUGGUUCUCCUAUGAAGAAAAUCUGGGUUCCCAAGAAGUGCCUUGAAAGCCUUCAGGUGAAUGUCCUCAUGACACCACCUGUGAAGAAUAGGAACCCCAGAUCAAAUUCUUCAUAUGUACCAAAUUCUUCAUAUGGAUCCAAGUCCUCAUACGGACAUAAUUCCUCACGUGGAUCAAAUUCCUCAAAAGGAUCAAAGUCCUCAUAUGAUUAUCAUUGUGCUAACAACUCUGUUUUGCAGGGUAGAGCUAAGGGCUAUGAAUAUGUGCAUUAUUCUUCAAACCAUUAUGUUCAUAAGUCCUCGAAGAAUUUCUCUCCUUAUUCAUAUGCUUACCCUAACCCCUCUUAUGUGAAACGCAAUGGUUUGGCCUCUAUGCCACCAUUCUCUUAUGGUGCUCGCAGAGUGAUGAACUCUUUGCCACCCCUUCAGAUGUGGGUGAUGAAGAAAAAGAACUAAUCUCUUCUGCAGGGUCAGGUCUCCAUACGUGCUUUAACGUCUGAAGAAUUUGCUGGGGACCUGACAAACUUGCCUGAUAGGACGCAGGCUAAUCAUGAUGAAAUGAACUUUCAUUUCACACGUCCUCAUACUGCUUAUCUGUUAAUACUAACUGAUGAAAUUCAUCUGAUGAACUUGAUAUCAUAUUGUUCACUGAUGAAGUAUAUGAGAUCGUAAGUUGCACUAAUUCAUCUGCAGGAUGAUCAACCCAAAGCCACUGAGUGGGUCCUCGAUAGUGGAUGUACAAAUCACAUGACUGGUGACAAGAAUCUAUUGAUGGAUGCCCCCUUAUCACCGUCACAUCUGAAGCAUAUCAUCUUCGCUGACAAAGGCAAAAGUCAGGUAUUGGGUCUUGGUAAGGUUGCGAUCUCUAAGGACAUACACAUGGACAAAGUCAUGCUUGUUGAGUCCUUAGGAUACAACCUCAUGUCAGUCUCAAUGCUUUGUGAUCUUGAUAUGGUUGUUGUCUUUGGCAAGUAUCACUGUGUUGUGAUUAUGGAUGCUGACAAUUCCAAAGUCUUCGAAGGCUUUAAGAGAGGAGACUUCUAUAUUGUUGAUUUCUCUACAGGACCACAACCAGCCGUGUGUCUACUUGCAAAAGCUUCAGAAGGCUGGCUAUGGCAUCGACGACUUGGUCACGCAGGCAUGAGGAAUUUGCACACGCUUGUGAAAAAGAAGCAUGUUAUUGGCAUUGAGAAUGUCAAAUUCCUCAAGGAUCACUUAUGUGGUGCCUGUGAAGCUGGAAAAAUGACCAAGGCCAAGCAUCCAGCGAAGACUAUCAUGACCACUACUCGUCCAUUCGAAUUGCUUCACAUGGACCUCUUUGGACCUAAUCAUUACUCAGCAAUCUCUAAUGAUGCAUCUCUAUAUGGCUUUGUUAUUGUUGAUGAUUAAUCUCGUUACACAUGGGUACACAUUGCUACUUACAAACAUGAAGUGCAGGAAGUCUUCAAACGAUUUUCCUCGAGGGCUUCAACCAACUCUUGUGUGAAGAUCAAGCACAUCAGGAGUGACAAUGGAACUGAGUUCAAGAAUUCCGGUCUUGAUGACUAUCUUGAUGAACUUAUCUGCUCCUUAUACUCCUCAGCAGAAUGGCGUCGUGGAGCGCAAGAACAGAACUCUCGUUGAGAUGGCUCGCACUAUGCUUGAUGAAUACAAAACGCCUUAUCGUUUUUGGAUUGAUGCAAUUGAUACUGCGUGCCACAUCAUCAACAGAGUAUAUCUUCACAAAUUCUUCAAGAAGACUGCCUAUGAACUCCUCACUGACAAGAAACCCAAUGUGAGUUAUUUCAAAGUCUUUGGUGCUAAAUGUUGGAUUAGAAAUCCUCAUCACAAUGCUAAAUUUGCACCGAAAGCACAUGAAGGUUUUAUGCUUGGUUACGGAAAGGACUCGCACACCUACAGAGUCUUCAACAUCGCCCUUCACAAGGUUGUUGAAACUGUAGAUGUGCGGUUCGAUGAAACUAAUGGCUCGCAAAGAGAGCACCUACCUUCUGUGAUAGAUGAACCAGCACCUGAGGAGUCCAUCAAGUUCAAGGCAACUGAGGAUGUCAUUCCUACUGAAGAAUCUGCUAAAGAAUUCAUUCCAGUACGCGAAGAACGUCGAGCUGAUGCACCUGAAGAUAAUGCUGAAGACAAUGGUGCUAAGGAAAAUGAUCAAAUACCUCGACGACAACCAGCUCAUCCUCGCAUUGCAAAAGAAGUACAAGUUGACAAGAUCAUCGAUGACAUUGAAGCGCCAGGUCCUCUCACACGCUCAAAAGCUUCACACUUAUCUAACUUUUGUGGGCACUAUGCUUUUGUCUCUAUCACAGAGCCCACUAAGGUAGAUGAAGCAUUUCUGGAGCCGGAGUGGAUCCAGGCAAUGCAAGAAGAAUUACAUCAGUUCGAGCUCAACAAUGUCUGGGAACUGGUCAAACAUCCAAAUCCUCGCAAGCAUAAUAUCAUUGGCACAAAGUGGAUCUACCGCAACAAGCAAGAUGAAAAUGGCCUUGUGGUGAGGAAUAAGGCACGACUUGUAGCUCAAGGCUACACACAGGUUGAAGGAAUUGAUUUCGAUGAAACUUUUGCACCUGUUGCUAGACUUGAGGCUAUUCGCAUAUUACUUGCUUAUGCUAACCAUCAUGAUAUCAUCUUAUAUCAAAUGGAUGUGAAAAGUGCAUUCCUCAAUGGUAAGCUUGAGGAAUAAGUAUAUGUUGCUCAACCCCCAUGUUUUGAAGAUCCAAAGAAUCCUGAAAAAGUCUUCAAACUCAACAAGGCUCUCUAUGGUCUCAAGCAAGCCCCUCGGGCGUGGUAUGAUACAUUGAAGGAAUUCUUCGUGAAGAAUGGCUUCACACCCGGUUCACUCGACCCUACUCUUUUUACUAAAUCUUAUAAUGGUGAACUGUUUGUGUGCCAAAUAUACGUUGAUGAUAUUAUCUUUGGCCGUACUGACCAACGUUAUAGUGAUGAAUUUGCCUAUAUGAUGAGUGAAGAAUAUCAAAUGUCCAUGAUGGGAGAGUUGAAAUUCUUCUUAGGUCUUCAAAUUCGUCAACGGCGCAAUGGCAUAUUCAUAUCUCAGGAGAAAUACCUCAAAGAUGUACUGAGGAAAUUCGGCAUGCAAGAUUGCAAAGGCGUCAAAAUUCCUAUGCCCACAAAUGGCCAUCUAUGCACUGAUGAAAAUGGUAUUGACUUUGAUCACAAGGUAUACCGCUCCAUGAUUGGUUCUUUAUUGUACUUAUGUGCAUCUAGGCCAGAUAUAAUGCUUAGUGUUUGCAUGUGUGCCCGAUUUCAAGCUGCACUGAAGGAAUCACACCAUAAGGUUGUGAAACAUAUUCUUCGAUAUCUAGCUCACACACCAACACUAGGAUUAUGGUAUCCCAAGGGCUCUGCUUUUGAUCUCAUUGGAUAUUCUGACUCUGACUAUGCUGGUGAUCGUGUGGACCGCAAGUCAACAUCUGGCACUUGUCAUUUCCUCGGACGUUCUUUGGUCUGUUGGUCCUCGAAGAAACAGAACUGCGUAUCACUGUCUACUGUGGAAGCUGAAUACAUUGCUGCUGGCUCUUGCUGUGCUCAACUACUAUGGAUGAAGCAAACUCUCAAGGACUACGGCGUCAACGUGAAGAAUGUGCCUCUCUACUGUGACAAUGAGAGUGCCAUCAAGAUUGCUCACAACCCAGUUCAGCACUCGAAGACAAAGCACAUUUAGAUUCGUCAUCAUUUUCUUCGUGAUCAUGUGUUGAAGGGCAACAUCUCCAUCGAUCACGUGAAGACUGAAGAACAGCUAGUUGAUAUCUUCACUAAGCCCUUGGAUGAAAAUAGAUUUAGCAAGUUGCGGUGUGAGCUAAAUAUCUUAGAAUCUUCUAAUGUUCUUUGAAAAGGACACACAUCCUGACCCUUAUGCAAAAUUGAUGACUUAGAUGUGCAACACAUGAAGAAAAGUUUUUCUUCAAUCAAUGAAGAAUAACACUCUAAGUGUGAAGGAAUUAAUGAAGAAUUUGAUUCUCAGAACCCUACGACAAUUGUACACGGUGUCUGAAAUCAUCAUUCUUAUACGGUGGGUCACGCCACCACCAAAGUUGAAAAUCUUCGAAUUUGAGCUUUUCCUCAGUUUUGGAAUUCUUCAGUUUUUCAAAUUCUUCAACUUUGCAAAAUCUUCACUGUUUCCAUCAUUUUUCUUCAUUGGUCAUAUAUAUAUAUGAGUUUAUGUCCUCUACAGCAUUCACUUAUGGCUAUUUCUUCAUGUUGCGUUUUCUGCUAAGUGAAUGUGAUCGGACCCUUCCCCCUCUAUGCUAUACUCAACUCAAUAUAUUCACAAAUUCUUCAUGUGCGUUCUAUUUGAAACUCGUUCAAAAUCUUCACUGUGUCCUUGUCAGCUGAAGAAAUUGCGAACGGAACUUUAAAACUGAUCUUAUCCAAACUUUCGGUUUUGCCGCUCAAACCGUUCCGCAUCCCACGAUGCAUUAUCCUAUUCACCCACGAUCGUACACGAUCUCCACUACAUAGUACGUGGGUGACACAUGUCGUGAGAAGGAGAAUGGUCAGGGGCAUGUUCGUCCUAAAUCUUCGGGCGACCAGUUUUUCACUGCCUCUAUAAAUACCCCUCUCUCCAUCCUCACUUCUUUUACUCCACUCGACCGUUCUCUCUCCCGCUCGAGCUCCUCAAACCCUAGCGCCGCCGCUACUCCAUCGUCGCCGGUGAGGAAGAGCUUCGCUGCCUCGACCUCGUCGCCGUCGUACUCGCGCCGGUUGCGGAAAUCUUCACUCCGCCGCCGCCGUAGCUGUCUUCCUCUGCCAAGUUAGGGCAAGGAAGAUCUAACUUGACGAACUUCCCAUCUGUUCUUCUCAGUUCGUCGUCUUCUUCACUUCGGAUAAUUAAAAGUUACUUUUAUUACUCGCUUUGAUUCUCAAGCUUUCCUGAAAAUCUUCAAAGGUGUUUAUUCUUCAAAUCUUCACACAUAUGAACACCUGACACAUAAUAUGCUCUUGAUUCGUUUCUCUAAGCAAUGAUUUUUCUUCAAGAUUCCUCAAUUGUGUGGAUCCUCGAUCUAUACAACUCUGGAACCUAAGACAAAGAACGCUUAGUGAAAUUCUUGAAGGCACAUCUGGUCAAAAUCCUCAAAACUUGUUUUCUUUUUGAAAAACCUUCUGAAAACGCAUAUGACCUCUCCAAAUUCCUCGAAACUAUACUCUGUUCACAGGUACAAAUGUCCGCUGCUGAAUCACUAGGUUCUCAUCAACUUAACUCAUUUGCAGCGUUCCUCGAAGAAAAGUUGCACACUUCUUCAGAGAAUUCGAUUGUUCAAAUUCCUCAUCUGAAGACUAUGGCUGACGGUAAGAAGCCCUAGAAAGGUGGAAAGAAGCCUGAGGUUAUGACUGCGUUUGAAAUCCCUGAGGAAAUAUAUGCUGAUUAUUGCACACCUGAUGAAGCCAAAUAUGGCAAAGAAAACAAAAGUCAACGCAAGGUGCGCAUUCAGAGGAUUGAACGGAGAUGGGCACGGGAAUGGAGGGAGUACAGAUAUGUAACUCCAAAGUACAUGAAGAAAUUCGCACUCAAUCCUCCAUGCCCAAGAGCUCCAUUGGCACCUGGCCAAGUAGCUGAUCCCACCAGCAUCGAGCGUGGUGAGGACUUUCCUGAAGAAUGGGCCAAGCGCCAAGCUAAAUUGUCAAGACAAGCCAAGGAGGCAGUGAAGAAAUUCAAUGAGGAUUCUGCCACUGCUGCUGCUACUGAGGCCUCUGUCAAACUGAGGAAAUCUAUGCCAAAGAAGCCUGCUCGUAAGCCAAGUGCUUCACCAACAGCGCCCUCACGGCCAAGUUCCUCAACAAUGCCCUCACGGCAAAUUCCUCAUGCUGCUCCUGCUCCUUCAAAGUCCUCAGCACCUGUGCAUCUGGCCACGUGUCAAAGGACUGCUGGUUUCUCUAUUGCCUCUGGUGUCUCGGCAAGUUCCUCAGCUGCACCAAUUUCCUCAUCUGGUCCCACACUGUUGAAGACCAAAGCUACUGCUGGACGAGGUCCUCGGCCAAGUCCGAAGAAGAAACAGGUCGCAUUCCAUGUGCCAUCUGAUGAUGAAGCUUCUGAUGAUGAACUUGCAGAAAUCAUCAGAGACAGACAGGUGAAGGCCGCUAGUGCCAAAGGCACAUCUGUGCCACUGCUUUUGGAUCCGAAGAAGAUCCUCGACUACAUUGAUCUCUGGCACAAGGACCCUAACACUCCUAUGCCCGAUUUUCAUCUGACUCCUGGUCAAAGUCACAUGCUGACGCAUUUCAUCGCUGAAGAGAAAUGGAAAUUUGAGAAGGCCAGGCAGAUCAAGAAAGCUCAAUACAGAAAGGAGAAGCUCCUGAAGAAAAACAUUGUCAAAAUGACACCUGAGGAACUUCUCCAGGUUCAAACUGAAAUUCAAGACCUCAGCAAACACUUCGAUGCUUAUUAUGCUGAUUGGCAAGGAGCCAAGGUCAGAUUCGUCAAUCUGACGAAGAAUUUCACAAAUGUUGCAACCCCAACGCAACAGGAAAUUCCUCAGGCUGCAGCUUCUGCUCAGCCUGCUGAAGAACAUGCCAGCACGGCUGAUGAUUUUCAGCCUGCUGAUGACAAUGCUAGUUCCAGGGCUGAUGACUCAAUUCCAGCCGCUGAAGAAAUUGCCAGGGAAUCCACUAGUGGUGCGCCUGAAGAAACUGAAGAGAUCAGGGCAACUGCAUCAGUUGCGCCUGAGGAAAUUCAUCCUUACUCCUCAGCUCCUCCUACGCCAACAACAACUCCAAUUCUUCCAUCUGCCUCUGAUGUGAAGAAGACUAAAGCUGAAGAGCGAGCUGCUGUGAAGAAAAGGAAGGCAUCAGCUGCGUCAAAUUCUUCGGCUGCGAAGAAAAUGAAGCCAAUGACCAGCUCCUUUGAAAAUCCAAUUGAUGAUGUUCCUAUUUCCUCAAUUCCAUCAAAGGACCUUGUUCCUUUUGGUGAAGACUAUGUGAUCCCAAGCGGAUCUGAUGAAGAAAAUCAUUCUGCUGCUUCGUUAGAGCAGAUUGAUGAAUAAAUUGAGGUGGAUGCUAUCCCCUCAACGCCAAUCAUUUCCUCACCUAUGCCUCAGUUCACAGCUGAAGAGGCUGGUGUUGAGGAAAUUGAAGAUGAAGAUGUGGAUAUUGGAAGCACAACGCCCGUGAUGGAUGAUGACUUCUGGGAUAGUCAGCAUCCAAAUUCACCACUCUUCACCCCAAUCCAACAAAUUCCUCAGUCCCCUGCACCAACAGUUCAACUGGGCUCUGUGCAUGAAGAAAUUCCAGCCGCUAGUGCUGAAGAACCUGCUGUUGUUGUUGAUCCUCAGACUGCACAUGAAGAGGAACCAGAAAUUCCUCAGCCUGAAGAACCUGAGCUCGUGAUUCCUGAGGUGGUGAUGCAACUCACUGACACCCCUCUGCCAAAGCCAAAGAAUCCGUUCUCAAGUAAACAGAAGUUCAAGGCUGAAGACUUCUAUGGCGAGCAUGUUUUCUUCACUGAUUACAAUCCUUAUGACUCUGCUCGCAUAAGGAAGAGGCGGUUCUGGACUGCCAGCCAAGCAAAUUUCUAUUCCUCUAUGCUAUUCAACAAGGACAAAAUCUUAGAUCAUGCACAUAUUCCUCAUGUGGACAUGGAAUCUCUACCGUGCUUCGAGCCAGUCCUCAAUGUUCUUCACGAUGCAGGACUACUGAAUUUCUGCACUGACAUCUGUGAUUGGAAUGAAGAACUUAUUCUUCAGUUCUACACGACACUGCAUAUCACUGUAGAUGCUGAAGACGUGAACUCAUGGGUGUUGGACUGGAUGUCUGGAAACACUCACUACAAGGUACCAGCAACUGAAUUGCUUCGUGUCCUUCCUCUCAGUCCUCCCCUUGAUAGUGCACGUUGCAUCUACAAUGACCCUGAACUGACAAAUCACUAUAUGCAAGUGCUAAUGAAGCCUUUGAAGCCAAGGCAGGCCCCAAGAACCAAAUUCCUCGUCAAGGAAUUAUUGUAUGUGCCUCGGACUGUCUAUCGGAUUCUGACGAAGACAAUGAGUCCUAUCAAAGGCCACGACUCAAAUGAUGAAGAAGCCGUUGGCAUCAUGAAGAAUAUGCUUUUCAACAUCAUUCAUGGCGUUCCCAUAAACUUCUAUGAUUUCUUCAUGAGGACUCUGGCCAACAUUGCUAUGUCACCAUUUGAGCUGAAGCCUUAUGCGCCUUGGAUAAUCAGAUUCAUCAGGACAAGGUCUUCACUCAAUUACAAAGUUGAUACUCUGAACCACUACAGCUACUUGCCUCCAAUUGAAGUCCUCAAACGGACAGUUUCCUCAGCUGAUGACAAAGGCAAGGCCGCUGCUGUGAUAGAUGAAGGCAUUCGUCCAUUGGAUGGUCAAUUCCGUAAAGCAGCAUCUUACUCUACCAAUGACGACUCUGCCACUCAUGACUCUGCCGCAAAUACCUCAGCCAAGCAAAAUCCUCAAGCUACAACACCCAGGGUGAUGACUGAUCGUGAGUUACUCCUCAGUCUUCAUCAGAAGGUUGAUCGCAAUCAUAAAUGGGUCAAACGUCAGCUUGGUUCAAUUCUUCACAACAUGACCUCAACACACAAUGCAGUGAAGAAGAACCAGUACUACCUUCAUGAAACAUUCAACCGCACCUGGGCUGUUCUUUCUCAUGUCUAUAGCGCUGAAGAACUGAAGACGAUGGGUCUCAAGGAAGAAUUUGACUGGUCUGCACCUCCGCCGAAGAAAUUCAAGAGGGUCAAGGUUCCUCCAGUGGUGGCCAGCUCAUAUUCUUCAUCGCGCGACACUGAUGAAAAUGAAGAUUUGGACGACACUGCGGCAGGCCCUACUACAACAACCGACCCCGACAACGCUGGCGCUCCUCCAUCAACUUGAUAUUCUUCAGGGGCGUUAGUCCUCAGUUUCGAUCCUUUUGGUCAUUUGAUGACAAAGGGGGAGAAAUUUGAGUUAGUCUUCAAGCGGGUCUAUCAUAUGGGCAUAUAUCGCAUUUUUUUGCUAAGUUACAACUCUCGUUCUUCUGAAACUAUAUCGGAUCGAGUUGUAAUCUUAAACCCGAUGGUGCGCUGAUACUUUUGUUGCACUAGCUCUGAUACUUUGGAUGCAUUUUUCCGCAUGCUUAUUCCUCAUUAAUAUUAUUGCACGCAUGCUGAAUUUCAUCAGGCACCAUAUUUCAUCAUGCAUUUCAAAUUCUUCAUAUUAUAUAUCAAAUGCGUGUAUGAAUUACAAGAUAUAGGGGGAGAUCUCCAUGAUUCAACUCUUCAAGUGUGCAUUGCCUCAAAAGAAAAUUCCUCACUAUGCACAUCUUCAGGGGGAGUUCUUCUAUAUCUUGCAAUCAAAUUCCUCAAAAUCAGUAUUUACACUUCAUAUGUUUAUCCCCGUUGAAAACUUAACCUAUAUUGUCAUCAAUCACCAAAAAGGGGGAGAUUGUAAGUGCAUCUAGUGCCCCUUAGUGAUUUUGGUGUAUUGAAGACUUAUAGGUUAAGGGACUAAUGUGUUUAUGAGUGUACACAGGUCUUUAAGUCUAUGAGGAGUUUGAUAUUUACAGAGAAAGUCGACCCCUAAAAAUGAAGUUCUUCAAUUGAAGACUUUGGUAUUCUGAAGACUUUCUGAAGACUUUGAAAGUGAAGAAAUUGGUGUGACCUUGAAGACUUGGUAUUCAUUUGAGGAACAUGAAGCGCGAAGACUUUUGUUUUCAUAGUUUCGUUUUUCUCUUUCUUGAGUCAUAGGAAACACCGUACUGUUAAAGGGGGUCGAGGAAAUACUAAGGAAAAAUUUCUAUGUGAUGCUCAACUCAAAAUCCUACACCUACCAAUUCCUUCGAGUGAAGCCUUUGGAAAUCUCAUACAGUUUAGUCAAUUUCAUCAGUGACAGAGACGAAGUUCUUCUGGUCGCUGAGGAAUUUGUUCUGACUGAGGAGUUAGGAAUUCGCCAGUGCGAAUUGCCUACACAGUGAGGAACAUGAUAGCCCUGAGGAAUUUGAGAGUCAAAUUUCCGACCGUUGUUGUGCUGCGCGCCAGUUGUCCCAAAAUAUCUUAUCCACCUAACGGUCAUAUCAUUGAAGGGCAUUUAUGUCUUAUCAUGUCGGGCUGCUCCCUAGGCUAUAAAUAGCUGCCCCCUACAACCACUAGCUGGUUGGCUGCUCCGCGAGAACUUAACACUUGUCAUUUGAGAGCAACCCAUCCUCCGAGGACUUUGAUUGAAAAUCAUCGAGUGAGGAAAAACCCAAAAACCAAACCCCUACAAACCCAAAGUGAUUGAGCAUCACUGAAGAGAUUGAUCCUGCGUGGAUCCGACGCUUGUUACCUUUGAAGACUGUGCUUCUUCCAGACGGUUAGGCGUCAUGGUCUAGAGCAUCCAAGAGGAAUUGUGGAUCGCCGAGUGACCAAAUCUGUGAAGGUUUGGAAGUCGCCUGAAGACUUAGCACGAGUGAUUGGACGAGGUCUGUGUGACCUUAGUUCAAGGAGAUUACGGUGAGGACUGGGUGUCCUGAGCUGCGUGCUCAGAGACUGGGUGUUCGGGACUGUGUGUCCUCGAGUUUAAAUACUCAGCCGCUCCAACCAGACGUACAACUGAGACAACAGUUGGAACUGGUCUACCAAAUUAUUGUCUUCACCAACCUAACUGGUUCCAUUUCCUCAACCCAUUCAUUUCCUCAUUACUGUGUUAACUGUUUGUUCAUAUCUGUGUUUGAAGACUUUGACUGAAGACUUUCUCUAUUUUCUCAGUUCAAUUUCUUCAGUCUGUUUGUCUUCAUCUUGUGCUAUCCUGUGUUUACGCUUUCUGUACUCUUUGAUUGUCUUCAUUUCAUCAUGAUGACCAUGCAUGUAUUCUGCUAUGCUUACUUCUGAGUGCUUAUUCCGCUGCAAGUAGUUCUUCGCUAAGGAAUUUCCUCACCGGCAAAUUCCUCAGUGAAGAAUUCAUAAAAAUCGCCUAUUCACCCCCCCCCCCUCUAGUCGAUAUAACGCACUUUCACCAACUAAGCCUGAUAAACUGGCAUGCACAUUUUGGAAUCAGUCAAUGAAAGUAGUUAAGGUUUUGACUUGAUAGGGUCCAUAUGUAUUGGUUAGAAUCCAAGACUCACCUAAGUGUAUUGAGGUGAACCUGUUGGAUAUAGGAAAUUCAUUAUGAACGCAACUUCAUUCUGAGCUACAAAGAAACCACUAGAGGCCCUAGAGAGGGCAUAAUUAAAAUUUGCUAAAUAUUUUUGGACCAUAUAGAAGACAAGGUUUCGAUAACAAAUACACGACUUGAUCUUAUGGUAUAUGAUAUUGUACACAAAGCAUAUAUGAUAAGCACUCUGUCUGCAUACUAUUUCUUCCAAAAGAAAGUUCCACAGGUAUCAUAAGGUAACAAGACAUAACCGCCUUGCUAUUCUAUGAUCUACCUAGGACUUCUCUUUGGAAAAUGACAAGGCGCUCCUUUAUUUUUGCAUCCUUAGAGCGAGCACACAACAAUCCAUAACAUAUGUAAACAUCUUACUUUGGGAGCACAACCUUAUGGAUAGACCUCAAUGACAGCUCGAGCUCCCAGCUUCUUCACAAUCUUAUAGCCACUGAACCCCGCCUUGACGAAGAUCUCACUCCAGUCCUUCUCAUCGCGCUGUCGGCCUCUUGUCACCACUAGCAUGACCAUAUCCAUGAGGUGUUGGGUUUCCAGCAUUGGCCCUGAAACAGAUCCAAGCACAAUGUCUAUGACGAUGACUUUUCCUCCUGCAUCCCGGGGAGGAACAGCCUUCUUGCAUUGUGCCAGGAUCUUGACGCAAUCCUCGUCGCUCCAGAAGUGCAGUACAAGCUACAUUACCAUGCAUGGAUAAACUUGUAGUUUAAGGUUAAUCAAGCCUGACUAGGAUGAAAUAUGAAGGGAUUUUAUUAUUUUAAGCUGUUAUUAUUUCAGAAAUGAAAACUAAUUAAGCAUUGCUUGAAUAUUUCAAUUUUGCUAAGUCUUAGUGGACUAAGACUUUGUUAUGUAUCGAUCGAUGUUAUAUUCAUUUGAUCUUGCAUGGAGAUUCAUAUAAAAAAAUUAUUUUCAGUUUUUUUUACUUCUAUAUACUCCAUCCGUUCGGAAAUACUUGUCAUGAAAUGAAUAAAAGGGGAUGUAUCUAGACGUAUGUCUAGAUACAUUCCUUUUAUGUAUUUCCGGACGGAGGGAGUACUAUAUUACUUGACUCAGACUUUAAGUCUCAAUCGACCAAGACCUAACCACACCCUUAAUAUUUCACUUGGAAUAAAAAUUAUGGAAUGUGCAACAUUCAUAUCAUAUAUACCUUGAGCAACACGGCUUGAGCAGGUGGGACAACGUGGAACAGGUCACCGGAAACAUACUUAACUGCUCCUUCUUCAGCGGGAAGAACUUUGUCCAUGACCUUUGGAAGGUCCAGCACAGUGCACGUGAUGUGAGGGUAGGCCUCGACGAUGGACCUCGCGGUAGUCCCAUCGCCACCGCCGCAGUCAGUGAGAGACUCAAGCCCAUCGAACAGCUCAUGGCACUGCCGGAGCACGGGGCCGAUCCCCAUGUGGUCGUGGGCAGCGAGGGCGUCGUGGAGCAGCUGAUCCAUCUCCGGGUCGAGGAGCACCAUGCUCUCCUCGAAGAUGGCCGCGCCAUGCACGUCCUCGAACGGCGAGGGAACGGCUCCAUCGAAGUCCUUCCUGAACCAGUCCGCCAGCCCCAUAGCCGCCUCCACGUAGUAGCGCGAGGCCGCGGCGCGCACGAGGGCCGUCUGGCUAGCGUCGCCGUCGAUGCGGACGCCGUCUACCAGGAGGUACGAGAGCGGGUUGAGGCGGUACGUUCCGGCGUCGGUUGCACUGAAGACGCCCGCCGUGGCGAGUUGGCGCAGCAGGCGGGCGAGGAAGGGCAGCUUGGACGUGGGGAGGGAUAGGGCGGCGACGAGUUCGGAUGGGGACGCGGCGCCGCCGAGGCGGUGAAUGGCAGUGGGGACGCCAAGGUCGACGGCGCACCGGAGCGCCAUAGGCGUGAGGUAGCAGAGGGUGUGGCGCCACAGGUCCGACUGCGCCUGGAGCAGCUCCGUGUCGGUGGGGACAAACACCUUCUCUGCCUGGCCUGCCAUUGCCGAUGAUCUCUAUCUC